rnacentral:lncRNA from 1 species
GGUAUGAAGGAAUAAGUGCUCGAUCGAGCCUAAGUUCUGAAUUGUGAAUGUUAUAGGCCUUAACUUUUCUUGUGGUAUCUGAGGAACAUAGAUCGGUACGUCUGGUGGGAAUUUCGAUUGUAGAUGGUUUACUCUUGGGACUGGCCAGCUCGAGAGGUGAAUUGUCUUAUUUCGGAUUCUUGUGCCUGAGUACUUCAGAGUAGAGGCGGUGUUAAGUAUGUGGAAUUUGCAUUUUGGGAACAUGAAUAGGCUUUGUUUGGCUAGAAUGAGUCCAAGAGGUUAUUGGAUAUCUAGUUUGCAUAGUAAGUGACGUGAGGGAUCGGACGGGGUUAUUUUAAUUGGGUCUGGGACUAUAUCGCCUUUACUCUUGAUUUGCUUGAUACCCCUAUGACAUGACAGUGGUUUGGGUAUUGUGCAUAGGAUUAUCUGUCUAAUUGGCAUGUGUUGGUGUACUUGGUUAUCCGUUUUCUUGAUACAUGGCGUGUUAUAUGUGUAUAUGUCUUUGGUGUAAUUGGUGUGCUAGAAUUCGAUUACUUUUGUCACUUUACUGUAGUUAUGCGUUGCAGUACUGUGGGAAAGGGGAAAAAGAAAAGAGAGAAAAAAUAUAUAUAUAUAUAUGUGAGGAAGAUGUCGUCGUGGACGUGGAACUAAAUGAGGCCAGGAAUCAAGAAAAGAAAAGGGAAACAAUAGCUGGACAAGGACCGGGAGUGCCACUUGUACUUAAGAAUGUAUUAUGACCCAUUGUUUUGCCCGGCAGGCUAGCAUCCGAGUUCCAGCACUUCAGUAAGAUGACACAUUGGGUUGAUCCGUAUCAGGAAAUUUUGGUUCUCCGAGAUGAAUUAGAGGUUCAAAGGAGGCUGACCGAGUACUGGGAAAGGCAAUGGAAGCAAGAGUAUUCGGAGAAACUUGAACUCUUACACCAAAAUAUGGAGUUAAAGAGGAAAUACGAAGAGAUUUCCAAGGAGACCGUAGCAAUGGCACAAGGUAACACAUCUAUGGGAACGCCAGAGGAAGCUCAAAGGACGGGAAUUGCAAAGCCACAACUGAAGAUCUUUCAUGCAAAGAAAAAGGGUAAAGCUGGUAGAUCAAUUGUGAAGAAGGGCCGUGGAGCGAGUGGUGAGAUAAUUUGUGGAUAUUGUAGAAAAUCCAAUCAUAUUGAAGUGGAUUGCUGGAAAAAGGGGAGGAGAUGUCUGUGUUGUGGGAGCGCCGAGCAUUUGGUUGCUAAUUGCCCGGGGGGUUAUUGCGCGAAAAGAAAGGAACCAGCAGCCAACCAAGACCGACCCUGGCCCGUCAAGUGGAAAAGGGACUAAAAUGAAGAACCUUAUUUCUUCUGACUCUGAAGACGGAGAAGGUACAGGCCAUUGGUUACUUUAAAUUGUGAAGGUAAAAUUUCGAGGGCGAAAUUUCUUUAAGGGGGAGAGAGUGUGAGAACCCGUAAUCUUUCCAUUUUCUAGGUUUUAUUAUAUUUCCAGGUUUUCUUAUUUUCAAUGGUUUGUUUUCUGCACUUUCUGUAUCCGGAAAAUUUUCUAGAUAAUUUUUAUGAGUAAAUAUAAGUUUUAGAUGAUUUUUCUAGCAUUGGUGAGUUUUUAGAAAAUUAAGAAUAAAUAGUGGACGUGGGACCCACUAGUGCGAAAAGUUCGGAAAAAUUCGGCCAAUAAGGUUAAGUUUUGGAUACUGUAUAUCAUUUAUCGGGUGUUAAGAGAUAAGUAGAGUGUGUGAAGUGAUUGAUGUGAGAGAGAAAAGAAUGAUAAGGUUGCAUUGAAUAGAGUGACACAUGUCACUUUCUUAUUGGAUACUUUUUAAGAAUUACUAUUCCAAAUUUUGACUUUUGACCAAAGGUUAAAUAUCUCAAAAAUUCAUUAAAAUUUCCUCAUUUUCUCUCCACCAUAGCCGGCCCUCUUAAGCUCCAAGGAAGACAAAACUCUUCAACAUUCAAGCUUCUAACAAGACCAAAUCCACCAACUCAUGUGAUUAACUUAGUUUUUGCUCCAUAAAAUCUUACCUUUUAGUGAUAGUGAGAGCUUUAGUGAACUUUGUUUGAAGGACUAAGGUGCUCCACAUCUUCCUCUCUCUUGGUUCUUGGUAAGUGAAGCUUGAAACACCCUACUACAUCUAAUAAUGCUUAUUUUGUGCUUAAUGGGGGCAUGAGAGAAGGAAUAUAUGAUUUGUUUCUUGAUUUGGCUUGUUUUGGUGAAGUUUUUAUUUUAUUGGGAAUUUUUCUGGUUUAAUAUGAUCUUGAUGUUGGGGGCUUGUAUGAUGAAUUGUAAUGGUUGGAAAUGGCUCUAGUGGAUGUGAAAUGUGGUUAAAUGCAAUCAAUUUUGGAUUUGGUGUGAAAUUUGAAAAGUUAGGGUUCUUGAACCCCAAUUCUGUCCGGUUUUAGAUCACUGGGUUAGAGGCCGAAUUAGACUUUGCUCAAAACAUGAAAGUUGUUGGUAUUGAUGUGAUGGAGAUGCCUGUAAAAUUUCAGGUCAUUUGGAUUAAUGUAGAAUGAGUUAUGACGAAAUUACUGUAGCUGUUCUGCUUUGGACAGAAUGCGAAAACUGCGAUAGUAAUUGGCCAUUUUGACUGGAAUUGGUUUGGAUUCUGGAGUUGGUGUCUUCUGAUGAAAUGUAGCUGAGUGUCUUAGCUAACAUAUGCCUUUGGAAUUUCGGCAUUUGGACUUGUAUGGACUGAGAUAUACUGAUUACAGUUUUUUGUGUUUUGUGAACCUGUUUUAGGAAUUCUGGGUUAGUAUUUGGCAUAUUUGACCUAGUUGUGUUACGAACUGGAUUGAGUGGUCUUCUACAUUAUUGUAGCCCUGUUUCAUAGCUUCGAAACGGUGGGUCUUACACCCCCAUCCGAUAACCGUAGAGAAUUUGACGCCAUUACCGCAUAAUGAGUGUAAAACAGUUUUCUAUUUGGGGCCAAGACUAAGGCCAUUUUCUAAUUUCUGGUUUGCUAUUAUGCUUAUAUAUGUAUAUGAAACCCUAUUGGGGUUGUGAUUGGCAUGGCUUUAUGAAACCCUAUUGGUUGGCAUGGUUUUAAGGCUUACUCUUAUUCCGGUCAUUUUCUAGCUAACUUUUGUACUUGUACUACUUUGAGCCUAGUGAACGGCUUUUGGGAAUGAGAUGACUUUUGUGUGAGGUGUUGGGACUGAUUUGAGGAAAUAAUGAAGCCUUAAUGGCUGGAAAAGUAAGAAAUUUAGGGGAAGUGCUGCCCGAUUUUCUAGGCCGUUUGGUUCUUUAAGUUGGAUUUGCCUUUUGAUGGAAAUGAAGGGCUUUUGGGUUGUUUGCGCCUAGGUCUUGAUGUUAUCUUUUUGUUUUCAAGAAAAUCAUGUUUUUGCACCCUUGCAUUAGUAUGUCUCACUUGUGCAUUCCGUUUAUUCGAUUUUAGAUAUGAAACCUUCAAUUGGUUUAUUUUGAUUAUUUUAGGGUUUCUUGGCGAUUAAGGCCAAUCUGAAGUGAAACUUUUGAAGUUGAAUCGGUGAGUGUACCACUGCCUGCUACCCUUUAUGUGAAAUAUCUGAAUAUCUGAAUACUUGACUUAUGACUAUUGAAGCCAAGUACUGCUUUGAUAAAGUGGAGGCGAGGGUGUACUUUAUCACACUCGUUCUCUGGUCUGUUCAUAUUCCAAUUCUGAACGUCUAUCUGAAUCUGUUAUCUGUAUCUGUAUCUGAAACUGUACUGAAUCUGUUAUCUGUAUCUGAAACUGUAUCUGUUCUGACGUCGUUUGGAAGCUUGUGUCCAACGACCUUUCUGUGACCUAUGAGCUCAAAUCCUGUGGCUAAGUUAUUCAAGUCGGGCCGGCAAGGGCCUGGACGAUUAGAUAACGAACCACGGUAGUCUGUUCGGGGAUCUUUGGGUAUUGAGACCCUUGGGUUCCGGUAUACUCGAGUAUUACCAUUUCUGUUACUGAUACGGUGAGCGGGCCCGGUAAAGGGGUGUUUGGUGGACGGAAUUUGGAGUGAAGAGGGGUCUACGGACGCUUUGGUUCUAUAUACGUUGACGGAGGGUCAACCGGUCUGGAUCAAGUACUGAGCUGGAAAUUUGGCUCCUGAGAGCCACCCGUAUCCUUCUGAUUUGAAUCAGUGGUUCCGUUGCUUUAUAUCUGGCAUGUGUAUCUGAUUUGUUAAACAUGAAAUGCCAUGAUUUUAUUGCUAUCUGUUUGGUACCUCAUUGAGCGCAAGCUCACCCCUUUCUGUUCCCUUUUGUUUUCCUUACAGGAAAAUAAUCACUUUUGGGAGCUCAUACGUGUUGGUUGCCAAAUUGAGCCAUGUAUAUGUCUAUUUUGAAUAACUCAUCUCAUGAAACCCUAAUGUGUAUUGGGUUCAUCUUCUGAAUGGCAAACCGAAUAUGUGUAUACCAUAUGUAUAGUUUUGACAUGCCAAGUGUGGUUGUAAAUGUUGAAUUGCUAUGUAUUACUGUUUGGUGGGUUCUCGGUUUCCCCUAUUCCAGGCACUAUUCAUCGUUUUCCUUUUGCUUAUUAUUUUGUUAUUUUGGUUCUUGUGGCUUGUCCGAGCGCACUUUUGCAUUUCCGAAACGUUUUAGAACGCGUGUAACCGCUCCGUAGUCCUGGCGAGAGCUGGGCAGGCAGUCCGCUAACCCCUUUGGUUCGCCUUAGGGGAAGGUGGGGCUGUUACACUGGUGGUGGUCGACGGAGGGAGCGACCAGUGGCGGUUCCAGUGAGGUGGUGGCGGCAAAUUCCGGUGGCAGCAUCUGAUGAACUUUCCUUGCUCUGUUUUUGCGUUGCUUUGCCGAAACUUUUCUUUUUCUGUUUUCUCUUAGCCGAAACCUUCGCCGACCUCCCCCUGUUUUCCCUUUGCUUUUGUUUUCGAACCCAAACCUCUCUCGGCCUUCCUUCCGGCUCCCUCUAUUUCCUUUCUUUCAUUUUUUUUUUUUUGCUCUUGAUCCAACCGAAGCUUUUCCUCCCCUUUCUCAAUUUUUCAACUCUCUCGGUCUCCCCUGUUUCUUUUUGGUCUCAACACUCUGCUAGCAUCUUUGGUUUUUAGGUUAGCCGACGAGUCUGCCCUCUUCUGCUGACAAAAUCUCGACGAGAAGAAUGAAAAAAGAGACGGUAUUAUCUGGUGAACUGCUGGAAGAUCUAAUUCGAGAAGUAAAACCUGUGCACCUUGGAUCAAAUCUAGAGGAAAACAUCCUUGCAGCAUUCGGCCCUUCUCCUUCAGCUCUUUCGCUGCGUUGCUCUGUUGUUGUUUUUUUUUUUUUUUUUUUUGUUUGCGGCCGCGGCCCCCUUUCCUCUGUUUUUUUUUUUGUUUCCUCAAACCUCGCCGCCGCUCUUUUUCAUCUCCGUCCCUCACCCCAGCCCUCCGUAGCUCCAACCUCUCUAUUUCCUUUUUCUUUUGCUUUCCCCCUUUUUUGCUGUUGUUUUUUUCUUUUCCCUUUUUGUUUCCAAAAUAAUCCCUAAGCCUAACAAGUGUCCUUGACACCUACCCCCUAUACACUUGUCCUAUAAUUCCUUAGACACUUGUCUAAUGAUUGUUUUGUACACUUGUUCAACAUGCACAUUUCCACCUAUUUUGUCACUUUCAUUUUUCUUCAAAAAUCAAUUAAAAAUAAAUUAACAAUUUUCAAACCAAAUUUAAGAGAAUUAAGGCCACUUUUAACAUCUUACAAAAAUGAAAAUGAUGAAUCUAACCCAAUUAAAAAUAAAUAAUAAAUAAUAAAUAAUAAAUAGAUAAAUAAAUAAUAAAUGAUAAAAAAUGAAAUUAAAAAUAAUCAAAAUUUGGUGUCUACAGUUUGCCCCUCUUUGUCUGAGUUUUGAAAAAACUUGAGACAAAGAAGUAGACACCAAAUACUUACCUGUGUUAUUCGGCUGCAAACGAUCCGGACGACGGACGCUUCUGAAACGAGGACUGACCUCUUUAACAGAAAUGUUUUUUUUUUUUUUUUUUUUUUUAAAUGAAAACUUUAAAAUGGGAUUGAUCCAAACGGGAAAUUUAAAACGGGACUGGCCCGAACAGGAAUUUAAAACGAGAUAGACCCGAACAUGAAAUCUAAAGCGGGAUAAACCCGGACAGAAAUUUAAAUGGGAUAGACCCACGGGAUAGACCCGGACAGAAAUGUAAAUGGGAUAGACCCAGACAGAAAAUUUAAAACGGAUAGACCCGAACAGGAAACUUAAAACGGGAUAGACCCGAGCCUGCAGUGAUGAACAUGAUUUGAUUUUUGACUUUGAUUUUUUUUUUUUAUUUUUUUUUAUUGAUUUUUUUUUUAUUGAUUUUUUUUUAUUUUUUUGACUGAGAGAGACUUGUCGAAAUAACUCGCCCCAGUAUAAUGAAUUGGUCAGUGGGAUUAAACCCGAGCCUGUCAAGGUUGACGGGAUAAAAAUCCGGUCCCAACGAAAUAAGCGGUCAGCGGGAUAAAACCCGGUCCUGCCGAGAUAAGCGGUCAGCGGGAUAAGACCCGGUCCUGCCGAGGUAAGCGGUCAGCGGGAUAGAACCCGGUCCUGCCGAAGUAAGCGGUCAGCGGGAUAAAACCCGGUCCUGCCGAGGUAAGCGGUCAGCGGGAUAAGAGCGGGAUAAAACCCGGUCCUGCCGAGGUAAGCGGUCAGCGGGAUAAGACCCGGUCCUGCCGAAGUAAGCGGUCAGCGGGAUAAAACCCGGUCCUGCCGAGGUAAGCGGUCAGCGGGAUAAAACCCGGUCCUGCCGAAGUAAGCGGUCAGCGGGAUAAAACCCGGUCCUGCCGAAGUAAGCGGUCAGCGGGAUAAAACCCGGUCCUGCCGAGGUAAGCGGUCAGCGGGAUAAAACCCGGUCCCAACGUGCUUUUGCGAAUGGUCAGUGGGAUAAAACCCAAUCCUGCCAUCCAAUUGGUCAAGAAAUUGAAUUUGAUUUGCCAAGAAACAAGCAAUUAAAUUUGAUUUUCCAAGAAACAAGAAUUUGAACUUGAUUUUUGACUUUUGAAAUUUUUGAAUUUUUCUGAUUUUGUGUAAGAAUCUUUUUCAAAAAUAAUUUGCCCCAGUGUAGGGCCCUUUUCCCUUCUUUUUCUCUUUCUUCGGCAUCGGCCUUCCACAUCGACCAGAUGCUCUUUCGUCGAUUUCAACAAUGAAUACCUGCACAUGGGGCUUACCAAAAUAUGACAUGCAUUCACAUUUACAUGAAAAGAGCAGCGUGAUUGAUUUGAAAGAUGCAUUAUUUGAUUCUUGGGCGAAAUCCUCAAUUGGACUAACAAAAAUAUUUGCCCCUGUGUGGGCUCCCUUGAUUGCAAAUAUUUGUUCAGAUGAUUUCCCAUUUAUUUGAACAAAGAAAAACCGCACUUUCUAAAAUUUAGAAAAGAAUGCACAUAUACAACAAUGUGAAGAAACUUUAAACGUCAAGUUUGAACUCAUGCAGAAACUUCAUGAUGAAUUCCUCGAAAUAACACCAAAUCAAGAAGAUUUCUUCCUCACUUUUAGCAUUGGUGUUUUGGGUAAUGUGUCACCAUUUCUGGUUGGCUCAUCUUUUCAGGACCAAUCAAGUGACUUUAUUUUUGAAAUGGCUAAGGAAAUGGGAGGUCAGAAUCUGUCUCAUUUUUUUUUUGUUUGUGUUUUGUUUUUGUUUUUUUUUUUUGUGCCCCAAUUGUAUCUAAUCCAUUCAAUGUCACAUCUUAGUGAAAGCAAAUAGUUUGUCACCCUCAUUUCUUAAGAAAACGUAGUCAACAUGCAAGCUUCUAGGCUUGUAACGUAUGGACAGAAGUGAUAGCUAAACAUGUGGAAAAGGGUUAUACCCUUAUGAUCACAAAUGAUUUGAUGAAUUUCUUAUGAGCAUGAUCCUCCCUUUGGAUUGUCAUGAAGAAUAAGUCAACGAUGGACUUUAUUGGCUUGUAAUGCGGCUUGAAACGAUAGUUAAAGAAUAAAACUUUCAAGGACAUUGCACCGAAAAUCGCAUUUUCCCAAAAUUGCCCCUAUUUUGAACUUAAAGAUCUCAAACUUUGUUUGCAUUUUUCUCAUCACUCACCAGGGACUUCAGCGUCGAAUUUUUCUGCAUUUUCUUACAUUUACUUUUCUUGCUUUGCUUUUUGCCUCUUUUCCUCAACUUGGUGGAUUUUUACCUGGUGAGUAGCAUCAAUCCCAUACCCAGGCAAUUCAGAAAUACAGCUAAAAUUUUCCGGCAUCAGAAAUUUUCUUGACAGGGCCAUUGCAAAGAACAGAAGUCAGGACUUUCGGCUUUUGUAAUGGGGUUUGGUGGGGUGUUUAGAAGAGUUAAGGCUUGAAAGCAGAUUUCAAGAAUGGUUUAAGUAAUCUGAGAUCGCAUUGUUGUGCCAACCCUAUUUUAGGGUUAAAUCAAAAUUUGCCCCAGUUUAUGCUCAAUUGAGGCUUUUUCUCUUUCAUUUUCUUUUGAUUUUUCGACCUUUUGCCAUUCUUUUGCAUUUUCACAAAAUUUGCCCCAGUUUAUGCUUAACGAGGUUUUCUUUUUCCCUUUUGAUUUUGUUGCUUUAUCACUUUUCACCUCUUGGGACUUUUCUUUCUUUUUCAAACUUGCCCCAGUGUGGGGUUUGCGAUUCUCAGGGGUUGCCAAAUGAAGUAUUUUAUUCUGAAGGCUCAAAAGGGAUAACGAGGGAUAGAAUGUUUGAUUGGAAAAGAAGAGGGCCUGACUUUUAUUCUGAUCCUUACAAUAACUCUGAAAGGAAACUUUCAUUAACGCCAAAAUUUCUGGCAUGUAUCUGAAUUAAUUGACUGAGGAAGACUCUCCAUAAGUGGUUCGUCGGACAAAACCCUUCCUUUUCUUCUUUUUCGAAAAUUGGAACCCAAGUGGAAUCAAAUUUCCCCAAUUCGCGGUUCCCUUUCCCCUUUUCCUUUUUCUUUUUUUUAAAAUUCCCCAAUCUCCUUCCCCAAUGUGGGGUGCGAUCAUAUGUGCACUCGAAAAGAACCACCAAUUUUUUGGCUCAAAUGAGGAUGCAAGGGAUAAAUGGUGUUUAGAUUGUAGAAACGAUGGCCAAAAUAUCAUUCUUACACCUCAUGACAACCAAAGUAGUGAAAUGGUCAUUGAAAAUCCAUUCCUCUUUUGAAAAUCUUCCCAAUGUAGGGUAGUGAUCAUUAAGGCUCUUAUUUGAAGCGAAAUUAUUCUUUCAAAGGCUCAAAUGGGAGAGCAAAUGAUAAAAUGUGUAUAGGUAGAGAAAAGAAUGCUCGAAGUAUCAUUCCAAAUUUUCAAAACAAACAAGAGUAAUGCACAUUUUUUUGCUUUCACUUAGAUGUGAACUGAAUCGGUGAAACACAAUGGAUAUUUUCAAGCAAAGAUGGCUCCAAUUUAUCAAUUUAUCAACCAAUGUGACUGAUUUUAUUUUGGGGUUAAGUGAAGGUAUCUCAUUGGGCCUUUUGAGUGACCAUUCACCUCUUUUCCUGAGCACUCUUAUUGUAUGGCUCGGAUUGCCAAUCGAGUGUAAUGAUUUUAGGAGAGUAUACACUUGUGAAAUUCAGGCUGGAGGUUGAAAAAAUCUCAACUUAGUUUUAUUUUUCAAAAUUCAUCAUGAAAUCUCCAAUGAGUAAGAAUAAAGAAUGAAAUGUACAUAAAUAUACACAAAACAAUGAUUGUCCAAAAAUUUUAUUACUGAAAAAGUUUGAAACAAAAUUUCUCAUUCAAUUACGAUACAAAUGAGAAGAGAGAAACUUGUAAAGAGCUCCACAUAUACACUUUUUGUCUCCUUUUCUUUUGAAACCAAAUGUAUUAACAAAUCAAAUAUACAAAAUUUUCCUUUGGAAAACAAUUACAAAAUCUCUCAGAGGCUUUAGUGUAGAGCUUCCAGAUAGAUCAUUUAUGUUUUCAUUGUAGGAUCUGCCCCAGAAUCAAAUAACACUUGUAAUCUUCAAACUUUAUUGGAUUAAAAUUAUCAUCAGAUAUAGAAGAAUAUUUUCAUCUUAUUGAAACAUUUUUAUGAAUGCAGGGGAGGGGGAAAACAAAAGAAAAAUACCCAGAGUUAGUAGGCAAAGUUGCAAAAUCGGUAUGCAUGUCCUAUGGGGGAACCCUUUUUGUGCCAAGGGUAGGCCUAGCAUGAAAAUGCAAUCCGCUAGAGUAGGCACUAUACAAUACCUGAUGGAUCUGAUCAACUCAUGGAGUGAAAAAUAAUUUGAAAAAUUUGGCCCAUUGGAAUGAGAAGAGACGUUGGUCAAAAUGAGGACCUCGUCCGAAGGGAUUGAUCACUUUUGAUCGAUAUAAGAAUUUGCAAAAAACGUACGGGUAUGACCUUGACGAACUUCCUAUCGAAGAGAUUGGAAUUCGUUGACAAACUUUCUCAGUGAAGCACGGAUCAAAACUCCAACUGAUGAUUUUCUCAAAAUUGACUAGGUUCCCCUAUUUGAAAAUGACAUUGAAAUUCUAAUUGGUCAAAUGCAAUUGACAGUUUAUUAAAAAUCGACGGGAUUACCCUAAAAAGGGAAACAGGUCAAAUGAAUUGAAUAAAAUUUAAUUUAUCCAAAAUUAAUCAGAUCACCCUAAAAAGGGUAAAUUGAUCAAAUAGAUUGAACGAAACUUGAUUUAUUCAAAAUCGGCUCGGUUGCCCUAAAAAUGGGUAAAUUGGCCAAAUGAAUGAAAUUGAAUUAGGGAUUUAUUCAAAAAUCGGCCGAACGACCCUGAAAAGGGUAAAUUUGUCAAAUGAAUUGACGAUUUAUUCAAAAUCGACCGGAUGACCCUAAAAAGGGUAAAUUGGUCAAAUGAAUUGAUGAUUUAUUCAAAAUCGAUCGAAUGACCCUAAAAAGGGUAAAUUAGUCAAAUGACCCUAAAAAGGGUAAAUUGGUCAAAUGAAUGAAAUUGAAUUAGGGAUUUAUUCAAAAAUCGGCCGAAUGACCCUAAAAAGGGUAAAUUGAUCAAAUGAAUUGACGAUUUAUUCAAAAUCGACCAAAUGACCCUAAAAAGGGUAAAUUGGUCAAAUGACCCUAAAAAGGGUAAAUUGGUCAAAUGAAUUGACGAUUUAUUCAAAAUCGACCAAAUGACCCUAAAAAGGGUAAAUUGGUCAAAAGAUGGUUUAUUCAAAAUUGAUUAUGAAUUGACAAAAAAGGAUCAAUUGAAUCGGCCGGCCAUUGAUGGUUUCAAAAAAAUUAGUCUAUGAGCCUUCCAAAAUCACGAUUUGGCCUCAAUUUAUCGUCUCAACAAUGAGGAAUCAUUUGUGAAAUUUCUUCAAAUUAAUGUCCUUUUACGCAAGGGAGUUUUACCAAUUAGGUUUAAGAAUGGCCAAAAAGUGAUUAUUAGAUGCUCAUAUUCCAAAAAUCGCUCUUAUGAAGAUGAUCGGAUCCUACCUUACCUUGUGCACUACCCCUUUGGAUGGUACAAAAUGUAAACGUGCAAAUCUCUUUGGAUUAAGUAUCCGAGACACAAGGCGGUUUAUUCCUAAUAUGGGAUCCCCUAAAUGGCAUUCCCUUUCUAGGGUUUAAUGCAUGAUGCCAGUUAUUAAAGCGAUAAAAUGUGCAAUUCGAAAUGAAACGUGACCUAAGGAACCCUUUAUUUGCCAGGGUAGGCCUAAAAUGCUAUGCAAUUACCAAAAUCUAUGAAUGCAAUAUACCAAAAUCUUUAAACGUGCAAUAACCUAUCUACGAGGGUAGGUUCUAAAAGAAGGUCAUGCCAGACCUCUUAUUUGAUAGGGUUUGUGAAUGCAAUGGGGACAUAAAACCAAGAAAAGUUAGUUCAGCCAGAUAAAUACACAUAACACAUUGUAGCAACGAAAUCAAUACAAAGAAAUAAAGCAAUAAAAGGGAGAAAGGGGUUGGACCCUCCCCUCGUGAAUAGUGUGCCUAGCUCAGGAUAAGGCCGACUCUACCCUAGGCAAUUCUAAUAUGGAUGCAUGAGCCUGGGGUUCGCUAAUGCAUCUAGACUCGAUAAGCUCAGGUCCCCGAGCCUUCAGACUUAGAAACCAAGGGUCAUCAAUCCCAAGGUUCUUUGUCGGUGGCUCGAGCGAUUCCCCAAACACCGCUACGCACACAUCGUGUCACGGCUACGUGUUUGAGUGAAUCUAUCAAAAUCCUCAACCUUCGACUAAAAGCUAAAGGCUAUCAACCCAUAGCUUAAAGCGGAAGAUUGAGUGACUCAUUGGAACAUGCUACACACACAUCGUGUCGUGAUCACAUGGCCAAGUGAGUCACCUAAUCCUAAUAGGGUGGAGUGGCGUGACAAGCCACUAAAGAAAAAUAAAAGGGAUAAAAGAAGUAAAGCGUAUGCUCGUAUGCUAGUGCUCGUUUGGAGGGGAAGGGUCAAGAACCAACGCGAGGCUCUAGGGUGACCCAUACCUCCCAAAAUGCAAUGCAAGCGCGAGAUAACAAGUAAACAUUCAUUCAAACAUACAUUCAUGAGUCGAGGGAUUAGUUGGACACGCGUGAAAUGCAAAAUCCUAAAAAAGGAAAAAAUGCAACCCUAAAACACCCAAAUGUGAUAUAUGAAAAGGUUAAAAGAAGAAAAAGGUUGAUUAAAUCAAAUUUGCUCGGACUCUCGAAAUUCCCCAGUGGAGUCGCCAACUGUCGCGCCCCAUUUUUUGAUAAGUAAAUGAAUUGUUUAAAAAUGUAUUUUUGUGAUUGUAAAAUGAAUCGUGAUUUAAAAGAAAAAUGGGUCUAAAUGGGGUUUUGAGAAUGCAACGAUUUGACCCAAAAUUAUAGUUUAAAAAGGGUUUUUAAAACUAAAUACGGAGUCGCCACUUGGUAAUGAGUUAAGGUGUACAAAGUCACCUAAAAAAUGUAUUUUUAAAGAAAAAUAGGAAAAAGUAGUGAGAAACCCUUUUUAAACGACUCCUAAUCUACGUAAACCAAUGAAAAAGGUUCGGGAGUCACAUUUGACAAAGGGGAAGGCAAGGAUAAAAUCCAAGGCACCCCUUUGACCUAGCCAAGGCUAGUUGCAUGAUUUAAUCAAAGAUUUUCUUGUUUUAACCAAAGAAUUUAUUACAUUUGGAUGCACUACAUGAAUGCAAAAAGAAGGAAAAAAUGCAAACCUAAAUUCUAAAAUGUCUCUUGUAAGGUUUUUGGUCCCAACCACAUGAAUUGUGGCGGCCAAUAAAGGAAAACCUUAUAGAGGCCGAUUAAUGCAAAUGAUGGCUAAAGUGCAAGUGUGCAAGUGUAUAAAAAGGUGAACGUGUGAAAUUGUAUGAAAAAUCCAAGUGUUUGUGUGCAAGUGUAUGAAAAGGUGCAUGUGUGAAAUUGUAUGAAAAAUCCAAGUGUUUGUGUGCAAGUGUAUGAAAUAUAGUGAUAAGUGCAUAUAGGUGUAAUUAAGUGCAAUUUUGUGAAGUAGAAAUCAAAUUGAACAAUAAGGAAAGGAAAAGUGAUGAGGAAAUGUGAAUUGGAAAAAAAUGAGUAAGUGAUAAAUGAGAAUGAAUGAACCUAAAGGAAUGCAUCAGGUCGGGUAUGGGAAUGACUACUAACUUUUCGACUUCGAUUUUCCCUUUGAUUAGAAAGCAAAACUAGCGUGCUAAGGCUAUCGAGUAGCCACACUCGCUCGUUUCCCUUAUCAGAAGGGGACUCUUCAGGCAAAUGUACCCUAACUAGCAUGAGAUGCAAGUCCUAAAGUGAGGGGAAAGGGAGUCGGGGGCAUGCAAAAAAUGACAAAACUAAAAAGAAUGCAUGACAUGUAAUGAACAUGCAAACAUGUACUAACGAGGGGAAAUCCCUAAGGGUCUAGCGUUGGACUAGCCCAUUCUAUGAAUUCCGACUAGCGUUGGACUAGUGGAAACGUACAUUCAUCCAUUCCAUUCAUCUACACUACAGAAAGCUAGUAGACAUGCCAAACACUCAUAAACACGUAGCACGUAACACUUAACAUGCUCGACUAGAUGCAAAACCUAAUAAACAAGUAGCACGUAACACAUAAGCAUGCAACCAAGCUAAUGAACUUUACAUUCACUAACUAAAACAAAGGGGAAGGGGAAAAUGGACCAAACUGCUCGCCAAAGCCCUAUCUAUUACAAGCCAAGAGGUGUACACAUACCCCAUAAAAGAAAAAAAACUUAAUAAAGCAAAAGUAAAUGAAAGGAAUGAAAGGAAUUUAAGAAAUGUAAAGAAAGCAAAGUAGUCAUGCAAUUCACUUAGCACAUUGGAUCACAUAGGAGAGACAAAUAAAAGGUAAAAGAAAGUUAUACCUCCCUUGAGUUGGUAAUCAAAUGAAGUAAAAAUGGCUUCAAAACAAUAAAAAGGUCAAGGUACCACUUUAUUUAAGAAAAAUUAAAGAAAACAUGCAAACACGGGCUCACAUGGUCAUAAAGCUCUUAAAUUCAUGCAUGAGGUGCAAUUUAAACAAAGCAUAGUAGUUAAUUGAAGCAAACAAGCAAUGAAGUUGUAAAAUUAAAAACUACCAAGGACCAAAUUGAGAAAACAUUCAAUUGGUUGGGUCAUGGUGGAACAAGGGGAGACUUGGGGGGUUUAAUGCAAUUUUCUUGAACAUUUACAUGCAUGCAUACGGACAGCUUCUUCAUUUCUGGUUGCUAUAUUUUCUGCAAACUCAAACAUUUUACUAGUCACCCAAACAUCUUGGACAGGGCUUCAAAUGCAACGUUUAUUAGCUUCCUUAAGACCAACAUCAUGCCCAAAAACUAAUCAUGCAAAGCGCAAUGAAACAAAGCCAAGAUGUGACCAUAGAACCAGAUUUCUUGUUGCAAAUUUCUGCAACUUAAGAUGAAGCCUACUGCCUUUCAAACAAAAUGUAUUGGCAGCUUCCAUUUCACACGCAAGUUUCAUUUCAAACCUUCAACUAACAAACUUUGAACUAACUCUAAACAAAACAUGACUAAACACCUCAUGGCAAUGCAAUUCUUAGAAGCUUUUUCAUACAAGUUAAUUGAGAAAUAUUCCACCAACAAGAGAACUUUCAGCAGUCAAACUCCUGCAAUUUUCAUUAGCAAGCUCUUGCAACUUGCGGCAUUUAGUAACCCAUGCAGCUCAAGACAAUUUGAAACAGAGAUUCAUGUCCAACAUUCAGACUCCCUAGAUUCUUAUCAAAAUGCAAAAUUAAACAUGCAAACAAAGGAAAUCUAAAAAUGAAUAAAACUAGCAAGUUCCAAAUAUUUUCGCAGAGUUCUUGCUGCAAUUUUUCAGUUACCAUUAGCUAUGCUUUGGAAAUCAGAUUUCAAACUCAAACACAUAGCUUUGCUCAAGUAGAAAAUGUUAACCAAAAUCAUAGUUUUAAGCUAAACAACAAAACACUCGACUCAGUCAUCCAAAUAACAAGAAAAACAUGGCAAAAAUUGGUGGAAAAAUUCUGGACAAAACAUUCGUGUGACAGUGACUUAGCAAUCUGAAAUUUACUUUUUCAUCAAACAUUUGAACAUGAUUCAAGUAUUCCAGUCCCUAAGCAUGCAAACCCAAAACCGCAACUACCCACGCAACAACAAAGAGGGAGGCGGCAAUAAUCAAAGAGACAGUAGGAAAUGAGCUUUGUCGGAACCUCAUAUUUUCCUGCAGUCUUCAUCGUUCCAGUGCUGGCCAAAAAUUGAAAUAACAACCCAUAAUACAGUCCCUUAUCAUUCAACACGGUCACCAAGCUCAAACCCAUCGAAGCAACUAAACAUAGAAAUAUAACUAGCCAAGACCAUGAAAAACAAACGGCACACAAGGAUAGGAAUUCAUAAUCUCAGAUGUCUGCUUCAAGAAUAGGACCACACAGCCCAUUCGAAACCAAACUAUACUUCCUAAACAAACAUCAGACUUUGUUUGCAAGGACAAACCUCAGACACACAUCAUGCAACAAAACGCAAAGGGAACAAGAUGCAACAAGGUUUUUCCUUGACCUACUCAAUAAAAAUCUGAACUUGCGUGAGAGAUCAAAGGCAAAGGGAUUACCUUCAACACCUUAUGGUUGAGACAAGUCACAAAAUUCCCAGGUGAGACAUACGAACCCUAUCUAAUGAAGAGAGAGUUACCCUCAGGAGCGCCUAGCGUUGGAGGAACUGCUACUUGGAACUCAGAUUUGGCGGCUGAAUACUUCAAUCUGAACGCAAAGCAUCAAUAGCCCGAUAAUGGAUUUCUUUUCCCUCUGCCCAGCAAUCUUCCUGAUUUGGCCAUUAGCUUCUUUUGUUUUCUGUCCGCCACCCCUUUGCAGAACUCUCCACUCUCUCUCUCGUUCUCUAAAUUUCUGGCUCUCCCAAACCCUCCUCCUUUUCCAGAUUCCUUUCUUCUUUUUCCCUCUGUGUAUCGAUCCUUUUUUUUGCCGUUUUUCUUUUCUCUGUGUUAUUUUCUUCAGUUUGCAGCCGUCCCCUUUCUCUUGGCUUUUAUAUGAGCAAACCCCAAAACCUAAACCCCAGCCCUUUCUGAUAUAUUUGCAGCUAAGGAGCUACCCAAAGUUCACUUGCAAGCUGCGGCAAAAACGCAGCUUGCAUGCUGCGCGUUGGUUUUUUUUUUUUUUUUUUUUAAAUACAGCAUAUAAAUAAUAAUAAUAAUAAUAACAAAAUGACAAAACCAUGUAAUAAUAAUAAGAAUGAAAACAAAUAAAUAAAAAAAACAAACUAAAUAAAUAAAAACAACAAAAAUGUCCAUUUUUCAAAUUUUCUUCUUUUUCCUUUUUUUUUCAAAAUAACUUAAUAAAAAUAACUAAAGUGCAAAAAGGUUGAAUUUAAAGAAAUAAACAUAUUUUUGUGAACAAAAUUUCCUCCUUUUUUUUCCUUUUUUUUAUGAUUUUUCCUUUUUUCUUUUUUUUUUUCAAGAAAUUCUAUGCUAAAAACUUAAAAAUAAAAAUAAAAAUAAAACUAUAAACUAAAAACUAAAAAUCGAAUAAAACUAACACGACAAAUAAAAAAUAAAAAUAAAAUAAACAGUAAAUGAAAUUACACCAAAAAUUUGGUGUCUACAGAAACUACCACUACUUUCACCUUUACAUGAUCAUAUACCAUAUAUAUACAUCAUACAACACCUAACCCACAAGAAACCCUAACUCAAAAGUCAUCCAUCUAAUCAUCAAAAUCACUUGAAACAAGCAUCACAAGCACAAUACUAGCAUUAAUACCCAACUUAAUCAUGAUUAAUGGAGAAAGAAAGGUUGAUCAGCCAUUAUACCUCAAGACAAGAGCUUACAAGGAUGAUCCGUCACCUCUCCUUGAACUUUUUGGUUCCUUAAGCUUCCCAAACUUCCAAACUAGUGAUUAAUCGGUUUAGUUUUUCUUGGUUGCACUCAAAUGGUUCAAACUCAAGAUGGAUUGAAGUUGUUUCUCAUGCUCUCUCUCUCUCUCUUAAGCUCGGCGAGACUAGGGGCAAAUAGUGAAGAAAUGGAGCGAAUGUGAAGAUAAAAAGCAAAGAAAAUUAGCUUGGUCAAGGAACCAUAGGUUUGCAACACUUGUCACCACCUAAACCAUCCACAUUUUGCUUUCUUUUCCUUGCAUUUUGAGCCACAUAUUUCGGUCAUAUGGCUGAGGAUGAGGGGGGAUAUUUUGCAAAAAUAUCAAGGGUAUGUGGUGGUAAGGAAGUGGUGGUCAAGUGGUGGGGUUCAAUCGGCAGUGAACGAUACCCGUCGGUUUGAGCCGAUUUUUCUUAAACCGCGUAUACUAGGGCUUUUACCUUCUAAUCACUAACUUAUUAUUAUCACUUCAAAUCAUAUAAUAUUUCUUCAUCCAAAAGUCACUCUUACCUACCAAAUUUGAUCCUCAUUCCGUACCGAAUAGUCACACUACGAAAAAACGUGAAAACCCUAAUUCGCUCUAACUUGGAAACGGACAACGAAAACCCUUACUUCUAUAUUCAUUUACACUUAUUGUGGUGUGAUUGGGUAGUAGGGCUAUUAUAAAAUCAUAAGUUCCAAAUAAAAGGAGAUUUUUAAGAAAAAUGUGAGGGGUUUUACAAUCCCAUAAAUAGAAUUUAGGGUUUCGGUUAAAAUAUAAGAAAUUUGAAAAACGGUCAGUCACAAGUGAACCUAGGGUUUUUAUUAGACGUUUAGGGUUUCUAGUCUUUUAAAAUAAAACAAGGUUUUAAAUCAAACCCAAAGAAAUAACUUUAGUUUCUUCUUUAAAACAAAAUAAUGUUUUUAAAAAAAAAUAAACUAAAGAAACCGUAAUAUCCUCUUUGAGACUAAACAAAAGAUGAUCCUAAAAGUUGGGGCAUCACAAUCUCCCCCUUCAAAGAAUUUCAUCCUCGAAAUUUUUUUCAAAAGGUGAUUUAGUAUGUAAACAGUAAAUUGACUAAAACAACAAGAUAUAACAUACCAAAUAUACAAGGAGACAUAUACACAAUAUAAUGCACCAUAUACACCAAGAGACAUUUCAAGUUAGACAAAGUCAAGUGCAGCAAGUACUAUAUAUGUAGGUAUUAACAUACCACAAGUAAAUGACAUGUAGGAGCAAUGCAAGGGCAAAACGAAAGAAAACGCGACCUGUCGUCCCACACUCAGUGAAAAUCACCACCGUUCGGUUUCCUACUCCCUUCCCAAGGUGCCCAUUGAUCUUUUGUACUCACUCUAGCCGGACAAAGCCUGUUCAUAUUCCCAAAAUGCAAGUCUCAAGUACUUAGCAGCGCCUCAACUCUGGAGUACUCAGGCACGAUGUGAGGACUCGCAAAUUCCUUAUAUUUUUCUUAAAAAUGCCCUUUUAUUUGGAAAUUAUUCAUUUAUUAUAGCCCCUACCCAAUCAUUCCACAAUAAGUGCAAAUGAACCUAGAAAGUAGGGUUUCACUUUUCGUUUUCAAGUUCGAGCAAGUUAGGGUUUUCACGUUUUUCCGUAGGGUGAUUUUUCGAUAUGGAGUGGGGAUCAAAUUUGGUGCUUAAGAGUGACUUUUAGGUGAGAAAUAAUAUGUGAUUAGAAGCAAUGAUAAAAAGUUAGUGAAUAGGAAGUAAAAACCCUAGUACGUGUGAUUUAAGGAAAAACGGUGCGAACCGACGUGUACCGUGCACUACCGAUUGAACACACCACUUGGUCACCACUUUCUUACCAUAUAAGCUCAUUAAUAUUUGAGCAAAAUAUCCCCUCAUUCUCAGCUGGCUUUGGCCGAAAAUUUUGACCAAAUUGGCAAGGAAAAGAAACAAAAAAAUGAGUGGAAAUUGGUAGUGACACUUGUUGGCCAUCUAGGGCCUUGACCAAGACCAAAUUGUUUUGCCUUCUUACCACCAUUUAGCUUCCUUUCUUCAUUUUCUGCUUGCUUUGACCGAGAGAGAGGGAGAGAAAAACCAAGGGAGAGCUUCACCAAUCCAUCUUGAGUUUGAGCCAUCCAAGUGAGGAAACAAGAAACUAAACCGAUUAAAACCUUCUUUGAGUGUUUAGCUAGUGGUGUGUUGGUGAAAUUUUGGAAGGAAAAGCUAGGGCUGCUCUUGGUAGUAUCUUUAGCAAGGUAAUAAUGCUGAUUUACCAUUUCUUACUCCUAAUCUUGCUUAACUUGGCAUAAAAUUGUGGUGCAUGAUAGCUAUUAUAAUGAUUUGGAUGGAUAUAGUGUAUGUUCUUGAGUUAUAUGAGUUAGGGUUUGAAGGAUUUUCUGCCUAUACAUUCUGUAUGGAUAGUAUAUGUUGUAUCUAAGCUUAUAUAAGAGGUUGUGGUAGUGAUUGAAGCAAGAAAUGAAGAAAGUUUCCUUUGAAACCGUAAAAUUUCAGAUUUCUGGAAAAUUGUAGUUCAGUUCUGUCUGGUUCAAGUUCAUGAUGUUAGAGGCCGAAUUAGGCUUAGAAUAAAACAUGAAAGUUGUAUAGAAUGAUGUUUUAUAGUUUCCUACAAAAUUUCAACUCAAUCGUAGCAAUGUAGCCUGUGAAAAGACCAAAAUACCCUCACUGCCCUAGGAUGCAUCCAGUGAUCCGUUUUAGACAGUUCAUCCAGUUGACCGUGUCUAUUCACUAUGAUCCCUGCUGAUUUAGCCAUUUACCAAAACAUAAAAGUUUUAGUACUCUGUCUUAGCUUUUCAACGCCUCCAAGAAUGUCUUAAACGGACUUUGGUAGCCUGAGAAAUGGCCAUUUAAAUGUAGUACGGUUAACUAGCCAGUUAGUUGGAAGUUGGUUCUGUGAAUUGGGAAUUUGACUAGGGUACACUGGGAUUUGGACUAAGUGGUCUUCAUCAAAAUCGUAGCCCUCUAUCUUAGCUUCGAAAUGGUAUAAAUUCCAUGCCAAUCUGAUAAGCGUACCUUCCGAUGUGUCCAUUCCGUAAAAACCCGUCAAAUCUGUCUUUUGUUAAACUUCAUUUCCACACUUGUUGUUAGCUUGAUUUUUGUCCUUGUAUUGUCUUGAGCCUAUUGAAUGGCUAUUGAAAUGAAUUUGUGUUGUGUGUAACUUUGGGUUUGAUUGAGGAAAAGAAUGAAACCAUAAAUGGCUGGAAAUAGGAAAAUACAAAGGGCGUGCUGCCCAAAUUUACGCUCGAGGACUAGAGAAAUAUACUUGCGACUUGAGCAAGGGUUAAGAGUGAUCACUACUUGAAUCAUCUAGGAUUUGCGUCUUCUUUUUUCGAGGUAUAUAAGUAAGCCUAGCCGGACUUGUACCCUUAGGAAGAACGGUAAUAAUCACUAUAAAUCUGUUUUCCUUGCACUUUCGACUCAAAAGUUAUUUUCAAGUAAACAUGUUACAGAAUUUUUCAGUUUGAAAAGCGAGCAACUAUUUCACGACCACUCUCCAAGUGAAUUUCAAUUUCUUGAUUCUUAUUGAACAAAACGUCUAAGUUUCGAACCUUAAUCGAUUUUCAAAGUUCUUAAGUCAAGUUUUAUCGCAGAUUUGGACUCCAAACCCGGAGUACCACCUAGACGCAAACACUAGAGGCACUACUUUUGGUGAGUACUUCCAAAUAUCUGAUUGAACUUGAUAAUUGUGAUUUAUCUUUGACCAAUGUGAUUACAUGAUAUAUAAGUGAUUUGAUCGGACAAGGGUGUACUUUAUCACACUUGUCCUAACGAGAAUUGUUCUUGUUUAUCGAUUUCACUUGACUUGCUCUACAUGCAUAUGAAUUGUAUCUUGUUUGGAAUUCCAGAAAUCUUAUGGCUAGUUAAUCGAGUUGAGCGAGCAAGGGUCUGUAUCCUUACAUGUGAAUAUGAUCCAUAUAUUUCUUGACUACCUGAAGUAUCAUCUCUUUGAUUGGACUUGUUUGCUCGCUAUUUCACUAUUACACUGUUAUUACUUUGUUUGAUGGCAAAUUUGAUAUUUGGAACUUCACUGAGCUUUGGCUCACUCCGUUAGUUUUGUUUUCCUUACAGGGGUACUAGCGUAGUCUAGUUGUUUUGACUUUUGACUUGUACUCACGCUAUUACUCGAAUAGAAUGUUUUGUAUCUGGAUUGUAUACACUUUGAACUAGUUUGGGUAUAUUGAGGCUUUGUAUCUUGAUUGUGCAUCAAUGUAAAUUAUAAGCUUGAAUUGCGAUGUUAUUUAUGGUCCACGGAUGUACGCACACGAUACGAGUGAGUGAGCCCUGGCGAGAGCUGGGCAAGCGGUCCGCCGAACCUUUUGGUACGCCUUAGGAGAAGGUGGGGUCGUCACAGGUAGUAUCAGAGCCUAGGUUGUGAAUUGAUCUGGAUAGACUGAGAGCUUGAUACGAUAGGCUAGGGUUUUAUUCUUAAGAUUAGCCUUUAGCCUUGUUUUCUACGUGUUGUGUACUUACUUUUGCAAUGUUACUUGCAAACAUAGGUGAUGGCGGGUACCGACGCUUCUGGGGGUGCGGGGCCGUCUCAGCUCGUGCCUACUGAUGUACCUACUGACGUUCCUACUGAUGAGCCAUAUCUGGAGGGGCCCGUCUGUCGCGUGAUCACGUACCAAGAGAGCCCCGGUGGGCCAGUGUAGCGGUGGUCCCCAGCGCGCAAGAUCCGACGCUGCGACUGCUGGAAGACCUACUCCUACCCUGAUCGGGUAGUGCUUGCGGUGGGCGACGAGCGGAGACGAUUGGGUAGCGCCAAUCGUAGGUGCCAGUCGGAGAUAGAGUGUUUCCAUGCUACUCUUCGAGUCCAGGGAGCUAGGAUCCGAGAGCUGGAGGCCUCGGUUUUGGAGGAGCAGCAGCGAACUGAUGCCUUCCGCGAGCAGGCUUAGGCGACUACUGGACGCCUCAUGCAAGUGGUUGAGGACAUCCGAGACCGGACCGGCCAUAUCCUGACCGAGUGCGAGGCACUGGUAGAGGAUGUGAUACAGGACUUGGCCGAGGAGGGUCAAGUGACUGUAGUCCCUGAGGUUCCUGGUGCUCCUGAGGAGGAUCCGGAGGAGGAUCCUGAGGAGGACCUAGAGGAGGAGCCGAGUGCAUCCGCGAAGUCAAUUGGGUCGGCGUCUAGCCAGACGACUUUUUAGGAUUGAGAACUAAGGAGAUUUUUGUGGGAUAGUUAGGAACAUAGUAGGACGACACGUUUUCUUUUGUUUUAGACUUUGACGUGUCACGGUGGAUGUAAAUAGGGUUUCUUUUGUUCUAUGUUCCUUGGCUAGUAUAGCCUUUGACUUGCCUAGGUUGGCAUGUAUAUGUGACUUGUUUGCUACGUAUAUAAAGUACUUGUUUAUAAUGCGUUUUAUUACCUUUAUUUAUCCUUUUGCAACGUGUUAUAUGAGUCAUACCUUACUUUGUUUAUAUGUCCAUAGUUGGUUAAAUCCAAAACAUGGAGGGUAGAAGAAGUCAAUCCAGAGGAACUAACCGAGGAUGAGGUCCUAGUCGUGGCCGCGGGGGUAGACAAGCACAAGAACCGGUGCAAGAAUCGAGAGAGGAGAGAGAGGCAACGAUUGAGCCACAACCUGAACCCCAGGUUGCAGGGGGAGAUCAAGUGGCAACUGCCAUCCAGCAAAUGACCAAUAUUCUGGCCCAUUUAGUGGAACAACAGGGUCAAGCUCCUGUAAAUCAACCUAGGGAUCCCGAUAAUGGGCAAGAUAGGGCCUUAGAGAGAUUCCAGAAGUUCUCUCCACCUAAAUUCUUGGGAGGACCAGACCCGGACGGAGCCAAGAAAUGGCUGGAGGCCAUGAUUAACAUCUUUGCCGCUUUAAACUAUACAGAGGAGAGGCAAGUGCAAUUCGCUAUUUUUCAGUUCGAAGGUCCAGACAGGGCUUGGUGGAAUGUAGUUAGGGCCAAACGGAAGAGAGAGGGAACUGCAUGGACCUGGUUAAACUUUGUACGGGAGUUUAACGAAAAAUACCUUCCGCCUAUCGUCCAGGAGAGAAGAGAGGACGAUUUUAUUAACCUCCGGCAAGGAACUUCUAGCGUAGCUGAGUAUGAGACUCAGUUUACGAAAUUGUCAAAAUUUGCUCCUGAGCUGAUCGCUACGGAGCAAAGAAGAGUACGGAGAUUUGUGCAAGGGCUCAAUGUGGAGAUACAAGAGGCCUUGGCGGCAGCUCAGAUUAAUACGUUUACGGAGGUUUUGGAGAAGGCCCAAAGGAUAGAGACUGCCAGGGUACAAGUGAGAAAUUUCCACGCCAAACGAAAAGGGGUACCUAGUGGAGCCCAAGGGUCAGUGCGGAGUGAUCGGAACAUGCCACCUGCUAAAUCCGGUCGUGGGGCUGGAGGUGGACAAUUUUCGAGUGCAUCUAGGGAAAGUGCUCAGAGAGGAGGUGCCUAGAGAGGAGGUCAAGUGGUAGGGACAAGGUAGAGGAAUCCACAGGGAGGCCAGACCUCCACUCCCGAGUAACAUACAGAUAUUGUGGAAAAUCGAACCAUACAGAGGAUGAAUGCUGGAGAAAGGCUCAGAAGUCUGUGGAAGUACGGAGCACCAGAUAGUCAACUGCCCGUUGAUUAGUGAUACUCAGUCGACUGCCACGUCAAACCCAAAGCCGACCAAUGUCGGAGGGACCAGGUCGAGGGUACGGCCAGAGUGUAUUCGCUGGACGCAACAAUCCGUGCCUGAACCAACGGAAGUAGUAGAAGGUACGAUCCCUGUUUUUCACCGGUUAGCCAAAAUUUUGAUAGACCCCGGUGCUACUCAUUCUUUUGUUAACCCUACAUUUAUGCUUGGAAUUGACAUGAAAGUUGAAAGGCUACCUUAUGACUUAGAAGUAAGGACACCUACGGGUAACCAAAUUUUACUUGUGAUGAGAAUAUAAAGACCAAGGCCCAUUCAAGCACAUGGGGAAUUGGAAGAUUCAAGUGAAAACUAGUUGAUUGCACGAAUGCUUGAGUUUAGUAGGAUUAUUUGAUUUUUCUCGUCGAUUUUGGUUAUUUCUCGCUUUAGAAAGUCUCGGUAAUUAAGCUAGUUUAAUUGCGGCCCAUUUGUUAAUAAGUAAGGCCCAAAAUCUUUCUUAAGUAUGUAGGGUAGUUUGGUCAACUUUUUGGAUUAGGGUUAAUGCUUGUAAGGGCUAUAAUAGCCCACUUCCUCUUUGUUUCACAUCAGUUGGUACCAGAGCUAGUCGACAACCACCAGGUUAUAUCUUUUUUUUUUUCGUGUAUUUCGAGUCAUAUAUGUUUAUCCCAAUCUGUUCGUUUGUUUAGAACCAAAAAAAAAAAAAAGAGUCACUGUUCACCGGUACUGUUCACACCAACACUGUUCAUCAUACUGUUCACCGACACUGUUCAUAGUUACUGUUCAUCCGAAUACAAAUCUGUCCAGCCUUGUUGUUUGUGUUAUCCAACUUGUUUACUUAGUUUUCAAUUUGGAUUUUGGCAAAACUUGUUGGAAUUUUGUGAAUCUUGAAGAGAACUUACAAUAAUCUUGAGCUUCUUGCAUUCUUGAUCACAAUCUUGAAAUUUCUGAAGUUCCUGACAACUUCCUUGAAAGUUCUUGAAAGAUCUUGGAGUUCUUGGUAGUUAUUAUUUGUGGACUUCCUUGUUUUGUGUCGUGGUUGAUAGUUGUAGUCGAAAAAAAAAAUGGAAAGGAAAGAAAGUGGCAACCGAAUUGUUUUGAAUAGGGAACCAAAUCUGAUUUGUGCAAUCUUUCUUGGAGUAGAAUUUGGAAGUUACCAAAGUUGUUUCAAGAAGAUUACCAAAGGUUGUUUCAAGAAGAUUACCAAAAGUAGAAGGUUACCAAAAGUUGUUCAAGAGGAAAAGGAUUUUCAAAGGAUUUCCAAAAACUAACUUUUUUCCAAAAUCAAUUAGGAAACUAAGUAAAGCACUUGGAUAACUCUUUGUACUCAUUUGAACACUCUCUCUGCUACUUUUUAGGAAACUUUCCCAAAUUCUCUCAUCGAUUUUUUUUUUUUGGAAACUUUCCUAAAUUCUCUCAUCCAUUUUUUUUAGGAAACUUUCCUAAACUCUCUCAUCCAUUUCUUUUGUAAACUUUCCUAAAGUCUCCCAUGUAUUUUUAUGAAACUUUCCUAAAUUCUCUCAUCAUUUUUAGGAAACUCUCCUAUAUUCUCUCAUCCACUUUAGGAAACUCUCCUAUAUUCUCUCAUCCACUUUAGGAAACUCUCCUAUAUUCUCUUCCUAGAUUUUAGGAACACUCUCUACACUUUCUCCUAUAUUUUCUCCUAGCUUUUAGGAACACUUCCAUACACUUUCUCCUACAUCUCCGUGAUUACUCUUGAGGAAGAAGUUGGUAACAAUUAUUUGGGCUUGAGCAGCAUUUCUCAAACUACCUAACCCAACAGGUAAAGGUGUUUGGUAAGUCCAUUGGAGCACUUUGAGUGACAUACACGAGGGUGAGUGAUACACUAAGGGAGUGAGUGAGGCAGUUUCUACUAACUGUUUGUUGAGCCUUGCAGGUACUCUAUAAACAUGUCUCAAACUCAUGCGACAAGUGACCCUUAUGACAUGAAACAUGUUCUUGAAGCAUUAACAGGCGCCAUUGAUCGCAUGGCUCAGAGAAUUGAUACACUGGAGGAUAAGGUGGAGCAAUCAACCCUAGGCAAGAAUGCCUCCAAGAGACCCAUACGUGGAGGAGUUAGGUGAUUCGAACAAUGAGGAGGACAUGACAGAUGGAAACUGAUUCCGAAAUUAUAAACGCAUCCCUAAUCAAGGGAUGAUGAACUAAAGGGAAUCAAGCUCAAAAUUCCUACCUUUCCAGGCAAGUCGGACCCUGAAACAUAUUUGGAAUGGGAGAGGAAGACUGAGAUGUUCUUUGACUGCAACACUACUCAGAGUCCAAAAAGUAAAGUUGGCAACCAUUGAGUUCACUGAAUACGCAGCCGUUUGGUGGGAUCAGAUUCGCACCAGACAAAGGAGAAAUGAAACACCACUCAUUCGCACCUGGGAAGAACUCAAAAGGAUCACGAGGAAGCGCUUCAUACCAGCGUAUUACCACAGGGAUUUGCACCAUAAAUUGCAAACUCUCACCCAAGGUAGUAUGACGGUUGAGGAUUACUUCAAGGAGAUGGAGAUGGCCAUGCUGCGGGCUGAUGUUCGGGAGGAUAUAGAGGCAACCAUGGCACGUUUCUUGAGAGGACUACACACUGAAAUUGCAGAUGUUGUGGAGCUCCAACAUUACCUUGACAUGGAUGAAUUAUUGGACAAAGCUAUCAAGGUGGAAAAGAGGCUCAAGAGGAGGGGUAUCCCCACCAAAGCUCCAACGUCCAAUCUGGAAAUUGGAGAACUCAGCAGUAUAAAGGCUAGAUUACCCACACGAGUGAGUAAAAGUCAGCCAAGGCAAGUGGGGUUUCGAAUGGAGCAUGGGUGCCUGGUUCGUUAUCUUCAACACCGACCCAAAGGGCCGAAUUUAAGGCUGAUCUAGGGGCAUUUAAACCUAGAAACCACGACACUAAGUGCUUUAAGUGUCAAGGUUUCAGUCACAUCGCGUCCCAAUGCCCAAACCGAAGGACCAUGCUCAUGUUUCCAAGUGGUGAAGUGCUAACGGAUGAGGAGGAUGAGUAUGAAGGCAUGCCACCAUUGGUUGAGGAAGAAGAGAUAAUUGCCCCUGACCAACCAGUUGGACUAGGCCUUGUUACAAGGUUGGCAUUGAGUGCUCAACGCACAAAUGAAGAAGAGCAGCGUACCAACAUCUUCUAUACCCGAUGUCUAGUUAACGGGAAAGUGUGUAGCUUGAUUAUCGACGGAGGAAGUUGUACCAAUGUCGCCAGUGCCUUAUUUGUCAAGAAGUUACACCUACCUGUCCAAGAUCACCCUACACCAUAUAAACUUCAAUGGUUUAGUGAUUGCGGCGAAGUGCGAGUGUCCAAGCAGGUUUCUGUGAAGUUUAACAUUGGGAGAUAUGAGGAUGAGUUGGUGUGUGACGUGGUUCCUAUGCAAGCUGCCCAUCUUAUUCUUGGAAGACCUUGGCAAUUUGAUCGCGAGGUUACUUAUGAAGGUCAUUCCAACAAAUACUCGUUCAUGCAUAAAGGGACAAGGGUCAUACUUGUUCCACUCUCACCUACACAAGUUCGAGAGGACCAAAAUGUUUUACAGAGGGAAUGUGAGUUGGAUCGAUUAGAAGGCAAGGAAAAGAAAGGGCGAACAUUGAUCAUGCUCGCUAAACCUGAGGACAACAUCGGGCACUGGGAGCUGGAUUGUUCCAUCUUUGUGAUGUUUAACGUGUUUUCAUUUGUGCAGGUUGUUCGUGGUCAGAUAUCCUUCAUCUUGCAGUGUGCAAUACCCGCAACCAUAGAGAUCUGCGAAGAGAGUGCUGGUCAAGUAAUUCCAACCAACACUAGUCGAGUUACAUUGGCCUUUGAUGCAGUUUUUGCACGUCUUGAUGCGUACAACUCACAGCCCAACCAAACUUCGGUUCACCGGGCGUCCGCCCACAAUCCACCCAUACGGUUGAGACGUCGCUUGUGUGACCAUUUUCAUGGAAAUCUUGCUGUCCGCAACAUAUAUCUACCACCACCACGAGUUGUCCUUGUUCCACCCAAGGAUGUCAUGAUCAUUCUUCGCUUAAGACGGCGACAUGCAGGCUGCUUGGUGACUAUACACAUGCUCUCUUCACUUUUGUUUUGUAAGGGAGUCAUGAUUUGGGGACAAAUCACCUUUAAGAGGAGGGGAAUGAUGAGAAUAUAAAGACCAAGGCCCAUUCAAGCACAUGGGGAAUUGGAAGAUUCAAGUGAAAACUAGUUGAUUGCACGAAUGCUUGAGUUUAGUAGGAUUAUUUGAUUUUUCUCGUCGAUUUUGGUUAUUUCUCGCUUUAGAAAGUCUCGGUAAUUAAGCUAGUUUAAUUGCGACCCAUUUGUUAGUAAGUAAGGACCAAAAUCUUUCUUAAGUAUGUAGGGUAGUUUGGUCAACUUUUUGGAUUAGGGUUAAUGCUUGUAAGGGCUAUAAAUAGCCCCACUUUCUCUUUGUUUCAGAUCAGUUUUUGACUAUUAAAUACAAUUAGUGAGUUUUCACUUUCUCUUUGGCAAGAGAGCUUCCUUUGAAUACUUGAGAAUCUUCUCAAGUUAUUCACCUGAACUUAUCAAUCGAGUAUCUCCUUGAUUGUGGCGUUCUACUACCUCCAAUUUGGUUCGUUAAUUCGAGUAAUGACGGGUUGAGAUAAUAUCAAAAUUGUUCAUGACUUCUAGGGAUUAGUUGGGUCAGAUUUUCACUGCCUAAACCAUGGUGUUUUGGUUGUCUAGAUCGGGGUUUCACAUCAACUUGCGAAUGAGGUGUACAGGAAUUGUGAUAUUUGGGUUGGUGAACGGAAAUUGGUAGUCGACCUCAUUAGUCUAGCCAUUAAGGGGUACGAUGUCAUUCUAGGUAUGGAUUGACUAGGUCAUUACCAUGCUCGGGUAGAUUGUAGGAUGAAAGUGAUAGAGUUUUACAUACCAGAUGAGGCAACUUUGAAGUUAGACGUGAGGGGUAUGUUAGCCUCAUCUGCGCUCUUUUCGGGAAUAAGGGCUAAGAAAUUGCUUAGUCAUGGGGCAUGCGGUUGUCUAGCUUUUCUAGUUAACACUCCGGAGAAAAGAUGAAGUUGGAGGACAUGCCGGUAAUCAGUGAAUACCGGGAUGUAUUUUCGGAGGAGUUGGGGUUACUGUCACCGAAAGGGAGAUUGAAUUUAAGGUUGAUCUAGUACCCGGAACUACUCCCAUCUCUAAAACCCCUUAUCGAAUGGCACCUGCUUAGUAUAAGGAGUUAAAGGUGCAAUUGCAGGAUUUGCUAGAAUGGGGGUUCAUACAUGAGAGCGAGUCACUAUGGGGAGCUCCAGUGCUAUUUGUUAAAAAGAAGGACGGGAGUUUAAGGUUAUGCAUUGACUAUCGAGGGCUGAAUGCAGUAACUGUUAAGAAUAAAUAUUCUUUGUCCCACAUUGAUGAGUUGUUUGAUCAGUUACAAGGGACUGUGGUGUUUUUGAAAUUGGAUCUGCGACAAGGGUACUAUCAGUUAAGAAUCAGAAAGGAGAAUGUGCCAAAAACGGCGUUUAACACUCGAUAUGGGCAUUUUGAGUUUGCGAUAAUGCCUUUUGGCUUAACCAAUGCCCGACGGCAUUCAUGGGCUUAAUGUAUCGAGUGUUUAAACCUUACUUGGAUAGGUUUGUAGUGGUGUUCAUUGAUGAUAUCCUAGUAUAUUCGAAAUCAAGGGAGGAGCAUGAACAACACUUGCGAAUAGUGCUACAAACCCUAAGAGAGCACCAAUUGUUCGCUAAGUUCAGCAAGUGUGAAUUUUGGCUAGAAAAAGUGGCGUUCCUAGGUCAUAUAAUUUCAAAAGAUGGGCUUGCUGUAGCCCCGGCGAAAGUGAAAGCUGUAGCCAAAUGGAAGCGACCAAAGAAUCCUACAGAGGUGUGAAGUUUUCUAGGUUUAGCAGGGUACUACCGCCGAUUUAUAAAGAACUUCUCGAGAAUUAUGGGACCCUUAACUAAUCUUGACCAAGAAACAAGAAAAGUACAUUUGGGAUGUUAACUGUGAGAGUAGUUUCCAAGAGCUUAAGAAGCAAUUGACUAUGGCUCUAGUGUUGGUUUUGCCCAAUGGGAACGAUAGCUACACGAUUUAUACCGAUGCUUCAAAAGAGGGGUUAGGGUGUGUGUUGAUGUAAAAUAGGAAUGUGAUUGCCUAUGCAUCUCGGAAGUUAAAACCUCAUGAGCAAAACUAUCCAACCCAUGACUUGGAGCUUGCAGCUGUUGUGUUUGCUUUGAAAAAAUGGCGACACUAUCUAUAAGGUGUGACUUUCGAGGUAUAUAAGGAUCACAAGAGUCUUAAGUAUCUAUUUUCUCAGAAGGAGCUAAAUCUAAAACAACGUCGGUGGGUGGAGUUCUUAAAAGAUUAUGAUUACACGAUUAACUAUCAUCCCGGAAAGGCCAACGUUGUAGCAGAUGCUUUAAGCCGAAAGGCUCAACUAGCAAGUUCCAUGGUGAGAGAGUGGAGCUUGUUGGAAGAUGUAUGUGAGUGGAAACCUCGUCUGGAACCGAAGAAGGUGAUUUUUGAAAAUAUUGAGAUGAAGUCGACACUGUUGGAUCAGAUCAAAGAGGCCCAAGUGAAGGACACAAUGGUGCAAAAGUGGGUGGAAAAUGUGAAGAAAGGGGAGUUGCCUAACUUUAACCUAGGUCCUGAUGGAAUCUUGAAGUUCCGAAAUCGUGUCGUUGUACCUAGGGAGGAGGAGUUAAAGAGGGAGAUUUUGGAGGAAUCACACUGCUCUAGGUAUACGGUGCACCCAGGGAAUAAUAAGAUGUACCAAGAUCUCAAAAGUCUGUAUUGGUGGGAGAAUAUGAAGGCGGAGAUUGCCCAGUUUGUACAAAGGUGUCUUACGUGCCAACAAGUGAAAGCUGAGCAUCAAAAACUAUCAGGUCUGUUACAGCCUUUAGAGAUCCCUGAAUGGAAAUGGGAGCACAUAACGAUGGAUUUUGUAUCAGGGUUGUCACGAACACAAAAGGGGCAUGAUGCAAUUUGGGUAAUAGUGGAUCGAUUAACUAAGACCGCACAUUUCCUGUCAGUAAAUAUGAAAUAUUCUUUGGAGAAACUUGCCAAACUUUAUAUGGAUGAAGUGGUGAGACUACAUGGGGUACCAGUGAGCAUUGUAUCCGAUAGAGACCCUAGGUUUGUAUCCCGAUUCUAGUAGAAAUUCCAAGAGGCUCUAGUAACUAAGUUGAAUUAUAGUACAACAUAUUACCCGCAAACUGAUGGAUAAUCUUAGAGAACCAUUCAAACUCUUGAGGAUAUGCUGAGAGCCUGUAUUGUGGACUUUGGAGGAAGUUGGAGCUGAUACUUAACCUUGGUUGAAUUUGCAUAUAACAAUAGUUAUCAUUCCUCCAUUCAAAUGGCCCAUAUGAAGCCUUGUAUGGACAACGAUGUCGAUCCCCAAUCCAUUGGGAUGAAGUAGGAGAGAGAAAGAUUAUAGAUCCGACUACAGUACCAUGGGUUGAGGAAGCCUACGAACGGGUAAAGGUGAUCCGCUAGAGACUUCAAACAGCCCAAAGCCGACAAAAGAGUUAUGCCGAUCAUCGGAGGAAGGAUUUGGAGUUUGAGAUAGGGGAUAAGGUGUUUCUUCGGAUUACCCCGUUGAAAGGAAAAAUUAGAGCAGGAAAAGGGAAGAAAUUGCAACCACGAUACAUAGGACCUUUCAAUAUACUCCAGCGAAUAGGAAAGGUGGCUUAUCAACUUGAGUUACCAGCUAGUUUGUCUCGGAUCCAUGACGUUUUCCAUGUUUCUUUGCUUAAGAAAUACCAUCCGGAUCCGACUCACAUUUUGCCACCCGAAGAUGUUGAACUCGAUGAGUCCUUAACCUAUGAAGAACGACCCAUUCAAAUAUUGGAUCGAAAGGUGAAGGACCUGAGAAACAAGCAGAUUCCAUUAGUAAAGGUUCUAUGGAAGCAUCAUGAAGUGGAAGAAGCAACCUGGGAGCUAGAAAAAGACAUGCAAGAGAAAUAUCCCGACCUGUUCACGAUGAAAGGUAUGAAUUUCGAGGUCGAAAUUCUUUUAAUGAGGAGAGAGUGUGAGGACUCGCAAAUUCCUUAUAUUUCUCUCAAAAAUGCCCUUUUAUUUGGAAAUUAUUCAUUUAUUAUAGCCUCCUACCCAAUCAUUCCACAAUAAGUGCAAAUGAACCUAGAAAGUAGGGUUUCACUUUUCGUUUUCAAGUUCGAGCAAGUUAGGGUUUUCACGUUUUUCUGUAGGGUGAUUUUUUGAUAUGGAGUGGGGAUCAAAUUUGGUGCUUAAGAGUGACUUUUAGGUGAGAAAUAAUAUGUGAUUAGAAGCAAUGAUAAAAAGUUAGUGAAUAGGAAGUAAAAACCCUAGUACGUGUGAUUUAAGGAAAAAUGGUGCGAACCGACGUGUACCGUGCUCUACCGAUUGAACACACCACUUGGUCACCACUUUCUUACCAUAUAAGCUCAUUAAUAUUUGAGUAAAAUUUCCCCUCGUUCUCAGCUGGCUUUGGGCGAAAAGUUUGACCAAAUUGGCAAGGAAAAGAAACAAAAAAAUGAGUGGAAAUUGGUAGUGACACUUGUUGGCCAUCUAGGGCCUUGACCAAGACCAAAUUGUUUUGCCUUCUUAUCACCAUUUAGCUUCCUUUCUUCCUCAUUUCCUGCUUGCUUUGGCCGAGAGAGAGGGAGAGAAAAACCAAGGGAGAGCUUCACCAAUCCAUCUUGAGUUUGAGCCAUCCAAGUGAGGAAACAAGAAACUAAACCGAUUAAAACCUUCUUUGAGUGUUUAGCUAGUGGUGUGUUGGUGAAAUUUUGGAAGGAAAAGCUAGGGCUGCUCUUGGUAGUAUCUUUAGCAAGGUAAUAAUGCUGAUUUACCAUUUCUUACUCCUAAUCUUGCUUAACUUGGCAUAAAAUUGUGGUGCAUGAUAGCUAUUAUAAUGAUUUGGAUGGAUAUAGUGUAUGUUCUUGAGUUAUAUGAGUUAGGGUUUGAAGGAUUUUCUGCCUAUACUUGCUGUAUGGAUAUUAUAUGUUGUAUUUAAGCUUAUAUAAGAGGUUGUGGUAGUGAUUGAAGCAAGAAAUGAAGAAAGUUUCCUUUGAAACCGUAAAAUUUCAGAUUUCUGGAAAAUUGUAGUUCAGUUCUGUCUGGUGUUAGUUCAUGAUGUUAGAGGCCGAAUUAGGCUUAGGAUAAAACAUGAAAGUUGUAUAGAAUGAUGUUUUAUAGUUUCCUACAAAAUUUCAACUCAAUCGGAGCAAUGUAGCCUGUUAAAAGACCAAAAUACCCUCACUGUCCUAGGAUGCAUCCAGUGAUCCGUUUUAGACAGUUCAUCCAGUUGACUGUGUCUAUUCACUAUGAUCCGUGCUGAUUUAGCCAUUUACCAAAACAUGAAAGUUUUAGUACUCUAUCUUAGCUUUUCAACUCCUCUAAGAACGCCUUAAACGGACUUUGGUAGCCUGAGAUAUGGUCAUUUAAAUGUAGUACGGUUAACUAGCCGGUUAGUUGGAAGUUGGUUAUGUGAAUUGGGAAUUUGACUAGGUUACACUGGGAUUUGGACUAAGUGGUCUUCAUCAAAAUUGUAGCCCUCUGUCUUAGCUUCGAAAAAAUAUAAAUUCCAUCCCAAUCUGAUAAGCGUAGCUUCAGAUGUGUCCAUUCCGCAAAAAUCCAUCAAAUCUGUCUUUUGUUAAACUUCAUUUCCGUACUUGUUGUUAGCUUGAUUUUUGUCCUUGUAUUGUCUUGAGCCUAUUGAACGGCUAUUGAAAUGAAUUUGUGUUGUGUGUAACUUUGGGUUUGAUUGAGGAAAAGAAUGAAACCAUAAAUGGCUGGAAAUAGGAAAAUACAAAGGGCGUGCUGCCCCCAAAUUUACGUCGAGGACUAGAGAAAUAUACUUGCGACUUGAGCAAGGGUUAAGAGUGAUCACUACUUGAAUCAUCUAGGAUUUGCGUCUUCUUUUUCGAGGUAUAUAAGUAAGGACUAGCCGAACUUGUACCCUUAGGAAAAUCGGUAAUAAUCACUAUAAAUCUGUUUUCUUGCACUUUCGACUCAAAAGUUAUUUCCAAGUAACAUGUUACAGAAUUUUUCAGUUUGAAAAGCGAGCAUACUUUCACCGGACACUCUCCAAGUGAAUUUCAAUUUCUUGAUUCUUAGUGAACGAAACUUCUAAGUUUUGACCUUAAUCGAUUUUCAAAGUUUUUAAGUCAAGUUUUAUCGCAGAUUUGGACUCCAAACACGGAGUAGCCACCCAGACGCGAACACUAGAGGCUACUACUUUUGGUGGGUGCUUCCAAAUAUCUGAUUGAACUUGAUAUUUGUGAUUUAUCUUUGACCAAUGUGAUUACAUGAUAUAUAAGUGAUUUGAUCGGGCAAGGGUGUACUUUAUCACACCUGCCCUAACGAGAAUUGUUCUUGUUUAUCGAUUUCAUUUGACUUGCUCUACAUGCAUAUGAAUUGUAUCUUGUCUGGAAUUCUAGAAACCUUGUGGCUAGUUUAAUCGAGUUGAGCCGGCAAGGGCGCUGGUCGAUUAGAUAACGAACCCUGGGUAACUAGUAAUGUCGAGUGGAGUGUUAUUUCCUCGGCUAAUCGGUAUACGAGUAUUACCACCCGUGUUUCGUGUGGCGUGCAGGCCCGGAAAAGGGGGUUGAUCGUGUGGACAGAGACUGGAGUGAAGUGGGGUUUUCUUUCUGGACUAGUUAUUACUUGAAAGUUGACGGAGUGUCAAUUACCAAUCGAUCAAGCUGGGAUGGAGCCGAGACAUGAGCCACUGUAUCCUUACAUGUGAAUAUGAUCCAUAUAUUUCUUGACUACCUGAAGUAUCAUCUCUUUUAUUGGACUUGUUUGCUCGCUAUUUCACUAUUAAACUGUUACUACUUUGUUUGAUGGCAAAUUUGAUAUUUGGAACUUCACUGAACUUUGGCUCACUCCGUUAGUUUUGUUUUCCUUAUAGGGGUACGAGCGAGGCGUGAGACGUGUAAAGACUAGCAUAGUCUAGUUGUUUAGACUUUUGACUUGUACUCGCGCUAUAACUCAAAUAGAAUGUUUUGUAUCUGGAUUGUAUACACUUUGAACCAGUUUGGGUAUAUUGAGGCUUUGUAUCUUGAUUGUGCAUCAAUAUAAAUUAUAAGCUUGAAUUGCGAUGUUAUUUAUGGUCAACGGAUGUACGCACGUGAUACGAGUGAGUGAGUCCUGGCGAGAGCUGGGCAGGCGGUCUGCCGAACCCUUUGGUAUGCCUUAGGGGAAGGUGGGGUCGUCACACACGAAAAUCCGAAAUAAGAUAAUUCACAUAUCGAGAUGGCCAGUCCCAAGAGUAAACUAUCUACAAUCUAGAUUCUUACCUGACGUAUCUAUCAAUUGUACUCAAAUACUGGGAGAAAGAUUUAAGGCCUAAUAACAAUUCAUGACUCCAUAGCUUAAGCUCAACGAGCACUUAAUCAUUCAUACUUAUUCACCACUUAGCCCAAGCUCACUCCGCGCAGAGAUCACGCGAAGCAGGCUCUGAUACCAACUGUGACAGCCAACCUCCCCUAAGGCGAACCAAAGGGUUCGGUGGACCGCCUGCCCAGCUCUCGCCAGGACUCAGUCAUUCACUUCAACCCCAAACAAAACUAGAAUAAACGCACAAGAAUAAAUAUAACGACGAUCCAAAACUUAAAGCAAAACUUAUGUACAUCACUAUCUCUAAAGGGAGUACGAACAUCGAAUAUACAAAGGUUCUCAAUUCACCACACAUCCAGCCCGUGCCAAGCACCAAGGAGAGAACCAUUACAAAAUCAAAGAACUAGACUAGGCUAGUCUAUACAGAGCUCUCAUCCUGCUCGCCUCCCCUGUUAAGGAAAACAAAACUAAAGGAAUGAGCUAAAAGCUUAGUGAGGUUCUGAACACAUAAUCAAACAUCAAUCCAAUACAUUAAACAUAGAGUAUCAAUAGUUCAAGAAACAUUUACAAUGGAAAGCAUAAUCACACAUUCAUUAAAAGGAUACGGGCUGAAGAGGAAGUGCAGAAAAUUGGUUUAAGAAGGCUAGUUACAUCACUUGGCCACCACCUUUCAUUUUUCUCUUUCUUCCUUGCUAUUUUCUAGCCUCAAAUUUUCGGUCAAAGCAGCUGCCAAACAAGAAGAUAUUUUGCUCAAAAGUCAAUAAGCUUGUAUGGUAAGAAAGUGUGGUCAAGUGGUACGUUCAACCGGUAGUGCGCGGGACCCGCCGGUUCGCGCCGUUUUUCUUAAAAACUCACGUACUACUGUUUUUUUUUCUUCCCAUACUCUAACCUUAUAUCAUUGCUACUACUCACAUAUGAUUUUUUUACUUAAAAGUCACUUUUAAUCACCAAAUUGAUCCUUGGUCAGUACCGAAAAUUCAUCCGGCGAAAAAUCACGAAAACCCUAAUUUUGCUCAAAUCUUGAAACCGAAGUGUAAAACCCUAUUUCCAGGUUCAUUUGCACUUAUUGUUGAACAAUUGGGUAGUAGGGCCUUAAUAAAUAAUAAUUUUCAAAUAAAAGGAAAUUUUUUAAGAAAACGUGAGGAAUUUACAAUUUCAAUAAUUAACAUUAGAAUCUCUAGUAAAAUAUGAAAGAUUUAAGAAACCGUUUAGUCACAAGUAAACUAGGGUUUUUGAUUAAAACAUUAGGGUUUCUAGUCGUUUAAAACGAAAUAAGAUUUUAAAUCAAACUCGAAGAAAUAUACUUUAAUAUUUUCUUCACAAACAACCUCCUAAUAUUCGGGAUGUUACAAUCUCCCCUCCUUAAAAGAAUUUCGCCCUCGAAAUUCCAACGGGUACUAAGAGUCCUUUAAAGUCAAUCAGGUACUAGAAAUCACUCCAAUCCCUUAUAUAUGACCUUAUCAUUUAGUAAAGAGCUAAGAGAUAACCAAAUAGAUCACGUAAAAAGGGCUCAAUUCACAUAACUAGCCCUGAGUUGAAAGUAAAGUCUAAGAUAUUCGAAAAAUUUAGAACAUGGCUUAGCCUCAAGUCGAAAAUUUCUCAAGUCGAAAAUUUUACCCCUGGCGGUGCUUGGAAAGACAACAGGCAAAGGCUCACCAGAGAGUUUUAGUUCAACAGCUACAGAGGAGAAGUAGCUGGUCUACAGCCCCACAAAUACGAAUAAGUUCAAAAGCAAGGUCAAAGCAGGGUUCAAACAUAUAAGUUCAAAAGUAGAUUCAAUUACUUCAAGUUCAAGAAGCACGGGUACAAAUAAGAACUCACUCGACUAGCCUAUACCCAGCAAUUCACAUUCUCAAACAGUCGCCGAAUUCAAAUCCACAUAUAGGUCAUAUUACUCAUGUGUAAAAAUCAAAUCAGGUCCAUUACAUGUACGUAAGAGCACACUCGCCAAAACAAGUUCAAGUCCCAAAUGAGCUCAUUUUAGUCUGUCUCAGACAGUUCAAGUAUUGCAAACCCCUUUCAUCGGUCCAAUAACAAGGUUAAAUGUUAGAAUCAUCCACGCUUUAACCUUUCCAUCAAAACUCACCUCAAGUGCAAUCAAGAUACAGACCCUUAUUCUAACGCUCUUCAAUAUAUGAUACCCAAGUACAAGAAUCCACAAUAAGACAAUUCACAACUCGAGCCGGCCGGUCCCAAGAGUAAAUUACCCAUAUUAGAGAUUCCUACCCAACAUACAUAUCUAAGGUCCCCAACAAUAGACAAUUGUUCCACACUUAACAAGUCAAUCCCCACAGUCCAAGAACCUUCUCCCGGCACGAGCUCGAUAGGAGCUCUGAUACCAUCUGUGACGACCCCACCUCCCCCUAAGGCGUACCAAAGGGUUCGGCGGACUGCCUGCCCAGCUCUCGCCAGGACUCACUCACUAUCUCUAUCGAAUAAUGUACACACAACCAUGAACCAUAAAUAACAAUCCCAAUUCAAGCUUAUAAUUUACAUUGAUAGAAAUCGAGGUACAAAGUCUCAAUAUACUCAAACUGGUUCAAGGCGUAUACAAUCCAAAUACAAAACAUUCUAUUCGAGGAAUAGCACGAGUACAAGUCAAAAAUCAAACAACUAGUCUAUGCUAGACUUUACAUAUCUCGCACCUCGCUCGUACCCCUGAAAGGAAAACAAAUGGAGUGGAAUGAGCUAAAAGCCCAGUGAGGUUCCAAAUAGCAAAUUGACCAUUAUUUAUAAGUACGAGUUUUCGAUAUAGCAAAGUAACGAGCAUAAAGUGUUCAUGAAGUGUUCAUAAAUGUGAACAGUAACACGUCAAGUGGCAAUCUUAAAAUGAGCAAAUAUAGAAGUUUUUUUCAAAAGAAACAAUAAUCCAACAAACAAUAAGUAUUCCAAAGCAUAAGGAUACGGAUGGCUCUCAGGAGCCAAAUUCCCCUUUGCAUUACCAGAAGCUUGAUCACGUAGUAGUUGACACUCCGUCAACUUUCAAGUAAGUAACCAAUCCAGUAGAACACCACUUAAACGACUCUCCGUCCACCGUUCAACCCCCAGCUGGGCCCAAAAUCCUCAAUAAACACGGUGGUAAUACUCGAGUAUACCGAUUAGUCGAGGAGAUAUCACUCCACUCGACAAUACAAGAGACCCCGGGUUCGUUACCCAAUCGACCAAGCCCUUGCCGGCUCGACUAGAGUAACUCGCCACAGGGUUUCUGGAAUUCCAGGAAGUGCGCGCAUCAUAAUCAAGUAUAUCAAGUCAAUUGCAACAAUAAACAAAUAUAUCACGUAAGGGCAAGUGCGAUAAAGUACACUCUUGCCCUUACAAUUCAUGUAUAUAACAUGUAAUCAGAUUGGUCACGUAUCAAGUUCAAGUAUCAAGUUCAAUUCGGUAUUUGAAAGCACUCACCAAAAGAUAUAGUGCCUUUACUGGUCACUUUCAGGUUAUACUCCGGGUUCGGAGUCCAAAUCUGCGAUAAAACUCAGUUUGAGAACUUUGAAACAUGACUAAGAUUCAAAACUUAGACGUUUCGUUCAAUAAAAAUCAAGAGAUUGAAAUUCACUCGGAUGGUAGUCGUGAAACACUUGCUCGCUUUUUAAAUGGUAAAACUUUGUAACAUUUAUACUUGAAAAUGCCAUGCAAGUCGAAAGUAUAAGGAAAACAUACUCCGAGCAAUCAUUAUUUCCUUUCUCAAGGGUACAAGUUCGGCCAAGUCCUUCCUUAUAUACCCCGGAACAAAAAUACUCAAGUACCCUAGAUGGUUCAAGCACUAUUCAUAUCAAUUCGACCCAAGUCGCAAGUGUAUUUAUAUAGUUCUCGAGCGUAAAUUCGGGCAGCAUGCCCUUUGUGUUUACCUAAUUUUCCAGCCAUUUAGGCUUCAUUAUUUUUCUCAACCACAACCCAACAUCACAUAUGUCAACAAUUCAUGUCCAGAGCCGUUCCAUAGGCUCACAAUAUCAUAAUAACAAGAAUCACAACAAUGACAAGUGCAGAAAUUCAACUUAGCACAAGACAGAUUUGACGUACGAAUGCGGAAAUAACAUAUCCGAGGCUACGCUUAUUGGAUUGAGGCGUAACCUAUGCCGUUUCGAAGCUGAGAUAUAGGGCUGCAAUGUUCAUGAAGGUCACUUAGUCCAGUUCCUAAUGUAGCUUAGUCAAAUCCUCAAAUUACUAAACCAGAAACCAAUUCGUCGGCUAUAUAACCGCAUUACCCUGUAAUGGUCAUAUCUCAGAGUACAAAAGUCCGAAUCAGGUGUUCUUAGAGGCAUUUAAAAGCUAAGUCAGAAUAAUACAACUUUCAUGUUUUGGCCCAGAGCUAAAUCAGUACGGCUCCUAGUCAAAAAACGUGAUAAACUGGACUUAACUGAUGAAACGGACUGCUGGGAAAUAUUUGAAACAGUAAGGGUAUUUCGGACUUUUCAUGACCUACGUUGCUCCGAUUGGGCUGAAAUUUUACAGGAACCUACAAAAUACCAUUAUCUACAACUUUCCUUCUUUGAUCCAAAGCCAAUUCGGCCUCUAACACACAGAUACAAAUUCGGACAGAAUGUAAGCUAGAAUUUCCAGAAAUCUGAAAUUUGUAGUUUCUAGUGCAACUUUCCCCAAUUUCUCACCUCUCACACUACCAAAACAUCUUAUACAACAUUAAUUGUAACAUACAAGCACCAUACAUCAAGUUGGGCAGAAAUUCCACAGCCCUAGUUCAUCAAAUAAAUUGGGGAAAAACUUCUACACAUGCUAGCAUCCAUGAAUCCACCACCAAUCAAGCUACUAAGCUUACUUUAACCAUGAUUGAAAGAGAAAGUUAGAGAGAUAUCAUCCUCUUACCUUGAUUAGAGUUCACCAAGUGUAGCCCAAGCUUUCUCUUUCCAAAAUUUCACCAACAAUCACUAACUAAUCACUCAAAGGUAAGUUUAAUCAGUUUAGAAAUUUAAUUUGUCACUUGGUUGGUUAGAAUCAAGAAGAAGGAAUUGUUUCUUGCUCUCACUUUCUCUCUCCCUCUUGGUCGACCAGCUGCUGGAAAAAUGAAGAGGAAAGUGCAGAAAAUUGGUUUAAGAAGGCUAGUUAAUCACUUGGCCACCACCUUUCAUUUUUCUCUUUCUUCCUUGCUAUUUUCUAGCCUCAAAUUUUCGGUCAAAGCAGCUGCCAAACAAGAAGAUAUUUUGCUCAAAAGUCAAUAAGCUUGUAUGGUAAGAAAGUGGUGGUCAAGUGGUACGUUCAACCGGUAGUGCGCGGGACCCGCCGGUUCACGCCGUUUUUCUUAAAAACUCACGUACUACUGUUUUUUUUUUCUUCCCAUACUCUAACCUUAUAUAAUUGCUACUACUCACAUAUGAUUUUUUUACUUAAAAGUCACUUUUAAUCACCAAAUUGAUCCUUGGUCAGUACCGAAAAUUCAUCCGGCGAAAAAUCGCGAAAACCCUAAUUUUGCUCAAAUCUUGAAACCGAAGUGUAAAACCCUAUUUCCAGGUUCAUUUGCACUUAUUGUUGAACAAUUGGGUAGUAGGGCCUUAAUAAAUAAUAAUUUUCAAAUAAAAGAAAAUUUUUUAAGAAAACGUGAGGAAUUUACAAUUUCAAUAAUUAACAUUAGAAUCUCUAGUAAAAUAUGAAAGAUUUAAGAAACCGUUUAGUCACAAGUAAACUAGGGUUUUUGAUUAAAACAUUAGGGUUUCUAGUCGUUUAAAACGAAAUAAGGUUUUAAAUCAAACCCGAAGAAAUAUACUUUAAUAUUUUCUUCACAAACAACCUCCUAAUAUUCGGGAUGUUAUAGCUUAAGUCAUAAUACUCUCUUAAGUCAUAAUACUCUUUCAUUCUUUUGCUCAUAGGUUAUCCCGGAAGACAAAUCUUAACUAUUUUCUGCUUAAUACGGCCGAGCUCUUAAGUUUCCACGAGAUUGCGAUUAUUAAUUACAAACACAAUAAGAUAUGGGGACCCUAUUCCUUAAUAUAAAAAUUUCAUGCCUUAGUUCACUCUCCAAUACUUAUCUACAAAGUUGUUCGAGAAGAAAUCAUAACCUCUUGCUCUCACUAGUGCCUUAUUGUAUCCUUUCAAAUCAAUCUUACUAUUUCGAAGUUAGGUUCUCGGUGAAGCCCAGAUAGGCAAACUUCAAGAAUCAUUCCAUUUUCACAUCUCGCUGGGUCCCUAGGUUGGUUGAUUGGUUUAGACCUUUAGUGCUCCACUAAUCGUGCUAGGGCAUCAAUCGUCCGGUUAAUAGCAAUAACUACGUGAUUAUUUUCCUUCAUUUCUAGGGUUUUGGUUCAGUCCAACAAUCGCUUUAUAAUCGCCCCCUUGAGCUCGGAGUUGCUUAACCCCUCGUCCUCGAUCCUUUUUCACUCCUUUGGCCACCCAUAAAUUUAACAUGUUUAGAGGCAUGACAUAUAGUGAGUGCACAUAAAUGGAGUUUGAAAAGUGACACCUUUAUCUCGCUAAACAAAUACAAGAAUAAAAGGGAAGACACCGAAAUAAUCGCAAAUAUGUACAACCCAAUAAUGGAUUUGAAAUCAUAAAGCAGUAAAGUCAAGCAUGCCAUGAGUAACAUUUAAUUACCUCAAAAGGUAGGAAACAUGGUGAAACAAAAUACAAAAUGCAAUGGCCUUUAAGCGAGCACCACCUCAUCUAUCUUUGGCAAAACUAUUAAAGUAGUCUAAAUCACUAGCUUAGUGAUUGGCGGAGCCAAAAAUCUCUACUACCUCCAUAGGAUCAUUUUCAUUUCCAAUACUACGAGUUUUAAUCCCAUGUCCCAUAUCGAGUAUCUUAUCAUUCUCUACUUGUUCAACCAAUGUAACACACCCAACCAUCGACUUAUCCAUCCUGUCUUUAAUUUCGGAUACUACCCCAACAAGUAGAUUCUUAGCUUUUUAAAACUUCUCACAAGGAGCCUUUGUCUUCGUCGCUCCUUAAGUAUCUCAAUCUCCACUUCAAGAAUUCUAGUAGUCUAGGUAUCCGCAAUUGCCCUUAGUUCUCGAUUAUCCCCUCAAAUCACCCUAGUUUCCUCGGAUAGCCACUUUUAAUGAUCGACCACUAUUAAUACCCCAUUAUUUGGGUGCGAGCAAGUCCUUUGAAAAUCACAUGAAGUCCUAGUUCAGUGAAUUGGAUUAUCUCUCCAAUGCUCUCUUAGAUCUUUCUCGAUAAUGGACCACCGAAAGGCAUCCCGAGACAAUUUAAUAUCACCCUUACCCCCCAUAGCUUACCCUUAAAAGUAAAAGCUCAUGUAGGUCCAGAUAUAUUCAAUAAACUAGAUCUGAUCAUUUCGUACUAUCCCACAUGUAUCACACAAGAUCAAGACUCCUUGUCAUCCACUAAUUCAAACCUAGGUUCUAGUUUGCAUUUUCACAAGUUGUCACUUAACUUCCCAACCUGUUCCACAGUCCGGCAUUCUAAACUUUUAAGCCUAGGAUACGCUAUAAAGAUCUGAAGCCUAAACUCUGAUACCAACUGUGACGCCCCCACUUCUCCCUAAGACGAACCAAAGGGUAUCUGCGGGACGCCUGUCCAACUCUCGCCAGGACUCAUGGCAAUAUCCGUUCAAGUUUAGCACAAUACUAUUCAACAACACUAGAUAAGUAAGAAAGUGCGGAAAACUUCCAAACUUAACAAUAUAUAUAAUGAUUAUCCAAUCCUUACAUCAAAUUCCCAAAAGUUACAUCAAUACCCAAAAUAUACAACAUCCAGGUAAAUCAAAUAUCCAAAUCAUACAUUACGUUCCCAAAAGUAUAACCAAUAAGAGGUCUAGUCCAAAAUACAUUAGAAACCAUAAACUAAAAGUGCAUCAAAAGGGUUUCUCCAAGUCUCAUUCCAUACCCAAUCCUGUUAAGGAAAACAAAUCUACAGGGUGAGCAAAACACUCGUGAGGCCAAGAACACAGAUGCAAGCACAUAGUCCAAGUAACAAUCCAAAAUUUACAAGUCGAGCAAUAAUAUGUCAAUAAUUAAAAAUUCACUGAAAAGUAAAAGAAACAAUUCAAGGAUAUAGGAGCUCUCAGGAGCUAUAUCCAACUGGCACGAUCAAGAACCUCCACGAAUUGACACUCCGUCAAUCGGGUAGGUUUAGUCCGUAGAACUCCACUUAACAUGUCCCCUUUCAUCUUACAUACCCCUGUUUCGGGCUUGCCUGUCAUUUGUUUAAGGCGAUACUACUCGAGUAUGCCAAACGAGAUCUCUUACCAAAUCAAGCUUUUUCUCAUAGUUUACCAAGGAGCCCGACCAAGCCCAGUCCAAGGAUGGCCAAUGAGAUUUGGGCGUCCCCCAAGCAUAUUCGGGUGUCAAGGAGAUUCACUCCAGCGACGUAUGUAGCCAUAGCAUACUAUUUCAAGUCAUACAAGCAUGUGACAUAUUCAAGCAAUUGAGAUAUUCAAGCAUUUCAAGUACGAGUUAUUUAUUUCAAGCGAGAACGAGUGCGAUAAAGUACAUCCUCGUCUCAAAUUUUAAAAUCUCAAGUAUCAAUAGCAAGUAAACAUGUAUCGAGUUCACAGGAGUUCAAGUAAACAUGCACUUGACACUCACCAAGUAAACAAUCAAGUGUCCACCGUGGGAUCCCCUUGAAGGUCCUCGCAUGAGUCUGAGUAAUUAAUAAUGAUUCAUCACUCAUAAACCAAUUAUCGAAGAAGAUUGCACUAGUGUACAACCUAAGGAAAUCUCAUGAAAAUUAAUCCCAAUUAUUCGUAAAUCGAGACUCAAAGAUGGGGUUUUAAAAUACAAGAGAAAUCAAGUUUUUGUCUUUGAAAUAAAGUAUAAAACGUUCAAGUAAUAUCAAAGGAAUAAGGAGAAUUCGAAAAAACUCCAUUUCCUUAAGAUUCGGAAAUUUCAGUUUUGAUACGAGAUCUUUGAAAAAUCAUAUCUCACUCUUUACAAGUACAAAAUUGGAAAAAUUGGUACCAUUGGAAACCUCUUAGAAAGUACUAAAAGUUCUUAGAAGACAAUUUUCUAUGAUUCCAAAGAGAAGAUAUUCAAAAAUUGGCUCAAAGUUGCUGUUUUGGGGUUGGUUUUCGGCAAAGUUUGGUAAUUUGGAAAAAUUCACACAAUACAAAUCAGCCUCUGAAAUUUGUAACUCAAUUUGAGUUGCAAGCUAGGUUUAAGGCACAAUAAGCGGAUCAAGAUUCCGAGUUUUGAGUACCAAGAUAUGGUAGCUCAAAGUUACUAAAAUUUCCCUGUUAAACAAGGGUUUUCCAAACUCAAAUCAUGAACUUUGGAAGCUUAGUUGAGCAGCGAAACGGACUCGGAAUGGCACCAAAAUUAGAAGUAUAAUACUACCAUAUAAUUCUCUACCAAAUUUCAUGGAUAAAUAAGCACGGGAAGUUGGUUAACCAAAUAACCCAAGUUUCUAAAAUUUCAAGGCUAAACUGCCUUGUAUAUAAAAUGUCCUUUUCUAAGCUUUUGGCCACAUUAAAUCCUUGCAAACAUAGUACAUUUUGAUAGACAAUGUUUAUUAAAUAUCCAAGAUAUGUUUGAUGGGUGAUUAACACCAAGAAUUUUCAAAUAGCAAGUCCCAAACCAUGAUAUAAGCAUUUACCAGCCCACAAGAGGGUUUCAACCCAUUGUGUCAGUUUCGAAAUACGGCCACAACUCACUCAAUUCAACUCAGAAUUGAGCAUUGUUAGUGGCAUUGAAAACUAGGUUCAUAAAUCUACAAUUUCCCAGAACAGAUCAUUUUCAAAAUCUAUCCACAACUAGCUCACAUUUGAGUACCAAUUCACUGCUCAAAACAGGGCUCCCAGUGUAGACGUGAAACAGGACAGUCAUGUUUAAAUAAUUUGUAUGGACUACUCAGUUGGAAUCAGAACCUGCAUUUUAUACCCUUGGGAAUCUGGGAAUGUCUAGUUUCCAUUCCCGCAAACAGCACUUGAUUUUGACAUCGGAGUAAAGAGUGAUGACCGAAACAAGAUGACUGCCUGGGCAAUCCGGGAAAAUUUUCCAGUUUUGCCAAACUUUGGAAAUCAACACAUUUGACCAACCAAAUCAUGUUAUUUUUCAAUAAAAAUUUCUACAUCAUCCAUAUAACAUGUAUACAUUAUAAUGAAGCCAUUAGAAUCUCAAAAAUUCACACCAAGUUCACGAAUAGGGCAGGGGUAAAAUGGUCACUUUUGCUCAUUGCACCAUCCUUGAGUUUCUAUCAACAACCCAACAUUAUCCCACCAAUUUAAGCAUUAAACCUACAUUAAUAUCAUCAUCAUUCACUAAAUCAGUCCAUCCAACCAAAGUGGGAGUUCAUAGAGCCCACACAACAAUUUUCCCAACAUAAACUAGCUACCCAUAUGCAUGCAUGAGCUUAAAUGCCCACUACUACGUCCAUAAAUCAAGUUUCCAAGGUUUGAUCAUCGCUUACUUGCUUUGAUGUUCAAGGCAGAAAUUUUUAGUCCUCCUUGCUCAAGAAAAACCUCGGAAUGCAGCUCCUUUUCUUAGCUAGAUGCAAUCUCCAAGUGUUAAGCUAAGUGUGGUCAAAUUUUGGUGGAAUUUGGUGAUGUUUUUGUUGAAGAAAUGAAGAUGGAAAAAUGAAGAACUUUGAGUUGUUUCCCUUCUCUCUUGGCCGGCUGGUAUGGAGUGAGGAGAGAGGAAAUGUUUGAUCAAUUAAAGCUUCCAAGAGAAGCUACAAUGUGUGGCCACAAAUCACCCAAAAGUCAACUCUCCUUCGCGCGCGUUUUAUGCCCGAUUCCCCUCGAGUUUGUUUCAAUAGUGCACUAAACCUCUAAUGCUCUUGUAUUUAUAUUAAUAUUAUUCACUCUUAAUUGCCCCAAAAUAAGGGUUUAAAGUUUCUCAAUUAAUCAAGCGCGUAAAAACGCGUACUUCCGAUUUAAGCGCGAUAGAGUGAAAUCUUCAAGAAAAUCUUAUUACGAUAGUAUAACUAACUAUCAUUUGAAUACUUAAACAUAAAAAUACCUAUUUAAGACUAAUAUACAAGUCUCCAAUUUUUCAAUCUCAUUAUAUCCUCAAAUCGGUUAUUGUCUCCAAACGCGUAUUCGCUAAUUACACUUAACGAGCCUUCAAAAAUUAUAUUUCGAAAUGAGUCACUUUUAAAAAUAUAACUAAGCUAUAGAUCCAUAUAAUUAGGUCUAAAAACGUUAGAAAAUAAUAUUCAGGUCAAUUGGCCAAAUAAAUAAUUAAAUGAGCUUGAAUUAGGAGUUUAAAAUAGAUAAAUUUUGUGAGUCCUCACAUGAGUCUAGUCUUACUUCCUCAAAUCUUCCAUAAAUUUGUAUCAGCGCGUCUUUCAAAAAAUUAUCAACGUGCAAGCGGUAUACACUUACUUAUAACUCAUUCACCUUUAAUUCCUCAAUUAACUUUUCUUAAUCUACUAUUGAUCAUUCUUAAUUCCCCAAGAUAAAUGCACUCUCGAAUAGAAUAUCACCUUGAAACAUGUGUACUCAUUAUUCCUCACUUAAACAAACCUCAGAAAAUUAAAUUUGCUAACGGGAAGUUUUAAAAACAUAAGGAAGACAUUGUUCCAUAUGAAUGGAUUUAGAAUGGUUGAAAUAAAUUAUUUGGAGAAAACAGGUGAAUAAAUAUUUAAAUAAACCAAUAAUAUUUGAUAAAAAUAAGAAAUUUUUUUCGAGUCCUCACAUAUUACUUAUUGGGUUAUUGUUUCUUUUGAAAAAACUUUACACUCGCUCAUUUUGAGAUUUGCUACUUGAAGUGGUAUUGCUCACUUUUAUGAACUUGUUAUGCUCGCUAUUUUGCUACGUUGAUACUGGUAUUUUUAAAUAAUGGUUAACUUGAUAUUUGGAAUCUCACUAGGUUUUUAGCUCAUUCCACGCCAUUUGUUUUCCUCACAGGGGAUACGAGCGAGGCGUGUGACUGGUACAGGCUAGCGUAGUCUAGUUUUUGAAAAUUUUGUAAUUGUACUUGCACUAGUCGCUCGAUUAAGGUCGAAUGUAUUAAGAACUCAAAUCUUUUGAUGUAUUUGGUAUUGUAUGGAAGUUUGACACAUAAUUGAAUGUAUUUGUAUGUUCCAAACUUGAAAACUGUUGUUCCAUCUACGUUCGAGGUUGUGAAUUAUUUUAUCAGAAAUAAGUGAACGAGUCUUGGCGAGAGUUGGGCAGGCGGUCCACUAAACCCUGGGAUACGCCUUAGAGAGAGGUGGGGUCCUCACAGACUUAUCUCUAAGCAAGUGCGAGAGGAUCAAGCAAUGCUUCAAAGGGAGUGGGAGUUAGAUAAAGCUGAAAGUAAACAAAGGAGUAUCCGAAGUGAACAAAGUGCCGAGCAAGAUGUAAAGGGAAAAGGCAAAAAUUAGUCGGCCAUAGUGGGGAGCAAAGAGGGGAAAUUAAGCAUGUUUGCACAAGCCAUUUGUGAGGGAGGUUAUCCACGUUCUAGCACACUAAUCUUUGACUUGUUUAACAUUGUUUCCUUUGUACAGCUGGAGCAGGGUGCAAACACAUUCAUCUUAUUUUGCUCAAUUCCUAAAUCUUUUGGAGAGCUUGUGUGUUUUCCAAGAAUUUGUAGUUUGAGCAUCAAAUCUGCUCUCUAACACUUUACACCCACUUAUUCUCCUAGAUCUGUCUUGCUUGUUGACGAGCUUAAUUAUGUUUCAAAGGGAGUAUUUCUACUUGAAUUUUACUCUACAUUUCCCUAUCCACUCCUACAUGAAAUUCUUUCCAUUCUUGAGCAAAAUUCUAGUUUUUUAAAAGCUGAAUUUUGUCCUUUGCAUGCAGGUAUUGAAGCUGUCCAAAAGUUUCUAGAUUUGCCUAGCAAGAUCCAACCAGAUUUUAUGCACCUUAUAGUGCUAGUUGCUGCCGGUUUUGAGAGCUAUUUAACAGCAGAUGAACAAGAUUUUUCAAGCUUGUUCCUAACAUGCUGAAUCAUGCCGCUUUGUGUUUCAAGUUCACAUGCAUCUUAUGGUUACACAAACGACAUGUGGAAUGGCUAGUCAUCAUAAAGUUGCGUCCAAUGUUGAUGCUAUCAAGCGAGCCAUGAAUUUGGGAACAAAUCAUUUUCACGAAGAGGGGAAUGAUGAGAACAUGAAGAUUGUCCAAGCAAAUCGGUUUAGUUAGCUAAUUAGUCCAAGUUGUGUCAUUUAUUUGAUGUUGUUAAGCAAGGGUUUAAUCAUCAAUUGCCUUGCUAACUUAGUCUAUAUAAUUCGGCUAGGGUUUUGUCCUUAAGUGGCUGAAAUUCCUAGUUGCUAGUUUUAGGAAAAUAAGUGAUUCCAAAUCACAUUAGGGUUUCUAGACAAUUCCAAAUAACAUUAGGGUUUUGAGUCCAUGUAAGGCUAUAAAUAGCCUAGUCCUUUCCAAUGCUUUUAAUUAAUGAGAAUUUUACAGAAAUUGUGUGAAUUUAUUCACUUUCUCUCCCCAAGAGAGCCUUUCUUGAAUACUUGAGAGUUCUUGAGAGUAUUCAAUUGAACUUAUCAAUCAAGAUCCACCUUGAUUGUGGCGUUCCUCUACCUUACAACUUUGGUUCAUUAAUUCAAUUAGUUAUGGGUUGAGAUCGUAUCAAUAUUGUUCAUGACUUCUAGAGUUAAUCAGGGUCAAGUUUUCUGCUGCCAAACCAUCGGUAUUAAUCGUCUAGUUCUAAGGCUUGUGAAUACGGGUUUCAUCUUUGACAGGGUUCGUAUCAUAAAGGCAUCUGUAUUUGGCUAUGGAGCUAGAUUUGGUCUCAUUAGUGCUUAAGUUGAUAGAGUCAUUUGUAUUAGUUUAGUUUAGUCAUUGGUUUCUAUGUAUUUGGAAAUUUGUAUCCUUUCCUUUAUGCUUUAUUGGUGAUCAAUAAAAGUUCUCCUUACCUCAAAAAUAGAUAAAUAAAUAAAUAAAAGGCCAUGUGAGGAAGAAGAUCAUAUAUCUUUCCAUUAUUAUAAUUAUGCCCCUAUUUAUGAACUUUACACUAACAAUAAAAUGCCAAAUAAGGUUGAAAAGCUAAGAUAAAAAUGUGAGGUGUAAGUGAAAUAAAUAAAUAAAAAGUUGGAUCAACACGCAAAAAGAUUGUUAUUGCAACAGCUACUUCCGCAACUACAACAACAACAUAAAUAGAUACAAUAGAACACCAAAACAUUAGCUACAAUAGAGGCAAAUUAAUCUAGCACCAGCUUUUGUUUAGCAUCAUCAAGGAGACAGACAUAGAGAACACACACACAUAUAUAUAUGUUCAAUGUGUAUUAUGACAAACAAGUCAAGACCACAUCAUCAACUAAACCAUUGCCAAACCAUUGGAAGUUUCCUUUAAGAGAUGAAAGAGUUUUUCUUUUCUACUCACUUCUUCCUGGUUAAUCUAAAAAACAAAAACAGUAUGCAGUCCAAGAAAAGAUUGCUUUUUGAUGUGUUCUGGAAUCUUGCUAGCAAAUCCUACACAAAAUGUUGUCAUUUAGGAUGACAUUUCCAUUAUAUUCUAUUCACAUUUUUUUGUUACCUGGAUGUUUUUCUGAAAUUUUUUACUUAAACAAUUAUUCUAAUUGUGAGAACCCGUAUUUUGCAUUUCUAGGUUUUAUUAUUUUUCAUGGCUUGUUUUCUACAUUUUCGUGCUUAGGAAAAAUUUCGAGAUAAUUUUAAGGAGUAGAUAUGGUUUUUAGAUGAUCUUUCUAGUAUCAAAUAGAUUUGAGAAAUUAAGAACGUAUACCGGAUGUGGGACCCACUAGUGCUAAAAGUUCGGAAAAAUUUCGACAAUUAGGUUAAGUUUUGGAUACUGGAAUUAAUUUACCGGGUGAUAAGAGAUAAGUAGAGGAUGCUAAGUGGAUUGGUAUAAGAGAGACAAGUUAGGUAAGCAUUUAAUAAAGGUGACAAGUGUCACCAUUUGAGUGGGUUUACUUUAGGAAAACUAUUCAUGGUCUUACCAUUUGACUUAAAUAAACCAAAAAUGACCAAAAAUCAUCAAAAAUCCUCCAUAAGUGGCCGGCUCUCUCUUUCUCUCUUUCUCUCUCUCUAACUCUAAGCACAAGGAAGAAAACUCUUCAAGUUUGCUCCAAAUCAUCAAAAUCAACCAUUGAAACUUGCAAUUUCUCCAUAAAACUUCUUCAAUUAGUGUUUGUGAGUUGUUGUGUGGAGUUAUUUGGGAAGCUAGGAGGACCUAUUGCUCUCUCUCUCUUGUUUCUAAGGUGAGUUGUGAAGAACCACCCUCCUCCCUUAAUUGAUGCUUAAUUUGUGAUUAGUGGUAGUAUAAGGUGCAAUAUUAUGGAUUACAUCUUGAUUUGUGGUUGAAUUAGUGAGGUUUUCUAUUUAUUGGUGAUUUCUCUGUUUUAAUAUGAACAUGAUUGUGUGGCUAUCUAUGAUGAUUGGAAAUGGUAUGUAACGACUCUAGGAGGUGGAAAAGGUGAUUAAUUGCAACCAAUUUCUAUUUGGAAGAAAAGUUGACAAGUUAGGGUUUUUGUGAAGAACAUUCUGCCCGAAUUUAUAGCUCCUAGUUAGAGGCCGAAUUGGCCUUAGCUUAAAACAUGAAAGUUGUAGGGAAUGAAUUUUACAGGUGCUUACAAAAUUUCAGGUCAAUCGGAGUAGUGUAGAAUGAGAAAAGUCGAAAUUACCCUUGCUGUCCUGGUUUUAUCCGAAUGUAAGAAUUGCGCCUGUAAUUGGUUGUUUUGGCUGGAAUUGCUUUGGAAUUGGUUGUUGAGGUCUUCUGAUGAAAUGUAACCCUGUUUCUAAGCUUUUGAGUGGCUUUGGAAUUUCUGGAUUUGGACUUGUGUAGGCUGAGUUAUGAUGUUUACACCAGAAUACGUUUUGUGAAUCUGUUUUUACGGUUUUGAUGUAGUAUCUUGCAUUUUUGACCUGGUUGCACUCAAAACUGGGUUGAGUGACCUUCUGUAAUGUUGUAGCCCUAUCUUUUAGCUUCGAAACGGUAUAUCGUACACCUUCAUCCGGUAAUCGUGGUGCCUUUGGUACCAUUACCGUAAAAAGAGGUCAAAAACUAUUUUUUUCAGGGCCAAAGCUAAUUGCAUUUCCGAAUUUUCUGGUUUCCUCUAAUGUGUGUGUAUGCUUAUGGAACCCUAUUGGGGUCAUAUUUGGCAUUGGAUUAUGACUCGUUAUCGAGUCUCAUUGUACUUGUUUGCAUGUUUUAGGGCGUGACGGUGGUUCACGACGUUCUUGUGACGGAAGUGCAUGAAACCACAUUUGCAAGCUUGGUGAGUGUACUACUCACUUGUGUGUUAAUAUAUGGCUUUGAUACUUGAACUUGGUGCUUUGAAUGUUAAUUGCUUGAAGUGAAAGUGUACUUUAUCACUCUCACUUAUUGUUUAUCAUGUUAUUGGAAUGUUAUAUGAAAUGCUACAUGAAAUGAAAGUACAUGGCUUGGUGUCGUUUGGACGAGCAUCCAACGACUACAAUUGUUAUCCUUGAGCUCAACCCCAUGGGUCGUUGAUUGAAUCGAGCCGGCGAGGGCUUGGUCGUGUCAAUUAAUGUGCCUUAGGGAAAUGUUAUAUGGAAUCUUGUAGUAUGAGAGACUCUCGAUUCCGGUUUACUCGAGUAAUACCACAAUGCAAGUGUUUGGAUUUCGGGCCCGGUAGGGGAACGUUAGGUGGAAGGAAUGGAAGUAAAGUGGAGUCUACGGUUGGUUAUUUUGAACAUUGACGGAGAGUCAAUGACGUCCGAUCAAGAAAUGCAAACGAGGGAAAAGGGCUCUUGAGAGCCAUCCGUAUCCUUUUAUCACCACCAUUAAUGUGUGCCUUUGUUUACUUUUGGUGAAUUGAAAUGAAAAGCUUUAUGUUUACAUGAACUUGGUUGCUUAAGUGAUAGUAUCUCACUGGGCAAUUAGCUCACACCGUUCCUUUUGUUUUCCUUACAGGAAUAUGACUCUUUUGGAAUGAAUCUUGAUAGAUGGUUGCUGAAUGAACUAGAUGAAUAUCUCUUUUGUAUUGUAUAUGAAGUGGGACCCUAAAUGUAUCUUUAGGGCCGUUUUCACUUUAAUUUGGCAAACCAAACAUGUAGUAACUUUUGGAUUACUUUUGUAUGCCAUUGUGGCUUGUAAUUGCAAAAUGUCAAGUGUAUAUAUGUUUUUAAUGUUUGGUUGGGUUCUGACGGGUCGGUUACUAUUCAUGGCCGACUCCGGAUUUCAUUUUUUUUUAUUCUGGGUUAUUUUACCAUUUUGACUUGGUUACGUGCGUUUAUAAGUUCCGGAACGCAAUAGAUCGCUCUAAACUGCACCGUUAGUCCUGGCGAAAGCUGGGCAGGCAAUCCGUUAACCCCUUUGGUUCGCCUUAGGGGAAGGUGGGGCUGUCACACUAAUUGCCAGGGUAACAUCAUUAAUUUGUAGCUUCUAGUUGUGGCAUCUAGUUCCAUAAUACUGCUACCUCAGGGUGCUAAAUAAUAUUACUAGAAACCUCUUGGGAGGUUGUGAGGCCUGAAAAUUAUUUUCUUAUUUUCUAUUUUUUUCCUUAUUUGUCUUGAAUUGUUGGUUGAUUUAGUGGUUGAGUCAUGAUUUUAUCCUAUUGCCUCACUCAAUGUGUUGCGUGUUGAGUUUCAUAGUGCAUUAUGCUAGUGUGACUCACUAGUGAGGUGUGUGCAAUAAAUUUAGUGGACAAGAGGGAGUUCUGUGCAAAAGGAAUAUUGUGUUACAAGGUGUCAAGAGAUAAUUAGAGGUGGGUUAGAUAUUUUAGUGAAUGAAAUACAAUUAGAUAAGGAUUACAUCUUGAUUUGCCACUUGUCGCUCAUCUAGCUAAGCCCUUGACCAAGGCUAAGUUCAUACUUAUCCAACCAAGUGUUCAAAACAACCAAAUCUUCUUCUUUUCUUUCUUAUCUUGGUUGAACCUAGAGAGGAGAAAGAGAGAGAAAAGAACUCAAUUUCAAGCCUUAAUUUGUUGUCUAUUUAGUGAGAAAACAAGAGAGAAACCCUAAUCUACUCCGUCAAUCCUUGAGUUAAGUUUGGAAGGAAGCUCUUAGAGGAUUUCUUGGAGGAAGGAAGCCUUGCAACUUUCUUGAUUUGCUUGCCAUCCUAGGUUUUGGAGGUAAAGAGGUGAAAUUUGUUAGAAACCCUAGUUUUCUUCCCUUAUCUUUGAGUUUAUUUGAGGUGUAAUGUUAUAGAAGCUAAAGGAAGGACUUAUAUGCUUUCAUGUUUUUGUCAAGUUAUGUUGCAAAUUUCCAACUUCAAUGUUUGUAGGGAAUAGCUUCAUUUAAAGCUUCAUCCAUGUGAAAUUUUGAUGGAUUUCUUGCCAAAAACAGGUACCAUACACCUCAUGACAUGUUCAUUAUGAUAUAUUGUGUUUUAGUUGUUGAAUAAGGUUGAAAAUAGGAAGCUUUAAUGGAACAACUUGGGAUGACCUUGUUGGAAAUUUGGCUAGAGUUAGCCGAGAGGGUGAGAGAGACUUUCAGCUUUGUUGCUAGAAUUUGUAUGAUGAUUUUGACAUAUUUUGGCUCAAGACACUUGACAAGACUUUGAUCUUCAUAUAUAUGUUGGAUUUGAGUUUAAGCAAAGAGAUUUAAGAGAAGGAAAAUGAGUUUUCUCCAAAACAUUUCAUUGCUAGAAAUUUCCAGCUUUGAAUCUCGAGAAUCUUGACUAUAAUCGACAUACUUUUGCCCUAUAUGUUGCUUGAAACAUUGAUCUAUCAUGCACGUGGUUUUUCACCUUGAUUUGAACAAGAAAACUCGGUGAUUUUGGAAGCUAUAUUGGGAGUUAAAAUCGACAAAUAUGUGUAUCUUCUAAGUGAAAGCUUUGAAGCUCUAAUUUUCUCAUUUAUAUUUGCUUCAAGUUGCUAGACUCUUGACGUGACACCCCCACCUCUCCUUAAAGCAAAUCCUAGGGCAUCAACGGAACGUCUGCCCAACUCUCGUCCGGACUCAUGCACUCAUUCAAGCUUAAUGGCGAUCCACAAGUCAAUCAUAGACUUAGGAUUAAAUGAGUACUUCAAAUAUACAAUCCAAAUUCUUCUAGGGCUACUAUCUACAAUUACAAUCCCAAAAUCCAAAUAUAAUAAAGUUUACACUUCCAAUAUCUCCAAUAUCAUACAAAAAAUUCACUAGUUUCAACCACAAACCGCUAGUCUAGAACUUCCCAACUUCCACGUCCAAACCUGUUAAGGAAAACAAACUUAAAGGGAUGAGCUAAUGCUCAGUGAGGCCAAGAAAAGCAGGCAAACAACAAGUGCAACUAGCUUUAAUAUCACGUAAAACAAAAGGCAGCCAUAAUAUUCAUGUAAACUCACAAAAGAAAACAAAAGCACAAUCAAUAAAGGAUACGAGAGCUCUCAGGAGCUAAAUCCACACUGUUUCAGAGAUAAUCUGUGAUGACCCCACUUCCCCCUAGGGCGUACCAAAGGGUUCGGCGGGUCGCCUGCCCCGCUCUCGCCAGGACUCACUCGUUCACUUCAAUCCUCAAUUAAAAUCGAAAUAAAUCACGGGAAUAAAUAUAAUGACGAUCCAAAACUUAAUGCAAAACUUAUGUACAUUACUAUCGCAAAAGGGAGUACAAACAUCGAAUAUACAAAGGUUCUCAGUUCAGCACACAUCCAGCCCGUGCCAAGCAUUAGGGCGAGAACCAUUGCAAAACCAAAAACUAGUCUAGGCUAGUCUAAACUGAGCUCUCGUCCUUGCUCGCCUUCCCCUGUUAAGGAAAACAAAUUAAAGGGGUGAGCUAAAAGCUCAGUGAGAUUCUAUAUACAAAAACAAGUAAUUGAACAGGGACAUUAAUCAUGUAAUAACAAAUAAUCUAGAAAACAUGUCCAAUAUAAAGCAAUUAUAAUACAUUCAUUAAAAGGAUACAGGCUCACGAUGAGCAAUUCGUUGUUCGUUCCCCAUUCAUUUCCUUAUUCCUCCAAUUAUUUAAAAUUGCAUCUGUGUAAGUAAAACCCCUCGUUUUUUUUUACUUUCGUUUGUUCAUUCUUGUUUACCUCCUCCUGGACGUUGGCCAGGCUUUUCCCCCCAUCCGGACGUUGACCGGACUCCACCCAUUCGGACGUUGACCGGACUACAAGGUAAUACUCGAGUAUACCAAAUGUGCACCCAGGUCACCAAAUCGCCCGACCGAGUCCGCUUCUGGCUCGAGUCGAUCGGUAACAAAGGCAAGGGCCCAGUUCAGCCAAAAGGCUUACAUUCAUGUGUAACUAAUAUUUCAACAUUUAAACACCAAGAAUCUCAUAGUUAUUUAGGUCGAGUGCGAUAAAGUACACACUCACCUAGCAAAAGUUCAUUUUAGAAAUCGUAGAAAACAAUUAACAUUUAAUCAAAUGUUCACAAAUAAUCACAUAGUCAUAACAAUCCUCAUAGUCAUAGAAACAAAGCGUAUAUAGAAUACUCACCUAUUUAAGCAAAAUAAUGUCCAAAGUAUCCUCUCAGAUAACACUCUCAAUUGCCAAGAAACCCUAAUAAUAGCCAAGAGAAAAUAUUACAGUUAAACCCCUCCAAAGUUUAAGUAAAUCAAAGAAAAUCCGAAUAACUACUAGUACAAAGUAUAAGUAUAGUCUUCUAGUCCUCGAGCGUAAAUUUGGGCAGCAUGCCCUUUGUUUUUACCCAAUUUCCAGCCAUUUAGGCUUAAAUUCUUACUCAAUCCAACCCAACGUAAUCCCUAACAUAAUUUCAGUUCAUUAGCCAUUCCAUAGGCUCAAAACAACACAAGAGCAAAGAUUAAGCUAAUAUCAAGUUCGGAAAUGAAACUUAUCAAAAGACAGUUUUAAUGGGUUUUGCGGAAAUAACACAUCAGAGGCUACGUUUAUCGGAUUGAUACGCAGCUUAUACCAUUUCGAAACUAAGACGAAGGCCUACAACUUUCAUGAAGAGUACUUAGUCUAAUUUCCAGUGGAACCUGAUCAAAUUCCCAAUCCAUAUAACCUGGUUUCAACUAUUCGGCUAAUCAACCAUACUGCAUUCAAGUGACCAUAUCUCAGUCUACCGAGGUCCAUUUAAGACGUUCUUGGUGACGUUACAAAGCUAAGACAGGGCACUAAAACCCUCAUGUUUUGGGUGAAAGGCUAAAUCCAAACGGAUUAUAAUGAAUAAACGCAAUCAAAUAGACUAAACUGUCCACGCGGAACUCUGGAAGUGACCUAGAUCAGCGAGGGUAUUUUCAUCUUUCCACAAGCUACGUUGCUCCGAUUGAGCUGAAAUUUUGUAGGCAGCUAUAAAAUACCAUUAUAUACAAAUUUCAUAUUUUGACCUAAGGCCAAUUCGGUCUCUAACAUGGUGCAAUAAACCAGACAGAAUGGAAGUCAUAUUUUCCAGAAAUCUGGAAAUUUGGGAUUUCAAGGGCAAUCUCUUCAUUUUCUUGAUUCAAUCACCACCAGAACCUCUUAUACAAGCCUAUAUACAUCAUAUACCACUCCUACAACAAGUAUAAGAAGGAAAUCAGUCAAACCCAAAGUCAUAUACAUCACCCCAAAAUCAUCACAACAACUUGUAUAGCUACUAAUCUAACCAAAACACGAGCUAUAUAACAUCUUAAACAAAAAUAAAAGAACCAAAGCCAUGGGUCAGACCUUAUACCUCAACAAAAGGGCUUGCAAGAGUAAUACUUCACCUCCUCUUGAAAUUUCUGGUUCCAUAAGCUUCCCAAGCUCUCAAACUAUUGAUUAAUCGGUUUAGAUUUCUUGUUUUCUCACUUAAGUGGACCAAACUCAAGAUGGAUUAUGAUUUCUUUCUCUUGGAUUUUCCUUCUCUUUCUCACGGUUCAUAUGGCAGAAAUAGAGGCUGAAAUGAAGUGCAAUUGAAGCUUCAAAGAAGGUUAAAAGGAUAGGAAUUGAUUUGGGUCAAAGGUGACAAGUGUCACAAGUUGAUUGGUAGUCAAAAUUUUUUCUUUUCUCUUGUUUUCUUGGUCAAAUAUUGUGGCUGGUGUAUGAGAUAUUUUGAGGGUUAAUUAGCUCAAAUAAAAUGAGAAGAUUAACGUAAUAAAGUAUGGGUCAAGUGGUGUGUUUACCCGGUAACAAACGGUACCCGUCGGUUCGAGCCGAUUUUUCUUAAAUCGCGUAUACUAGGGUUUUUACUUCCUAUUCACUAACCUUAUAUCAUUGCUCCUAAUUACAUAUUAUUUCUCACUUAAAAGUCACUUUUAAUCACCAAAUUUGGUCCUUGCUCCGUACCGAAAAAUCAUCCGGCGAAAAUCGCGAAAACCCAAAUUUGCUCCAAUCUUGAAAACAAAGAGUGAAACCCUACUUUCUAGAUUCAUUUACACUUAUUACAGAAUAAUUGGGCAGUAGGGCUUUAAUAAAUAAUAAUUCCAAAUAAAAGGGAUUUUUUUUUUCGAUUCCUCACAUAAUCUUGAUCCACAAUUUUCAAGUAUUGACACUCCGUCAACCGAGCAAGUAACAAGUCCAUAGAACCCCAUUUUUCAUCAAUUUUUUUCCACCGUUACACCCCCCUACUGGGCCUGAAUGUCAAACAAGAAGUGAUAUUACUCGAGUAUAUCCAAGCAAGUCAAGUAUAUGAGCCUAAGGUUCACCAAACUACUUAACCAAGCCCUUGCUGGCUUGAGUUGAAUGGCUAGCCAUUGGGUUUUGGGUGUCCCCACAAGUAUAAGUGGUCGAUGAGACAACACUCCAAUCGAUUUAGAACCAAUCGCUAGUCUAGAACAUCCCAACUUCCACGACCAAACCUGUUAAGGAAAACAAACUUAAAGGAAUGAACUAAUGCUCAGUGAGGCCAAGAAAAGCAGGCAAACAACAAGUGCAACUAGCAUUAAUAUCAUGUAAAGCAAAAGGCAGCCAUAAUAUUCAUGUAAACUCACAAAAGAAAACAAAAGCACAACCAAUAAAGGAUACGGGAGCUCUCAGGAGCUAAAUCCACACUGUUUCAGAGAUAAUCUUGAUCCACAAUUUUCAAGUAUUGACACUCCGUCAACCGAGCAAGUUACUUUUCAUCAAUUUUUUCCACCGUUACACUCCCUACUGGGCCCGAAUGUCAAACAAAAUGUGAUAUUACUCGAGUAUAUCCAAACAAGUCAAGUAUAUGAGCCCAAGGUUCACCAAACUCCUUAACCAAGCCCUUGCUGGCUUGAAUUGAAUGGCUAGCCAUUGGGUUUUGGGUGUCCCCACAAGUAUAAGUGGUUGAUGAGACAACACUCCAAUCGAUUUAGAACCAAUCGCAAGUCUAGAACAUCCCAACUUCCACGUCCAAAUCUGUCAAGGAAAACAAACUUAAAGGGAUGAGCUAAUGCUCAGUGAGGCCAAGAAAAGCAGGCAAACAACAAGUGCAACUAGCAUUAAUAUCAUGUAAAGCAAAAGACAGCCAUAAUAUUCAUGUAAACUCACAAAAGAAAACAAAAGCACAAUCAAUAGAGGAUACGGGAGCUCUCAAUUUUCGGUCAAAGCAGCUGCCAAACAAGAAGAUAUUUUGCUCAAAAGUCAAUAAGCUUGUAUGGUAAGAAAGUGGUGGUCAAGUGGUACGUUCAACCGGUAGUGCGCGGGACCCGCCGGUUCGCGCCGUUUUUCUUAAAAACUCACGUACUACUGUUUUUUUUUCUUCCCAUACUCUAACCUUAUAUCAUUGCUACUACUCACAUAUGAUUUUUCACUUAAAAGUCACUUUUAAUCACCAAAUUGAUCCUUGGUCAGUACCGAAAAUUCAUCCGGCGAAAAAUCGCGAAAACCCUAAUUUUGCUCAAAUCUUGAAACCGAAGUGUAAAACCCUAUUUCCAGGUUCAUCUGCACUUAUUGUUGAACAAUUGGGUAGUAGGGCCUUAAUAAAUAAUAAUUUUCAAAUAAAAGGAAAUUUUUUAAGAAAACGUGAGGAAUUUACAAUUUCAAUAAUUAACAUUAGAAUCUCUAGUAAAAUAUGAAAGAUUUAAGAAACCGUUUAGUCACAAGUAAACUAGGGUUUUUGAUUAAAACAUUAGGGUUUCUAGUCGUUUAAAACGAAAUAAGGUUUUAAAUCAAACCGAAGAAAUAUACUUUAAUAUUUUCUUCACAAACAACCUCCUAAUAUUCGGGAUGUUACAAUCUCCCCUCCUUAAAAGAAUUUCGCCCUCGAAAUUCCAACGGGUACUAAGAGUCCUUUAAAGUCAAUCAGGUACUAGAAAUCACUCCAAUCCCUUAUAUAUGACCUUAUCAUUUAGUAAAGAGCUAAGAGAUAACCAAAUAGAUCAUGCAAAAAGGGCUCAAUUCACAUAACUAGCCCUGAGUUGAAAGUAAAGUCUCAGAUAUUCGAAAAAUUUAGAACAUGGCUUAGCCUCAAGUCGAAAAUUUUACCCCUGGCGGUGCUUGGAAACAACAGGCAAAGGCUCACCAGAGAGUUUUAGUUCAACCGCUACAGAGGAGAAGUAGCUGGUCUACAGCCCCACAAAUACGAAUAAGUUCAAAAGCAAGGUCAAAGCAGGGUUCAAACAUAUAAGUUCAAAAGUAGAUUCAAUUACUUCAAGUUCAAGAAGCACGGGUACAAAUAAGAACUCACUCGACUAGCCUAUACCCAGCAAUUCACAUUCUCAAACAGUCGCCGAAUUCAAAUCCACAUAUAGGUCAUAUUACUCAUGUGUAAAAAUCAAAUCAGGUCCAUUACAUGUACGUAAGAGCACACUCGCCAAAACAAGUUCAAGUCCCAAAUGAGCUCAUUUUAGUCUGUCUCAGACAGUUCAAGUAUUGCAAACCCCUUUGAUCGGUCCAAUAACAAGGUUAAAUGUUAGAAUCAUCCACGCUUUAACCUUUCCAUCAAAACUCACCUCAAGUGCAAUCAAGAUACAGACCCUUAUUCUAACGCUCUUCACUAUAUGAUACCCAAGUACAAGAAUCCACAAUAAGACAAUUCACAACUCGAGCCGGCCGGUCCCAAGAGUAAAUUACCCAUAUUAGAGAUUCCUACCCAGCAUACAUAUCUAAGGUCCCCAACAAUAGACAAUUGUUCCACACUUAACAAGUCAAUCCCCACAGUCCAAGAACCUUCUCCCGGCACGAGCUCAUAGGAGCUCUGAUACCAUCUGUGACGACCCCACCUCCCCCUAAGGCGUACCAAAGGGUUCGGCGGACCGCCUGCCCAGCUCUCGCCAGGACUCACUCACUAUCUCUAUCGAAUAAUGUACACACAACCAUGAACCAUAAAUAACAAUCCCAAUUCAAGCUUAUAAUUUACAUUGAUAGAAAUCGAGGUACAAAGUCUCAAUACUCAAACUGGUUCAAGGCGUAUACAAUCCAAAUACAAAACAUUCUAUUCGAGGAAUAGCACGAGUACAAGUCAAAAAUCAAACAACUAGUCUAUGCUAGACUUUACAUAUCUCGCACCUCGCUCGUACCCCUGAAAGGAAAACAAAUGGAGUGGAAUGAGCUAAAAGCCCAGUGAGGUUCCAAAUAGCAAAUUGACCAUUAUUUAGAAAGUACAGUUUUCGAUAUAGCAAAGUAACGAGCAUAAAGUUCAUAAAGUGCAUAAAUGUGAACAUAACACGUCAAGUGCAAUCUUAAAAUGAGCAAUAUAGAAGUUUUUCAAAAGAAACAAUAAUCCAAUAAACAAUAAGUAUUCCAAAGCAUAAGGAUACGGAUGACUCUCAGGAGCCAAAUUCCCAUUACAUUACCAGAAGCUUGAUCACGUAGUAGUUGACACUCCGUCAACUUUCAAGUAAGUAACCAAUCCAGUAGAACACCACUUAAACGACUCUCCGUCCACCGUUCAACCCCCAGCUGGGCCCAAAAUCCUCAAUAACACGGGUGGUAAUACUCGAGUAUACCGAUUAGUCGAGGAGAUAUCACUCCACUCGACAAUACAAGAGACCCAGGGUUCGUUACCCAAUCGACCAAGCCCUUGCCGGCUCGACUAGAGUAACUCGCCACAGGGUUUCUGGAAUUCCAGGAAGUGCGCGCAUCAUAAUCAAGUAUAUCAAGUCAAUUGCAACAAUAAACAAGUAUAUCACGUAAGGGCAAGUGCGAUAAAGUACACUCUUGCCCUUACAAUUCAUGUAUAUAACAUGUACAGAUUGGUCACGUAUCAAGUUCAAGUAUCAGUUCAAUUCGGUAUUUGAAAGCACUCACCAAAAGAUAUAGUGCCUUUACUGGUCACUUUCAGGUUAUACUCCGGGUUCGGAGUCCAAAUCUGCGAUAAAACUCAGUUUGAGAACUUUGAAACAUGACUAAGAUUCGAAACUUAGACGUUUCGUUCAAUAAAAUCAAGAAUUGAAAUUCACUCGGAUGGUAGUCGUGAAACACUUGCUCGCUUUUUAAAUGGUAAAACUUUGUAACAUUUAUACUUGAAAAUGCCAUGCAAGUCGAAAGUAUAAGGAAAACAUACUCCGAGCAAUCAUUAUUUCCUUUCUCAAGGGUACAAGUUCGGCCAAGUCCUUCCUUAUAUACCCCGGAACAAAAAUACUCAAGUACCCUAGAUGGUUCAAGCACUAUUCAUAUCAAUUCGACCCAAGUCGCAAGUGUAUUUAUAUAGUUCUCGAGCGUAAAUUCGGGCAGCAUGCCCUUUGUGUUUACCUAAUUUUCCAGCCAUUUAGGCUUCAUUAUUUUUCUCAACCACAACCCAACAUCACAUAUGUCAACAAUUCAUGUCCAGAGCCGUUCCAUAGGCUCACAAUAUCAUAAUAACAAGAAUCACAACAAUGACAAGUGCAGAAAUUCAACUUAGCACAAGACAGAUUUGACGUACGAAUGCGGAAAUAACAUAUCCGAGGCUACGCUUAUUGGAUUGAGGCGUAACCUAUGCCGUUUCGAAGCUGAUAUAGGGCUGCAAUGUUCAUGAAGGUCACUUAGUCCAGUUCCUAAUGUAGCUUAGUCAAAUCCUCAAAUUACUAAACCAGAAACCAAUUCGUCGGCUAUAUAACCGCAUUACCCUGUAAUGGUCAUAUCUCAGAGUACAAAAGUCCGAAUCAGGUGUUCUUAGAGGCAUUUAAAAGCUAAGUCAGAAUACUACAACUUUCAUGUUUUGGCCCAGAGCUAAAUCAGUACGGCUCCUAGUCAAAAAACGUGAUAAACUGGACUUAACUGAUGAAACGGACUGCUGGGAAAUAUUUGAAACAGUAAGGGUAUUUCGGACUUUUCAUGACCUACGUUGCUCCGAUUGGGCUGAAAUUUUACAGGCACCUACAAAAUACCAUUCUACAACUUUCCUUCUUUGACCCAAAGCCAAUUCGGCCUCUAACACACAGAUACAAAUUCGGACAGAAUGUAAGCUAGAAUUUCCAGAAAUCUGAAAUUUGUAGUUUCUAGUGCAACUUUCCCCAAUUUCUCACCUCUCACACUACCAAAACAUCUUAUACAACAUUAAUUGUAACAUACAAGCACAUACAUCAAGUUGGGCAGAAAUUCCACAGCCCUAGUUCAUCAAAUAAAUUGGGGAAAAACUUCUACACAUGCUAGCAUCCAUGAAUCCACCACCAAUCAAGCUACUAAGCUUACUUUAACCAUGAUUGAAAGAGAAAGUUAGAGAGAUAUCAUCCUCUUACCUUGAUUAGAGUUCACCAAGUGUAGCCCAAGCUUUCUCUUUCCAAAAUUUCACCAACAAUCACUAACUAAUCACUCAAAGGUAAGUUUAAUCGGUUUAGAAAUUUAAUUUGUCACUUGGUUGGUUAGAAUCAAGAAGAAGGAAUUGUUUCUUGCUCUCACUUUCUCUCUCCCUCUUGGUCGACCAGCUGCUGGAAAAAUGAAGAGGAAAGUGCAGAAAAUUGGUUUAAGAAGGCUAGUUAAUCACUUGGCCACCACCUUUCAUUUUUCUCUUUCUUCCUUGCUAUUUUCUAGCCUCAAAUUUUCGGUCAAAGCAGCUGCCAAACAAGAAGAUAUUUUGCUCAAAAGUCAAUAAGCUUGUAUGGUAAGAAAGUGGUGGUCAAGUGGUACGUUCAACCGGUAGUGCGCGGGACCCGCCGGUUCGCGCCGUUUUUCUUAAAAACUCACGUACUACUGUUUUUUUUUCUUCCCAUACUCUAACCUUAUAUCAUUGCUACUACUCACAUAUGAUUUUUCACUUAAAAGUCACUUUUAAUCACCAAAUUGAUCCUUGGUCAGUACCGAAAAUUCAGGCGAAAAAUCGCGAAAACCCUAAUUUUGCUCAAAUCUUGAAACCGAAGUGUAAAACCCUAUUUCCAGGUUCAUCUUGCACUUAUUGUUGAACAAUUGGGUAGUAGGGCCUUAAUAAAUAAUAAUUUUCAAAUAAAAGAAAUUUUUUAAGAAAACGUGAGGAAUUUACAAUUUCAAUAAUUAACAUUAGAAUCUCUAGUAAAAUAUGAAAGAUUUAAGAAACCGUUUAGUCACAAGUAAACUAGGUUUUUGAUUAAAACAUUAGGGUUUCUAGUCGUUUAAAACGAAAUAAGGUUUUAAAUCAAACCCGAAGAAAUAUACUUUAAUAUUUUCUUCACAAACAACCUCCUAAUAUUCGGGAUGUUAUAGCUUAAGUCAUAAUACUCUCUUAAGUCAUAAUACUCUUUCAUUCUUUUGCUCAUAGGUUAUCCCGGAAGACAAAUCUUAACUAUUUUCUGCUUAAUACGGCCGAGCUCUUAAGUUUCCACGAGAUUGCGAUUAUUAAUUACAAACACAAUAAGAUAUGGGGACCCUAUUCCUUAAUAUAAAAAUUUCAUGCCUUAGUUCACUCUCCAAUACUUAUCUACAAAGUUGUUCGAGAAGAAAUCAUAACCUCUUGCUCUCACUAGUGCCUUAUUGUAUCCUUUCAAAUCAAUCUUACUAUUUCGAAGUUAGUUCUCGGUGAAGCCCAGAUAGGCAAACUUCAAGAAUCAUUCCAUUUUCACAUCUCGCUGGGUCCCUAGGUUGGUUGAUUGGUUUAGACCUUUAGUGCUCCACUAAUCGUGCUAGGGCAUCAAUCGUCCGGUUAAUAGCAAUAACUACGUGAUUAUUUUCCUUCAUUUCUAGGUUUUGGUUCAGUCCAACAAUCGCUUUAUAAUCGCCCCCUUGAGCUCGGAGUUGCUUAACCCUCGUCCUCGAUCCUUUUUCACUCCUUUGGCCACCCAUAAAUUUAACAUGUUUAGAGGCAUGACAUAUAGUGAGUGCACAUAAAUGGAGUUUGAAAAGUGACACCUUUAUCUCGCUAAACAAAUACAAGAAUAAAAGGGAAGACACCGAAAUAAUCGCAAAUAUGUACAACCCAAUAAUGGAUUUGAAAUCAUAAAGCAGUAAAGUCAAGCAUGCCAUGAGUAACAUUUAAUUACCUCAAAAGGUAGGAAACAUGGUGAAACAAAAUACAAAAUGCAAUGGCCUUUAAGCGAGCACCACCUCAUCUAUCUUUGGCAAAACUAUUAAAGUAGUCUAAAUCACUAGCUUAGUGAUUGGCGGAGCCAAAAAUCUCUACUACCUCCAUAGGAUCAUUUUCAUUUCCAAUACUACACAGUUUUAAUCCCAUGUCCCAUAUCGAGUAUCUUAUCAUUCUCUACUUGUUCAACCAAUGUAACACACCCAACCAUCGACUUAUCCAUCCUGUCUUUAAUUUCGGAUACUACCCCAACAAGUAGAUUCUUAGCUUUUUAAAACUUCUCACAAGGAGCCUUUGUCUUCGUCGCUCCUUAAGUAUCUCAAUCUCCACUUCAAGAAUUCUAGUAGUCUAGGUAUCCGCAAUUGCCCUUAGUUCUCGAUUAUCCCCUCAAAUCACCCUAGUUUCCUCGGAUAGCCACUUUUAAUGAUCGACCACUAUUAAUACCCCAUUAUUGGGUGCGAGCAAGUCCUUUGAAAAUCACAUGAAGUCCUAGUUCAGUGAAUUGGAUUAUCUCUCCAAUGCUCUCUUAGAUCUUUCUCGAUAAUGGACCACCGAAAGGCAUCCGAGAACAAUUAAUAUCACCCUUACCCCCCAUAGCUUACCCUUAAAAGUAAAAGCUCAUGUAGGUCCAGAUAUAUUCAAUAAACUAGAUCUGAUCAUUUCGUACUAUCCCACAUGUAUCACACAAGAUCAAGACUCCUUGUCAUCCACUAAUUCAAACCUAGGUUCUAGUUUGCAUUUUCACAAGUUGUCACUUAACUUCCCAACCUGUUCCACAGUCCGGCAUUCUAAACUUUUAAGCCUAGGAUACGCUAUAAAGAUCUGAAGCCUAAACUCUGAUACCAACUGUGACGCCCCCACUUCUCCCUAAGACGAACCAAAGGGUAUCUGCGGGGACGCCUGUCCAACUCUCGCCAGGACUCAUGGCAAUAUCCGUUCAAGUUUAGCACAAUACUAUUCAACAACACUAGAUAAGUAAGAAAGUGCGGAAAACUUCCAAACUUAACAAUAUAUAUAAUGAUUAUCCAAUCCUUACAUCAAAUUCCCAAAAGUUACAUCAAUACCCAAAAUAUACAACAUCCAGGUAAAUCAAAUAUCCAAAUCAUACAUUACGUUCCCAAAAGUAUAAACCAAUAAGAGGUCAGUCCAAAAUACAUUAGAAACCAAAACUAAAAGUGCAUCAAAAGGGUUUCUCCAAGUCUCAUUCCAUACCCAAUCCUGUUAAGGAAAACACAAAUCUACAGGGUAGCAAAACACUCGUGAGGCCAAGAACACAGAUGCAAGCACAUAGUCCAAGUAACAAUCCAAAAUUUACAAGUCGAGCAAUAAUAUGUCAAUAAUUAAAAAUUCACUGAAAAAAAAGAAACAAUUCAAGAUAUAGGAGCUCUCAGGAGCUAUAUCCAACUGGCACGAUCAAGAACCUCCACGAAAUUGACACUCGUCAAUCGGUAGGUUAGUCCGUAGAACUCCACUUAACAUGUCCCCUUUCAUCUUACAUACCCGUUUUCGGGCUUGCCUGUCAUUUGUUUAAGGCGAUACUACUCGAGUAUGCCAAACGAGAUCUCUUACCAAAUCAAGCUUUUUCUCAUAGUUUACCAAGGAGCCCGACCAAGCCCAGUCCAAGGAUGGCCAAUGAGAUUUGGGCGUCCCCCAAGCAUAUUCGUGGCAAGGAGAUUCACUCCAGCGACGUAUGUAGCCAUAGCAUACUAUUUCAAGUCAUACAAGCAUGUGACAUAUUCAAGCAAUUGAGAUAUUCAAGCAUUUCAAGUACGAGUAUUUAUUUCAAGCGAGAACGAGUGCGAUAAAUACAUCCUCGUCUCAAAUUUUAAAAUCUCAAGUAUCAAUAGCAAGUAAACAUGUAUCGAGUUCACACGAGUUCAAGUAAACAUGCACUUGACACUCACCAAGUAAACAAUCAAGUGUCCACCGUGGGAUCCCCUUGAAGGUCCUCGCAUGAGUCUGAGUAAUUAAUAAUGAUUCAUCACUCAUAAACCAAUUAUCGAAGAAGAUUGCACUAGUGUACAACCUAAGAAAUCUCAUGAAAAUAAUCCCAAUUAUUCGUAAAUCGAGACUCAAAGAAUGGGGUUUUAAAUACAAGAGAAAUCAAGUUUUGUCUUUGAAAUAAAGUAUAAAACGUUCAAGUAAUAUCAAAGAAUAAGGAGAAUUCGAAAAAACUCCAUUUCCUUAAGAUUCGGAAAUUUCAGUUUUGAUACGAGAUCUUUGAAAAAUCAUAUCUCACUCUUUACAAGUACAAAAUUGGAAAAAAUGGUACCAUUGGAAACCUCUUAGAAAGUACUAAAAUUCUUAGAAGACAAUUUUCUAUGAUUCCAAAGAGAAGAUAUUCAAAAAUUGGCUCAAAGUUGCUGUUUUGGGGUUGGUUUUCGGCAAAGUUUGGUAAUUUGGAAAAAUUCACACAAUACAAAUCAGCCUCUGAAAUUUGUAACUCAAUUUGAGUUGCAAGCUAGGUUUAAGGCACAAUAAGCGGAUCAAGAUUCCGAGUUUUGAGUACCAAGAUAUGGUAGCUCAAAGUUACUAAAAUUUCCCUGUUAAACAAGGGUUUUCCAAACUCAAAUCAUGAACUUUGGAAGCUUAGUUGAGCAGCGAAACGGACUCGGAAUGGCACCAAAAUUAGAAGUAUAAUACUACCAUAUAAUUCUCUACCAAAUUUCAUGGAUAAAUAAGCACGGGAAGUUGGUUAACCAAAUAACCCAAGUUUCUAAAAUUUCAAGGCUAAACUGCCUUGUAUAUAAAAUGUCCUUUUCUAAGCUUUUGGCCACAUUAAAUCCUUGCAAACAUAGUACAUUUUGAUAGACAAUGUUUAUUAAAUAUCCAAGAUAUGUUUGAUGGGUGAUUAACACCAAGAAUUUUCAAAUAGCAAGUCCCAAACCAUGAUAUAAGCAUUUACCAGCCCACAAGAGGGUUUCAACCCAUUGUGUCAGUUUCGAAAUACGGCCACAACUCACUCAAUUCAACUCAGAAUUGAGCAUUGUUAGUGGCAUUGAAAACUAGGUUCAUAAAUCUACAAUUUCCCAGAACAGAUCAUUUUCAAAAUCUAUCCACAACUAGCUCACAUUUGAGUACCAAUUCACUGCUCAAAACAGGGCUCCCAGUGUAGACGUGAAACAGGACAGUCAUGUUUAAAUAAUUUGUAUGGACUACUCAGUUGGAAUCAGAACCUGCAUUUUAUACCCUUGGGAAUCUGGGAAUGUCUAGUUUCCAUUCCCGCAAACAGCACUUGAUUUUGACAUCGGAGUAAAGAGUGAUGACCGAAACAAGAUGACUGCCUGGGCAAUCCGGGAAAAUUUUCCAGUUUUGCCAAACUUUGGAAAUCAACACAUUUGACCAACCAAAUCAUGUUAUUUUUCAAUAAAAAUUUCUACAUCAUCCAUAUAACAUGUAUACAUUAUAAUGAAGCCAUUAGAAUCUCAAAAAUUCACACCAAGUUCACGAAUAGGGCAGGGUAAAAUGGUCACUUUUGCUCAUUGCACCAUCCUUGAGUUUCUAUCAACAACCCAACAUUAUCCCACCAAUUUAAGCAUUAAACCUACAUUAAUAUCAUCAUCAUUCACUAAAUCAGUCCAUCCAACCAAAGUGGGAGUUCAUAGAGCCCACACAACAAUUUUCCCAACAUAAACUAGCUACCCAUAUGCAUGCAUGAGCUUAAAUGCCCACUACUACGUCCAUAAAUCAAGUUUCCAAGGUUUGAUCAUCGCUUACUUGCUUUGAUGUUCAAGGCAGAAAUUUUUAGUCCUCCUUGCUCAAGAAAAACCUCGGAAUGCAGCUCCUUUUCUUAGCUAGAUGCAAUCUCCAAGUGUUAAGCUAAGUGUGGUCAAAUUUUGGUGGAAUUUGGUGAUGUUUUUGUUGAAGAAAUGAAGAUGGAAAAAUGAAGAACUUUGAGUUGUUUCCCUUCUCUCUUGGCCGGCUGGUAUGGAGUGAGGAGAGAGGAAAUGUUUGAUCAAUUAAAGCUUCCAAGAGAAGCUACAAUGUGUGGCCACAAAUCACCCAAAAGUCAACUCUCCUUCGCGCGGUUUUAUGCCCGAUUCCCCUCGAGUUUGUUUCAAUAGUGCACUAAACCUCUAAUGCUCUUGUAUUUAUAUUAAUAUUAUUCACUCUUAAUUGCCCCAAAAUAAGGGUUUAAAGUUUCUCAAUUAAUCAAGCGCGUAAAAACGCGUACUUCCGAUUUAAGCGCGAUAGAGUGAAAUCUUCAAGAAAAUCUUAUUACGAUAGUAUAACUAACUAUCAUUUGAAUACUUAAACAUAAAAAUACCUAUUUAAGACUAAUAUACAAGUCUCCAAUUUUUCAAUCUCAUUAUAUCCUCAAAUCGGUUAUUGUCUCCAAACGCGUAUUCGCUAAUUACACUUAACGAGCCUUCAAAAAUUAUAUUUCGAAAUGAGUCACUUUUAAAAAUAUAACUAAGCUAUAGAUCCAUAUAAUUAGGUCUAAAAACGUUAGAAAAUAAUAUUCAGGUCAAUUGGCCAAAUAAAUAAUUAAAUGAGCUUGAAUUAGGAGUUUAAAAUAGAUAAAUUUUGUGAGUCCUCACAUGAGUCUAGUCUUACUUCCUCAAAUCUUCCAUAAAUUUGUAUCAGCGCGUCUUUCAAAAAAUUAUCAACGUGCAAGCGGUAUACACUUACUUAUAACUCAUUCACCUUUAAUUCCUCAAUUAACUUUUCUUAAUCUACUAUUGAUCAUUCUUAAUUCCCCAAGAUAAAUGCACUCUCGAAUAGAAUAUCACCUUGAAACAUGUGUACUCAUUAUUCCUCACUUAAACAAACCUCAGAAAAUUAAAUUUGCUAACGGGAAGUUUUAAAAACAUAAGGAAGACAUUGUUCCAUAUGAAUGGAUUUAGAAUGGUUGAAAUAAAUUAUUUGGAGAAAACAGGUGAAUAAAUAUUUAAAUAAACCAAUAAUAUUUGAUAAAAAUAAGAAAUUUUUUUCGAGUCCUCACAUAUUACUUAUUGGGUUAUUGUUUCUUUUGAAAAAACUUUACACUCGCUCAUUUUGAGAUUUGCUACUUGAAGUGGUAUUGCUCACUUUUAUGAACUUGUUAUGCUCGCUAUUUUGCUACGUUGAUACUGGUAUUUUUAAAUAAUGGUUAACUUGAUAUUUGGAAUCUCACUAGGUUUUUAGCUCAUUCCACGCCAUUUGUUUUCCUCACAGGGGAUACGAGCGAGGCGUGUGACUGGUACAGGCUAGCGUAGUCUAGUUUUUGAAAAUUUUGUAAUUGUACUUGCACUAGUCGCUCGAUUAAGGUCGAAUGUAUUAAGAACUCAAAUCUUUUGAUGUAUUUGGUAUUGUAUGGAAGUUUGACACAUAAUUGAAUGUAUUUGUAUGUUCCAAACUUGAAAACUGUUGUUCCAUCUACGUUCGAGGUUGUGAAUUAUUUUAUCAGAAAUAAGUGAACGAGUCUUGGCGAGAGUUGGGCAGGCGGUCCACUAAACCCUGGGAUACGCCUUAGAGAGAGGUGGGGUCCUCACAGACUUAUCUCUAAGCAAGUGCGAGAGGAUCAAGCAAUGCUUCAAAGGGAGUGGGAGUUAGAUAAAGCUGAAAGUAAACAAAGGAGUAUCCGAAGUGAACAAAGUGCCGAGCAAGAUGUAAAGGGAAAAGGCAAAAAUUAGUCGGCCAUAGUGGGGAGCAAAGAGGGGAAAUUAAGCAUGUUUGCACAAGCCAUUUGUGAGGGAGGUUAUCCACGUUCUAGCACACUAAUCUUUGACUUGUUUAACAUUGUUUCCUUUGUACAGCUGGAGCAGGGUGCAAACACAUUCAUCUUAUUUUGCUCAAUUCCUAAAUCUUUUGGAGAGCUUGUGUGUUUUCCAAGAAUUUGUAGUUUGAGCAUCAAAUCUGCUCUCUAACACUUUACACCCACUUAUUCUCCUAGAUCUGUCUUGCUUGUUGACGAGCUUAAUUAUGUUUCAAAGGGAGUAUUUCUACUUGAAUUUUACUCUACAUUUCCCUAUCCACUCCUACAUGAAAUUCUUUCCAUUCUUGAGCAAAAUUCUAGUUUUUUAAAAGCUGAAUUUUGUCCUUUGCAUGCAGGUAUUGAAGCUGUCCAAAAGUUUCUAGAUUUGCCUAGCAAGAUCCAACCAGAUUUUAUGCACCUUAUAGUGCUAGUUGCUGCCGGUUUUGAGAGCUAUUUAACAGCAGAUGAACAAGAUUUUUCAAGCUUGUUCCUAACAUGCUGAAUCAUGCCGCUUUGUGUUUCAAGUUCACAUGCAUCUUAUGGUUACACAAACGACAUGUGGAAUGGCUAGUCAUCAUAAAGUUGCGUCCAAUGUUGAUGCUAUCAAGCGAGCCAUGAAUUUGGGAACAAAUCAUUUUCACGAAGAGGGGAAUGAUGAGAACAUGAAGAUUGUCCAAGCAAAUCGGUUUAGUUAGCUAAUUAGUCCAAGUUGUGUCAUUUAUUUGAUGUUGUUAAGCAAGGGUUUAAUCAUCAAUUGCCUUGCUAACUUAGUCUAUAUAAUUCGGCUAGGGUUUUGUCCUUAAGUGGCUGAAAUUCCUAGUUGCUAGUUUUAGGAAAAUAAGUGAUUCCAAAUCACAUUAGGGUUUCUAGACAAUUCCAAAUAACAUUAGGGUUUUGAGUCCAUGUAAGGCUAUAAAUAGCCUAGUCCUUUCCAAUGCUUUUAAUUAAUGAGAAUUUUACAGAAAUUGUGUGAAUUUAUUCACUUUCUCUCCCCAAGAGAGCCUUUCUUGAAUACUUGAGAGUUCUUGAGAGUAUUCAAUUGAACUUAUCAAUCAAGAUCCACCUUGAUUGUGGCGUUCCUCUACCUUACAACUUUGGUUCAUUAAUUCAAUUAGUUAUGGGUUGAGAUCGUAUCAAUAUUGUUCAUGACUUCUAGAGUUAAUCAGGGUCAAGUUUUCUGCUGCCAAACCAUCGGUAUUAAUCGUCUAGUUCUAAGGCUUGUGAAUACGGGUUUCAUCUUUGACAGGGUUCGUAUCAUAAAGGCAUCUGUAUUUGGCUAUGGAGCUAGAUUUGGUCUCAUUAGUGCUUAAGUUGAUAGAGUCAUUUGUAUUAGUUUAGUUUAGUCAUUGGUUUCUAUGUAUUUGGAAAUUUGUAUCCUUUCCUUUAUGCUUUAUUGGUGAUCAAUAAAAGUUCUCCUUACCUCAAAAAUAGAUAAAUAAAUAAAUAAAAGGCCAUGUGAGGAAGAAGAUCAUAUAUCUUUCCAUUAUUAUAAUUAUGCCCCUAUUUAUGAACUUUACACUAACAAUAAAAUGCCAAAUAAGGUUGAAAAGCUAAGAUAAAAAUGUGAGGUGUAAGUGAAAUAAAUAAAUAAAAAGUUGGAUCAACACGCAAAAAGAUUGUUAUUGCAACAGCUACUUCCGCAACUACAACAACAACAUAAAUAGAUACAAUAGAACACCAAAACAUUAGCUACAAUAGAGGCAAAUUAAUCUAGCACCAGCUUUUGUUUAGCAUCAUCAAGGAGACAGACAUAGAGAACACACACACAUAUAUAUAUGUUCAAUGUGUAUUAUGACAAACAAGUCAAGACCACAUCAUCAACUAAACCAUUGCCAAACCAUUGGAAGUUUCCUUUAAGAGAUGAAAGAGUUUUUCUUUUCUACUCACUUCUUCCUGGUUAAUCUAAAAAACAAAAACAGUAUGCAGUCCAAGAAAAGAUUGCUUUUUGAUGUGUUCUGGAAUCUUGCUAGCAAAUCCUACACAAAAUGUUGUCAUUUAGGAUGACAUUUCCAUUAUAUUCUAUUCACAUUUUUUUGUUACCUGGAUGUUUUUCUGAAAUUUUUUACUUAAACAAUUAUUCUAAUUGUGAGAACCCGUAUUUUGCAUUUCUAGGUUUUAUUAUUUUUCAUGGCUUGUUUUCUACAUUUUCGUGCUUAGGAAAAAUUUCGAGAUAAUUUUAAGGAGUAGAUAUGGUUUUUAGAUGAUCUUUCUAGUAUCAAAUAGAUUUGAGAAAUUAAGAACGUAUACCGGAUGUGGGACCCACUAGUGCUAAAAGUUCGGAAAAAUUUCGACAAUUAGGUUAAGUUUUGGAUACUGGAAUUAAUUUACCGGGUGAUAAGAGAUAAGUAGAGGAUGCUAAGUGGAUUGGUAUAAGAGAGACAAGUUAGGUAAGCAUUUAAUAAAGGUGACAAGUGUCACCAUUUGAGUGGGUUUACUUUAGGAAAACUAUUCAUGGUCUUACCAUUUGACUUAAAUAAACCAAAAAUGACCAAAAAUCAUCAAAAAUCCUCCAUAAGUGGCCGGCUCUCUCUUUCUCUCUUCUCUCUCUCUAACUCUAAGCACAAGGAAGAAAACUCUUCAAGUUUGCUCCAAAUCAUCAAAAUCAACCAUUGAAACUUGCAAUUUCUCCAUAAAACUUCUUCAAUUAGUGUUUGUGAGUUGUUGUGUGGAGUUAUUUGGGAAGCUAGGAGGACCUAUUGCUCUCUCUCUCUUGUUUCUAAGGUGAGUUGUGAAGAACCACCCUCCUCCCUUAAUUGAUGCUUAAUUUGUGAUUAGUGGUAGUAUAAGGUGCAAUAUUAUGGAUUACAUCUUGAUUUGUGGUUGAAUUAGUGAGGUUUUCUAUUUAUUGGUGAUUUCUCUGUUUUAAUAUGAACAUGAUUGUGUGGCUAUCUAUGAUGAUUGGAAAUGGUAUGUAACGACUCUAGGAGGUGGAAAAGGUGAUUAAUUGCAACCAAUUUCUAUUUGGAAGAAAAGUUGACAAGUUAGGGUUUUUGUGAAGAACAUUCUGCCGAAUUUAUAGCUCCUAGUUAGAGGCCGAAUUGGCCUUAGCUUAAAACAUGAAAGUUGUAGGGAAUGAAUUUUACAGGUGCUUACAAAAUUUCAGGUCAAUCGGAGUAGUGUAGAAUGAGAAAAGUCGAAAUUACCCUUGCUGUCCUGGUUUUAUCCGAAUGUAAGAAUUGCGCCUGUAAUUGGUUGUUUUGGCUGGAAUUGCUUUGGAAUUGGUUGUUGAGGUCUUCUGAUGAAAUGUAACCCUGUUUCUAAGCUUUUGAGUGGCUUUGGAAUUUCUGGAUUUGGACUUGUGUAGGCUGAGUUAUGAUGUUUACACCAGAAUACGUUUUGUGAAUCUGUUUUUACGGUUUUGAUGUAGUAUCUUGCAUUUUUGACCUGGUUGCACCAAAAACUGGGUUGAGUGACCUUCUGUAAUGUUGUAGCCCUAUCUUUUAGCUUCGAAACGGUAUAUCGUACACCUUCAUCCGGUAAUCGUGGUGCCUUUGGUACCAUUACCGUAAAAAGAGGUCAAAAACUAUUUUUUUCAGGGCCAAAGCUAAUUGCAUUUCCGAAUUUUCUGGUUUCCUCUAAUGUGUGUGUAUGCUUAUGGAACCCUAUUGGGGUCAUAUUUGGCAUUGGAUUAUGACUCGUUAUCGAGUCUCAUUGUACUUGUUUGCAUGUUUUAGGGCGUGACGGUGGUUCACGACGUUCUUGUGACGGAAGUGCAUGAAACCACAUUUGCAAGCUUGGUGAGUGUACUACUCACUUGUGUGUUAAUAUAUGGCUUUGAUACUUGAACUUGGUGCUUUGAAUGUUAAUUGCUUGAAGUGAAAGUGUACUUUAUCACUCUCACUUAUUGUUUAUCAUGUUAUUGGAAUGUUAUAUGAAAUGCUACAUGAAAUGAAAGUACAUGGCUUGGUGUCGUUUGGACGAGCAUCCAACGACUACAAUUGUUAUCCUUGAGCUCAACCCCAUGGGUCGUUGAUUGAAUCGAGCCGGCGAGGGCUUGGUCGUGUCAAUUAAUGUGCCUUAGGGAAAUGUUAUAUGGAAUCUUGUAGUAUGAGAGACUCUCGAUUCCGGUUUACUCGAGUAAUACCACAAUGCAAGUGUUUGGAUUUCGGGCCCGGUAGGGGAACGUUAGGUGGAAGGAAUGGAAGUAAAGUGGAGUCUACGGUUGGUUAUUUUGAACAUUGACGGAGAGUCAAUGACGUCCGAUCAAGAAAUGCAAACGAGGGAAAAGGGCUCUUGAGAGCCAUCCGUAUCCUUUUAUCACCACCAUUAAUGUGUGCCUUUGUUUACUUUUGGUGAAUUGAAAUGAAAAGCUUUAUGUUUACAUGAACUUGGUUGCUUAAGUGAUAGUAUCUCACUGGGCAAUUAGCUCACACCGUUCCUUUUGUUUUCCUUACAGGAAUAUGACUCUUUUGGAAUGAAUCUUGAUAGAUGGUUGCUGAAUGAACUAGAUGAAUAUCUCUUUUGUAUUGUAUAUGAAGUGGGACCCUAAAUGUAUCUUUAGGGCCGUUUUCACUUUAAUUUGGCAAACCAAACAUGUAGUAACUUUUGGAUUACUUUUGUAUGCCAUUGUGGCUUGUAAUUGCAAAAUGUCAAGUGUAUAUAUGUUUUUAAUGUUUGGUUGGGUUCUGACGGGUCGGUUACUAUUCAUGGCCGACUCCGGAUUUCAUUUUUUUUUAUUCUGGGUUAUUUUACCAUUUUGACUUGGUUACGUGCGUUUAUAAGUUCCGGAACGCAAUAGAUCGCUCUAAACUGCACACCGUUAGUCCUGGCGAAAGCUGGGCAGGCAAUCCGUUAACCCCUUUGGUUCGCCUUAGGGGAAGGUGGGGCUGUCACACUAAUUGCCAGGGUAACAUCAUUAAUUUGUAGCUUCUAGUUGUGGCAUCUAGUUCCAUAAUACUGCUACCUCAGGGUGCUAAAUAAUAUUACUAGAAACCUCUUGGGAGGUUGUGAGGCCUGAAAAUUAUUUUCUUAUUUUCUAUUUUUUUCCUUAUUUGUCUUGAAUUGUUGGUUGAUUUAGUGGUUGAGUCAUGAUUUUAUCCUAUUGCCUCACUCAAUGUGUUGCGUGUUGAGUUUCAUAGUGCAUUAUGCUAGUGUGACUCACUAGUGAGGUGUGUGCAAUAAAUUUAGUGGACAAGAGGGAGUUCUGUGCAAAAGGAAUAUUGUGUUACAAGGUGUCAAGAGAUAAUUAGAGGUGGGUUAGAUAUUUUAGUGAAUGAAAUACAAUUAGAUAAGGAUUACAUCUUGAUUUGCCACUUGUCGCUCAUCUAGCUAAGCCCUUGACCAAAGGCUAAGUUCAUACUUAUCCAACCAAGUGUUCAAAACAACCAAAUCUUCUUCUUUUCUUUCUUAUCUUGGUUGAACCUAGAGAGGAGAAAGAGAGAGAAAAGAACUCAAUUUCAAGCCUUAAUUUGUUGUCUAUUUAGUGAGAAAACAAGAGAGAAACCCUAAUCUACUCCGUCAAUCCUUGAGUUAAGUUUGGAAGGAAGCUCUUAGAGGAUUUCUUGGAGGAAGGAAGCCUUGCAACUUUCUUGAUUUGCUUGCCAUCCUAGGUUUUGGAGGUAAAGAGGUGAAAUUUGUUAGAAACCCUAGUUUUCUUCCCUUAUCUUUGAGUUUAUUUGAGGUGUAAUGUUAUAGAAGCUAAAGGAAGGACUUAUAUGCUUUCAUGUUUUUGUCAAGUUAUGUUGCAAAUUUCCAACUUCAAUGUUUGUAGGGAAUAGCUUCAUUUAAAGCUUCAUCCAUGUGAAAUUUUGAUGGAUUUCUUGCCAAAAACAGGUACCAUACACCUCAUGACAUGUUCAUUAUGAUAUAUUGUGUUUUAGUUGUUGAAUAAGGUUGAAAAUAGGAAGCUUUAAUGGAACAACUUGGGAUGACCUUGUUGGAAAUUUGGCUAGAGUUAGCCGAGAGGGUGAGAGAGACUUUCAGCUUUGUUGCUAGAAUUUGUAUGAUGAUUUUGACAUAUUUUGGCUCAAGACACUUGACAAGACUUUGAUCUUCAUAUAUAUGUUGGAUUUGAGUUUAAGCAAAGAGAUUUAAGAGAAGGAAAAUGAGUUUUCUCCAAAACAUUUCAUUGCUAGAAAUUUCCAGCUUUGAAUCUCGAGAAUCUUGACUAUAAUCGACAUACUUUUGCCCUAUAUGUUGCUUGAAACAUUGAUCUAUCAUGCACGUGGUUUUUCACCUUGAUUUGAACAAGAAAACUCGGUGAUUUUGGAAGCUAUAUUGGGAGUUAAAAUCGACAAAUAUGUGUAUCUUCUAAGUGAAAGCUUUGAAGCUCUAAUUUUCUCAUUUAUAUUUGCUUCAAGUUGCUAGACUCUUGACGUGACACCCCACCUCUCCUUAAAGCAAAUCCUAGGCAUCAACGGAACGUCUGCCCAACUCUCGUCCGGACUCAUGCACUCAUUCAAGCUUAAUGGCGAUCCACAAGUCAAUCAUAGACUUAGGAUUAAAUGAGUACUUCAAAUAUACAAUCCAAAUUCUUCUAGGGCUACUAUCUACAAUUACAAUCCCAAAAUCCAAAUAUAAUAAAGUUUACACUUCCAAUAUCUCCAAUAUCAUACAAAAAAUUCACUAGUUUCAACCACAAACCGCUAGUCUAGAACUUCCCAACUUCCACGUCCAAACCUGUUAAGGAAAACAAACUUAAAGGGAUGAGCUAAUGCUCAGUGAGGCCAAGAAAAGCAGGCAAACAACAAGUGCAACUAGCUUUAAUAUCACGUAAAACAAAAGGCAGCCAUAAUAUUCAUGUAAACUCACAAAGAAAACAAAAGCACAAUCAAUAAAGGAUACGAGAGCUCUCAGGAGCUAAAUCCACACUGUUUCAGAGAUAAUCUGUGAUGACCCCACUUCCCCCUAGGGCGUACCAAAGGGUUCGGCGGUCGCCUGCCCCGCUCUCGCCAGGACUCACUCGUUCACUUCAAUCCUCAAUUAAAAUCGAAAUAAAUCACGGGAAUAAAUAUAAUGACGAUCCAAACUUAAUGCAAAACUUAUGUACAUUACUAUCGCAAAAGGGAGUACAAACAUCGAAUAUACAAAGGUUCUCAGUUCAGCACACAUCCAGCCCGUGCCAAGCAUUAGGGCGAGAACCAUUGCAAAACCAAAAACUAGUCUAGGCUAGUCUAAACUGAGCUCUCGUCCUUGCUCGCCUUCCCCUGUUAAGGAAAACAAAUUAAAGGGGUGAGCUAAAAGCUCAGUGAGAUUCUAUAUACAAAAACAAGUAAUUGAACAGGGACAUUAAUCAUGUAAUAACAAAUAAUCUAGAAAACAUGUCCAAUAUAAAGCAAUUAUAAUACAUUCAUUAAAAGGAUACAGGCUCACGAUGAGCAAUUCGUUGUUCGUUCCCCAUUCAUUUCCUUAUUCCUCCAAUUAUUUAAAAUUGCAUCUGUGUAAGUAAAACCCUCGUUUUUUUUACUUUCGUUUGUUCAUUCUUGUUUACCUCCUCCUGGACGUUGGCCAGGCUUUUCCCCCCAUCCGGACGUUGACCGGACUCCACCCAUUCGGACGUUGACCGGACUACAAGGUAAUACUCGAGUAUACCAAAUGUGCACGCCAGGUCACCAAAUCGCCCGACCGAGUCCGCUUCUGGCUCGAGUCGAUCGGUAACAAAGGCAAGGGCCCAGUUCAGCCAAAAGGCUUACAUUCAUGUGUAACUAAUAUUUCAACAUUUAAACACCAAGAAUCUCAUAGUUAUUUAGGUCGAGUGCGAUAAAGUACACACUCACCUAGCAAAAGUUCAUUUUAGAAAUCGUAGAAAACAAUUAACAUUUAAUCAAAUGUUCACAAAUAAUCACAUAGUCAUAACAAUCCUCAUAGUCAUAGAAACAAAGCGUAUAUAGAAUACUCACCUAUUUAAGCAAAAUAAUGUCCAAAGUAUCCUCUCAGAUAACACUCUCAAUUGCCAAGAAACCCUAAUAAUAGCCAAGAGAAAAUAUUACAGUUAAACCCCUCCAAAGUUUAAGUAAAUCAAAGAAAAUCCGAAUAACUACUAGUACAAAGUAUAAGUAUAGUCUUCUAGUCCUCGAGCGUAAAUUUGGGCAGCAUGCCCUUUGUUUUUACCCAAUUUCCAGCCAUUUAGGCUUAAAUUCUUACUCAAUCCAACCCAACGUAAUCCCUAACAUAAUUUCAGUUCAUUAGCCAUUCCAUAGGCUCAAAACAACACAAGAGCAAAGAUUAAGCUAAUAUCAAGUUCGGAAAUGAAACUUAUCAAAAGACAGUUUUAAUGGGUUUUGCGGAAAUAACACAUCAGAGGCUACGUUUAUCGGAUUGAUACGCAGCUUAUACCAUUUCGAAACUAAGACGAAGGCCUACAACUUUCAUGAAGAGUACUUAGUCUAAUUUCCAGUGGAACCUGAUCAAAUUCCAAUCCAUAUAACCUGGUUUCAACUAUUCGGCUAAUCAACCAUACUGCAUUCAAGUGACCAUAUCUCAGUCUACCGAGGUCCAUUUAAGACGUUCUUGGUGACGUUACAAAGCUAAGACAGGGCACUAAAACCCUCAUGUUUUGGGUGAAAGGCUAAAUCCAAACGGAUUAUAAUGAAUAAACGCAAUCAAUAGACUAAACUGUCCACGCGGAACUCUGGAAGUGACCUAGAUCAGCGAGGGUAUUUUCAUCUUUCCACAAGCUACGUUGCUCCGAUUGAGCUGAAAUUUUGUAGGCAGCUAUAAAAUACCAUUAUAUACAAAUUUCAUAUUUUGACCUAAGGCCAAUUUGGUCUCUAACAUGGUGCAAUAAACCAGACAGAAUGGAAGUCAUAUUUUCCAGAAAUCUGGAAAUUUGGGAUUUCAAGGGCAAUCUCUUCAUUUUCUUGAUUCAAUCACCACCAGAACCUCUUAUACAAGCCUAUAUACAUCAUAUACCACUCCUACAACAAGUAUAAGAAGGAAAUCAGUCAAACCCAAAGUCAUAUACAUCACCCAAAAUCAUCACAACAACUUGUAUAGCUACUAAUCUAACCAAAACACGAGCUAUAUAACAUCUUAAACAAAAAUAAAAGAACCAAAGCCAUGGGUCAGACCUUAUACCUCAACAAAAGGGCUUGCAAGAGUAAUACUUCACCUCCUCUUGAAAUUUCUGGUUCCAUAAGCUUCCCAAGCUCUCAAACUAUUGAUUAAUCGGUUUAGAUUUCUUGUUUUCUCACUUAAGUGGACCAAACUCAAGAUGGAUUAUGAUUUCUUUCUCUUGGAUUUUCCUUCUCUUUCUCACGGUUCAUAUGGCAGAAAUAGAGGCUGAAAUGAAGUGCAAUUGAAGCUUCAAAGAAGGUUAAAAGGAUAGGAAUUGAUUUGGGUCAAAGGUGACAAGUGUCACAAGUUGAUUGGUAGUCAAAAUUUUUCUUUUCUCUUGUUUUCUUGGUCAAAUAUUGUGGCUGGUGUAUGAGAUAUUUUGAGGGUUAAUUAGCUCAAAUAAAAUGAGAAGAUUAACGUAAUAAAGUAUGGGUCAAGUGGUGUGUUACCCGGUAACAAACGGUACCGUCGGUUCGAGCCGAUUUUUCUUAAAUCGCGUAUACUAGGGUUUUACUUCCUAUUCACUAACCUUAUAUCAUUGCUCCUAAUUACAUAUUAUUUCUCACUUAAAAGUCACUUUUAAUCACCAAAUUUGGUCCUUGCUCCGUACCGAAAAAUCAUCCGGCGAAAAUCGCGAAAACCCAAAUUUGCUCCAAUCUUGAAAACAAAGAGUGAAACCCUACUUUCUAGAUUCAUUUACACUUAUUACAGAAUAAUUGGGCAGUAGGGCUUUAAUAAAUAAUAAUUCCAAAUAAAAGGGAUUUUUUUUUCGAUUCCUCACAUAAUCUUGAUCCACAAUUUUCAAGUAUUGACACUCGCGUCAACCGAGCAAGUAACAAGUCCAUAGAACCCCAUUUUUCAUCAAUUUUUUUCCACCGUUACACCCCCUACUGGGCCUGAAUGUCAAACAAGAAGUGAUAUUACUCGAGUAUAUCCAAGCAAGUCAAGUAUAUGAGCCUAAGGUUCACCAAACUACUUAACAAGCCUUGCUGGCUUGAGUUGAAUGGCUAGCCAUUGGGUUUUGGGUGUCCCACAAGUAUAAGUGGUCGAUGAGACAACACUCCAAUCGAUUUAGAACCAAUCGCUAGUCUAGAACAUCCCAACUUCCACGACCAAACCUGUUAAGGAAAACAAACUUAAAGGAAUGAACUAAUGCUCAGUGAGGCCAAGAAAAGCAGGCAAACAACAAGUGCAACUAGCAUUAAUAUCAUGUAAAGCAAAAGGCAGCCAUAAUAUUCAUGUAAACUCACAAAAGAAAACAAAAGCACAACCAAUAAAGGAUACGGGAGCUCUCAGGAGCUAAAUCCACACUGUUUCAGAGAUAAUCUUGAUCCACAAUUUUCAAGUAUUGACACUCCGUCAACCGAGCAAGUUACUUUUCAUCAAUUUUUUCCACCGUUACACUCCCUACUGGGCCCGAAUGUCAAACAAAAUGUGAUAUUACUCGAGUAUAUCCAAACAAGUCAAGUAUAUGAGCCAAGGUUCACCAAAACUCCUUAACCAAGCCCUUGCUGGCUUGAAUUGAAUGGCUAGCCAUUGGGUUUUGGGUGUCCCCACAAGUAUAAGUGGUUGAUGAGACAACACUCCAAUCGAUUUAGAAACCAAUCGCAAGUCUAGAACAUCCCAACUUCCACGUCCAAAUCUGUCAAGGAAAAAACUUAAAGGGAUGAGCUAAUGCUCAGUGAGGCAAGAAAAGCAGGCAAACAACAAGUGCAACUAGCAUUAAUAUCAUGUAAAGCAAAAGACAGCCAUAAAUAUUCAUGUAAACUCACAAAGAAAACAAAAGCACAAUCAAUAGAGGAUACGGGAGCUCUCAGGAGCUAAAUCCACACUGUUUCAGAGAUAAUCUUGAUCCACAAUUUUCAAGUAUUGACACUCCGUCAACCGAGCAAGUAACAAGUCCAUAGAACCCCACUUUUCAUCAAUUUUUUUCCACCGUUACACCCCUACUGGGCCCGAAUGUCAAACAAAAGUGAUAUUACUCGAGUAUAUCCAAACAAGUCAAGUAUAUGAGCCUAAGGUUCACCAAACUCCUUAACCAAGCCCUUGCUGGCUUGAGUUGAAUGGCUAGCCAUUGGGUUUUGGGUGUCCCCACAAGUAUAAGUGGUCGAUGAGACAACACUCCAAUCGAUUUAGAACCAAUCGCUAGUCUAGAACAUCCCAACUUCCACGUCCAAACUGUUAAGGAAAACAAACUUAAAGGGAUGAGCUAAUGCUCAGUGAGGCCAAGAAAAGCAGGCAAACAACAAGUGCAACUAGCAUUAAUAUCAUGUAAAGCAAAAGGCAGCCAUAAUAUUCAUGUAAACUCACAAAAGAAAAAAAAGCACAAUCAAUAGAGGAUACGGGAGCUCUCAGGAGCUAAAUCCACACUGUUUCAGAGAUAAUCUUGAUCCACAAUUUUCAAGUAUUGACACUCCGUCAACCGAGCAAGUAACAAGUCCAUAGAACCCACUUUUCAUCAAUUUUUUUCCACCGUUACACCCCUACUGGGCCCGAAUGUCAAACAAGAAGUGAUAUUACUCGAGUAUAUCCAAACAAGUCAAGUAUAUGAGCCUAAGGUUCACCAAACUCCUUAACCAAGCCCUUGCUGGCUUGAGUUGAAUGGCUAGCCAUUGGGUUUUGGGUGUCCCCACAAGUAUAAGUGGUCGAUGAGACAACACUCCAAUCGAUUUAGAACCAAUCGCUAGUCUAGAACAUCCCAACUUUCACGUCCAAACCUGUUAAGGAAAACAAACUUAAAGGGAUGAGCUAAUGCUCAGUGAGGCCAAGAAAAGCAGGCAAACAACAAGUGCAACUAGCAUUAAUAUCAUGUAAAGCAAAAGGCAGCCAUAAUAUUCAUGUAAACUCACAAAAGAAAACAAAAGCACAAUCAAUAAAGGAUACGGGAGCUCUCAGGAGCUAAAUCCACACUGUUUCAGAGAUAAUCUUGAUCCACAAUUUUCAAGUAUUGACACUGUCAACCGAAACAACAAGAAUCAAGUCCAUAGAACCACUUUUCAUCAAUUUUUUUCCACCGUUACACUCCCUACUGGGCCCGAAUGUCAAACAAAAUGUGAUAUUACUCGAGUAUAUCCAAACAAGUCAAGUAUAUGAGCCCAAGGUUCACCAAACUCCUAACCAAGCCCUUGCUGGCUUGAGUUGAAUGGCUAGCCAUUGGGUUUUGGGUGUCCCCACAAGUAUAAGUGGUUGAUGAGACAACACUCCAAUCGAUUUAGAACCAAUCGCUAGUCUAGAACUUCCCAACUUUCACGUCCAAAUCUGUUAAGGAAAACAAACUUAAAGGGAUGAACUAAUGCUCAGUGAGGCCAAGAAAAGCAGGCAAACAACAAGUGCAACUAGCAUUAAUAUCAUGUAAAACAAAAGGCAGCCAUAAUAUUCAUGUAAACUCACAAAAGAAAACAAAAGCACAAUCAAUAGAGGAUACGGGAGCUCUCAGGAGCUAAAUCCACACUGUUUCAGAGAUAAUCUUGAUCCACAAUUUUCAAGUAUUGACACUCCGUCAACCGAGCAAGUAACAAGUCCAUAGAACCCCACUUUUCAUCAAUUUUUUUCACCGUUACACCCCUACUGGGCCCGAAUGUCAAACAAGAAGUGAUAUUACUCGAGUAUAUCCAAAAGUCAAGUAUAUGAGCCAAGUUCACCAAACUCCUUAACCAAGCCCUUGCUGGCUUGAGUUGAAUGGCUAGCCAUUGGGUUUUGGGUGUCCCCACAAGUAUAAGUGGUCGAUGAGACAACACUCCAAUCGAUUUAGAACCAAUCGCUAGUCUAGAACAUCCCAACUUCCACGUCCAAACCUGUUAAGGAAAACAAACUUAAAGGAUGAGCUAAUGCUCAGUGAGGCCAAGAAAAGCAGGCAAACAACAAGUGCAACUAGCAUUAAUAUCAUGUAAAGCAAAAGGCAGCCAUAAUAUUCAUGUAAACUCACAAAAGAAAACAAAAGCACAAUCAAUAAAGGAUACGGGAGCUCUCAGGAGCUAAAUCCACACUGUUUCAGAGAUAAUCUUGAUCCACAAUUUUCAAGUAUUGACACUCCGUCAACCGAGCAAGUAACAAGUCCAUAGAAUACUUUUCAUCAAUUUUUUUCCACCGUUACACUCCCUACUGGGCCCGAAUGUCAAACAAAAUGUGAUAUUACUCGAGUAUAUCCAAACAAGUCAAGUAUAUGAGCCCAAGGUUCACCAAACUCCUAACCAAGCCCUUGCUGGCUUGAGUUGAAUGGCUAGCCAUUGGGUUUUGGGUGUCCCCACAAGUAUAAGUGGUUGAUGAGACAACACUCCAAUCGAUUUAGAACCAAUCGCUAGUCUAGAACUCCCAACUUCCACGUCCAAAUCUGUUAAGGAAAACAAACUUAAAGGGAUGAGCUAAUGCUCAGUGAGGCCAAGAAAAGCAGGCAAACAACAAGUGCAACUAGCAUUAAUAUCAUGUAAAACAAAAGGCAGCCAUAAUAUUCAUGUAAACUCACAAAAGAAAACAAAAGCACAAUCAAUAGAGGAUACGGGAGCUCUCAGGAGCUAAAUCCACACUGUUUCAGAGAUAAUCUUGAUCCACAAUUUUCAAGUAUUGACACUCCGUCAACCGAGCAAGUAACAAGUCCAUAGAACCCCACUUUUCAUCAAUUUUUUUCCACCGUUACACCCCUACUGGGCCCGAAUGUCAAACAAAAGUGAUAUUACUCGAGUAUAUCCAAGCAAGUCAAGUAUAUGAGCCUAAGGUUCACCAAACUCCUUAACCAAGCCCUUGCUGGCUUGAGUUGAAUGGCUAGCCAUUGGGUUUUGGGUGUCCCCACAAGUAUAAGUGGUCGAUGAGACAACACUCCAAUCGAUUUAGAACCAAUCGCUAGUCUAGAACAUCCCAACUUCCGUCCAAACCUGUUAAGGAAAACAAAUUAAGGGAUGAGCUAAUGCUCAGUGAGGCCAAGAAAAGAGGCAAACAACAAGUGCAACUAGCAUUAAUAUCAUGUAAAGCAAAAGGCAGCCAUAAUAUUCAUGUAAACUCACAAAAGAAAACAAAAGCACAAUCAAUAAAGGAUACGGGAGCUCUCAGGAGCUAAAUCCACACUGUUUCAGAGAUAAUCUUGAUCCACAAUUUUCAAGUAUUGACACUCCGUCAACCGAGCAAGUAACAAGUCCAUAGAAACUUUUCAUCAAUUUUUUUCCACCGUUACACUCCCUACUGGGCCCGAAUGUCAAACAAAAUGUGAUAUUACUCGAGUAUAUCCAAACAAGUCAAGUAUAUGAGCCCAAGGUUCACCAAACUCCUAACCAAGCCCUUGCUGGCUUGAGUUGAAUGGCUAGCCAUUGGGUUUUGGGUGUCCCACAAGUAUAAGUGGUUGAUGAGACAACACUCCAAUCGAUUUAGAACCAAUCGCUAGUCUAGAACAUCCCAACUUCACGUCCAAAUCUGUUAAGGAAAACAAACUUAAAGGGAUGAGCUAAUGCUCAGUGAGGCCAAGAAAAGCAGGCAAACAACAAGUGCAACUAGCAUUAAUAUCAUGUAAAACAAAAGGCAGCCAUAAUAUUCAUGUAAACUCACAAAAGAAAACAAAAGCACAAUCAAUAGAGGAUACGGGAGCUCUCAGGAGCUAAAUCCACACUGUUUCAGAGAUAAUCUUGAUCCACAAUUUUCAAGUAUUGACACUCCGUCAACCGAGCAAGUAACAAGUCCAUAGAACCCCACUUUUCAUCAAUUUUUUUCCACCGUUACACCCCUACUGGGCCCGAAUGUCAAACAAGAAGUGAUAUUACUCGAGUAUAUCCAAGCAAGUCAAGUAUAUGAGCCAAGGUUCACCAAACUCCUUAACCAAGCCCUUGCUGGCUUGAGUUGAAUGGCUAGCCAUUGGGUUUUGGGUGUCCCCACAAGUAUAAGUGGUCGAUGAGACAACACUCCAAUCGAUUUAGAACCAAUCGCUAGUCUAGAACAUCCCAACUUCCACGUCCAAACCUGUUAAGGAAAACAAACUUAAAGGGAUGAGCUAAUGCUCAGUGAGGCCAAGAAAAGCAGGCAAACAACAAGUGCAACUAGCAUUAAUAUCAUAAAGCAAAAGGCAGCCAUAAUAUUCAUGUAAACUCACAAAAGAAAACAAAAGCACAAUCAAUAGAGGAUACGGGAGCUCUCAGGAGCUAAAUCCACACUGUUUCAGAGAUAAUCUUGAUCCACAAUUUUCAAGUAUUGACACUCCGUCAACCGAGCAAGUAACAAGUCCAUAGAAACUUUUCAUCAAUUUUUUUCCACCGUUACACUCCCUACUGGGCCCGAAUGUCAAACAAAAUGUGAUAUUACUCGAGUAUAUCCAAACAAGUCAAGUAUAUGAGCCCAAGGUUCACCAAACUCCUUAACCAAGCCCUUGCUGGCUUGAGUUGAAUGGCUAGCCAUUGGGUUUUGGGUGUCCCCACAAGUAUAAGUGGUUGAUGAGACAACACUCCAAUCGAUUUAGAACCAAUCGCUAGUCUAGAACAUCCCAACUUCCACGUCCAAAUCUGUUAAGGAAAACAAACUUAAAGGGAUGAGCUAAUGCUCAGUGAGGCCAAGAAAAGCAGGCAAACAACAAGUGCAACUAGCAUUAAUAUCAUGUAAAACAAAAGACAGCCAUAAUAUUCAUGUAAACUCACAAAAGAAAACAAAAGCACAAUCAAUAGAGGAUACGGGAGCUCUCAGGAGCUAAAUCCACACUGUUUCAGAGAUAAUCUUGAUCCACAAUUUUCAAGUAUUGACACUCCGUCAACCGAGCAAGUAACAAGUCCAUAGAACCCCACUUUUCAUCAAUUUUUUUCCACCGUUACACCCCUACUGGGCCCGAAUGUCAAACAAAAGUGAUAUUACUCGAGUAUAUCCAAGCAAGUCAAGUAUAUGAGCCUAAGGUUCACCAAACUCCUUAACCAAGCCCUUGCUGGCUUGAGUUGAAUGGCUAGCCAUUGGGUUUUGGGUGUCCCCACAAGUAUAAGUGGUCGAUGAGACAACACUCCAAUCGAUUUAGAACCAAUCGCUAGUCUAGAACUCCCAACUUUCACGUCCAAACUGUUAAGGAAAACAAACUUAAAGGGAUGAGCUAAUGCUCAGUGAGGCCAAGAAAAGAAGGCAAACAACAAGUGCAACUAGCAUUAAUAUCAUGUAAAGCAAAAGGCAGCCAUAAUAUUCAUGUAAACUCACAAAAGAAAACAAAAGCACAAUCAAUAAGGAUACGGGAGCUCUCAGGAGCUAAAUCCACACUGUUUCAGAGAUAAUCUUGAUCCACAAUUUUCAAGUAUUGACACUCCGUCAACCGAGCAAGUAACAAGUCCAUAGAAACUUUUCAUCAAUUUUUUUCCACCGUUACACUCCCUACUGGGCCCGAAUGUCAAACAAAAUGUGAUAUUACUCGAGUAUAUCCAAACAAGUCAAGUAUAUGAGCCCAAGGUUCACCAAACUCCUUAACCAAGCCCUUGCUGGCUUGAGUUGAAUGGCUAGCCAUUGGGUUUUGGGUGUCCCACAAGUAUAAGUGGUUGAUGAGACAACACUCCAAUCGAUUUAGAACCAAUCGCUAGUCUAGAACAUCCCAACUUCACGUCCAAAUCUGUUAAGGAAAAAAACUUAAAGGGAUGAGCUAAUGCUCAGUGAGGCCAAGAAAAGCAGGCAAACAACAAGUGCAACUAGCAUUAAUAUCAUGUAAAGCAAAAGAGCCAUAAUAUUCAUGUAAACUCACAAAAGAAAACAAAAGCACAAUCAAUAGAGGAUACGGGAGCUCUCAGGAGCUAAAUCCACACUGUUUCAGAGAUAAUCUUGAUCCACAAUUUUCAAGUAUUGACACUCCGUCAACCGAGCAAGUAACAAGUCCAUAGAACCCCACUUUUCAUCAAUUUUUUUCCACCGUUACACCCUACUGGGCCCGAAUGUCAAACAAAAUGAUAUUACUCGAGUAUAUCCAAGCAAGUCAAGUAUAUGAGCCCAAGGUUCACCAAACUCCUUAACCAAGCCCUUGCUGGCUUGAGUUGAAUGGCUAGCCAUUGGGUUUUGGGUGUCCCCACAAGUAUAAGUGGUUGAUGAGACAACACUCCAAUCGAUUUAGAACCAAUCGCUAGUCUAGAACUUCCCAACUUUCACGUCCAAAUCUGUUAAGGAAAACAAACUUAAAGGGAUGAACUAAUGCUCAGUGAGGCCAAGAAAAGCAGGCAAACAACAAGUGCAACUAGCAUUAAUAUCAUGUAAAACAAAAGGCAGCCAUAAUAUUCAUGUAAACUCACAAAAGAAAACAAAAGCACAAUCAAUAGAGGAUACGGGAGCUCUCAGGAGCUAAAUCCACACUGUUUCAGAGAUAAUCUUGAUCCACAAUUUUCAAGUAUUGACACUCCGUCAACCGAGCAAGUAACAAGUCCAUAGAACCCCACUUUUCAUCAAUUUUUUUCCACCGUUACACCCCUACUGGGCCCGAAUGUCAAACAAAAGUGAUAUUACUCGAGUAUAUCCAAACAAGUCAAGUAUAUGAGCCCAAGGUUCACCAAACUCCUUAACCAAGCCCUUGCUGGCUUGAGUUGAAUGGCUAGCCAUUGGGUUUUGGUGUCCCCACAAGUAUAAGUGGUCGAUGAGACAACACUCCAAUCGAUUUAGAACCAAUCGCUAGUCUAGAACAUCCCAACUUCCACGUCCAAACUGUUAAGGAAAACAAACUUAAAGGGAUGAGCUAAUGCUCAGUGAGGCCAAGAAAAGCAGGCAAACAACAAGUGCAACUAGCAUUAAUAUCAUGUAAAGCAAAAGGCAGCCAUAAUAUUCAUGUAAACUCACAAAAGAAAACAAAAGCACAAUCAAUAAAGGAUACGGGAGCUCUCAGGAGCUAAAUCCACACUGUUUCAGAGAUAAUCUUGAUCCACAAUUUUCAAGUAUUGACACUCCGUCAACCGAGCAAGUAACAAGUCCAUAGAAACUUUUCAUCAAUUUUUUUCCACCGUUACACUCCCUACUGGGCCCGAAUGUCAAACAAAAUGUGAUAUUACUCGAGUAUAUCCAAACAAGUCAAGUAUAUGAGCCCAAGGUUCACCAAACUCCUAACCAAGCCCUUGCUGGCUUGAGUUGAAUGGCUAGCCAUUGGGUUUUGGGUGUCCCCACAAGUAUAAGUGGUUGAUGAGACAACACUCCAAUCGAUUUAGAACCAAUCGCUAGUCUAGAACAUCCCAACUUCCACGUCCAAAUCUGUUAAGGAAAACAAACUUAAAGGGAUGAGCUAAUGCUCAGUGAGGCCAAGAAAAGCAGGCAAACAACAAGUGCAACUAGCAUUAAUAUCAUGUAAAGCAAAAGGCAGCCAUAAUAUUCAUGUAAACUCACAAAAGAAAACAAAAGCACAAUCAAUAGAGGAUACGGGAGCUCUCAGGAGCUAAAUCCACACUGUUUCAGAGAUAAUCUUGAUCCACAAUUUUCAAGUAUUGACACUCCGUCAACCGAGCAAGUAACAAGUCCAUAGAACCCCACUUUUCAUCAAUUUUUUUCCACCGUUACACCCCUGGGCCCGAAUGUCAAACAAAAUGUGAUAUUACUCGAGUAUAUCCAAGCAAGUCAAGUAUAUGAGCCUAAGGUUCACCAAACUCCUUAACCAAGCCCUUGCUGGCUUGAGUUGAAUGGCUAGCCAUUGGGUUUUGGGUGUCCCCACAAGUAUAAGUGGUCGAUGAGACAACACUCCAAUCGAUUUAGAACCAAUCGCUAGUCUAGAACAUCCCAACUUCCACGUCCAAACUGUUAAGGAAAACAAACUUAAAGGGAUGAGCUAAGCUCAGUCAGGCCAAGAAAAGCAGGCAAACAACAAGUGCAACUAGCAUUAAUAUCAUGUAAAGCAAAAGACAGCCAUAAUAUUCAUGUAAACUCACAAAAGAAAACAAAAGCACAAUCAAUAGAGGAUACGGGAGCUCUCAGGAGCUAAAUCCACACUGUUUCAGAGAUAAUCUUGAUCCACAAUUUUCAAGUAUUGACAUUCCGUCAACCGAGCAAGUAACAAGUCCAUAGAACCCCACUUUUCAUGAAUUUUUUUCACCGUUACACCACCUACUGGGCCCGAAUGUUAAACAAGAGUGAUAUUACUCGAGUAUAUCCAAGCAAGUCAAGUAUAUGAGCCAAAUGUUCACCAAACUGCUUAACCAAGCCCUUGCUGGCUGUCGCGCCCCAUUUUUUGAUAAAUAAAUAAAUCGUUUGAGAAAGAUGUAUUGUUUCAAUUUUGAUUGAAAAAUGAUUUUUGUGAGUUGAAAAGACAUGGGUCUCAAUGGGACUUGGAAAGCGACGAUUCGACCCAAAAAAUAGUUUUAAAAAGGGUUUUGAAAUGAAAAGUUUGGAGUCGCCACUUGGUAAUGAUUUAAGGUGUACCAAGUCACCUAAAAAAUGAGUUUUAAAGUCAAGUAAUAAUAAACCCUUUUUAAAACGACUCCUAGUCUACGUAAAACAAAGAAAAAGGUUCGGGAGUCACGUUUGACAAAGGGGAAGGCAAGGAUAGACUCCAAGGCACCCCUUUGACCUAGCCAAGGCUAGUUGCGUGACUUAACCCUAACUUUCCUAACUUUCUACCCAGGAUAUGUAUUGCAUGUUGGAUUAUGCCUAUAUGAAUGCAAAAACGAAAAAAUGCAAUCCUAAAUUCUAUGAUGUCUCUCGUGAGGUUUUUGGUCCCAGACCACAUGAAUUGUGGCGGCCAAUAAAGGGAAACCUCAUAGAGGUCGAUUGAUGCAAAUGGUGACUCAAGUGCAAGUGUGCAAGUGUAUGAAAAGAUUCAUGUAUGAAAUGGUAUAAAAAAACAAAGUGUUUGUGUGCGCAUGUGAAGAGAAAGUUCACGUGUGAAUUUGGAUGAAAAAUCAAAGUAUUAGUGUGUGAGUGUGUAAAGAAAGUGCACGUGUGAAUUUGGAUGAAAAAUCAAAGUAUUAGUAUGUGCAAAUGAAUGAAGAUAGAAUAGUACAUAUAUAAGUGAAACUUGAAUUUCAUUUGUGAAGUAAAGUAAAUAAAUGAUAAGGAGGUAGUGAAAAAAUAUGGAUUGAGAAAUGUAAGAGAAAUGUGAUUAAAAGAGUAUGGAAGUGAUAAAAAUGAAAGUAUGACCCUAGGGGAAUGCAACAAGUCGGGUACGGGGGUUGACUCCUAACUUUUCGACUUCUAUUUUCCCUUUGAUUAGAAGGCAAAACUAGCGUGCUAAGGCUAUCGAGUAGCCACACUCGCUCGUUUCCCUUAUCGGAAGGGACACUCAAGCAAAAUGAACCCUAUAGCUAGUAUGGGAUGCAAAACCUAAAAUGAGGGAAAGAGGUUCGAGGAUCAUGCCAAAUGAUAAAACUAAGAAAAAUGCGUGAUAUGUGGUGAACAAGCAAAUGAUGUGCUAACGAGGGAAAUCCUUAAGGGUCUAGCGUUGGACUAGCCCAUUCUAUGAAUUCCGACUAGCGUUGGACUAGCGGAAACGUACAUUCAUCCAUUUCAUUCAUUCAUGGCUAUGAAAGCAAGUAGACAUGCCAAAACGCUCGUAAACACGUAACACGUAGCACUUAGCAUGCUCGACUAGAUGCAAGAGCCUACCAAAGCAAUUAAACAUGUAGCAACAAAAACAAGCAACCAAGGGGAAGGGGAAAUGGACCAGAUGCUCUCCGAGCCCUAUCUAUUACAAGCCAAGAGGUGUACACAUACCCCAUAAAAGCAUAAAGGGGAAGGGGAAAUGGACCAGAUGCUCUCCGAGCCCUAUCUAUUACAAGCCAAGAGGUGUACACAUACCCCAUAAAACUUAAAUAAAAGUAAAAGCAAGUAAAUGCAUGCAAGGAGAUAAGGAAAGCGAAGUAGACAGGCAUAUUCACAUAACACAUAAGAUCACAUAGGAGAGACAAAAAGGGAUAAAAGAAGUUGUACCUUCCCCCCGUGUGUAAUGCUAGUAAGGUGAACAAGACUCAGCUUGGGCUAUGGUCACUAAAGAAGAAGCUAAUUUGGGCUAAAACCAUUUUAAGGAAAGGAUUAAUGCACCAAUGGAAUGAUAGAAUAACAAUCAGAAUUCGUCGAACAUCUAAUCCUCUUUCACUUUGCAACUUAGAAAUGAUCAAAUAAUGCAUGAAUUCUAAGCAAGAGUGAGUUAUUGAUCAAAUUUCUGAAAUAGCAAAACUACCUAAGGAUCCAAAAGCAACCCUUAACCAAACCAUCAAGACCAUUUGAAACAUUUUAGAACUCAAAAGGUUCAUGAGCAUGAAAAGGUCAAUUAAUCAACUUACUUAGGGAAAUUAAAAAAAAGGCAACCACAAGCUCAUUUAGACACAAGGUUCACAAAUCCAUGCAUCGAACAUCACCUUAGCAAAACAUGGUAACCAAUGAAGGCCAACAAGCAAUUGAAUUGAAACAUUAAUGCUACCAAAGACUCAAUGGUGAACACUACCAAGCAUUCAAGCUCAAAUCAAGUACCUCUAGAAACUUCAAAAAUCCGAAGGCAAAGAAAAGGUCAAGUAAUGGCUGAAAAUGAGACCUACUAAACUCAAAUGCAAAAUGUGAUUAGAAUACAAAUCCAAGCCUAAAAAAAUCUAUUAAACUGAUUGAACCUCAAAAUGCAUCCUAAAACUCACUAAACAUCUUACCCAAAAUCACGUCAAAGCAUACCAAGAGCAAUUAGGAUUCUAGAAUGACAAAAGUGAUUAAAUUAUUCAACUAAUUGGACCAUACCAAGACAAGGGGGAACUUGGGGGGUUAAAGUGUAAAUGUUUUAGGACCCAAUUGCAAGAACAAAACACAUAAAUGGGCCUUUGGAGCAUAGCUAGAGACUAGAGGGAACAAAGUACAAUUUUCCCUUCUUGAUCAUGCAUGCAACUACGUAAGAAACAGAAUUUUCUGCAGCUACAAAAACUUGUUGCCUUUUCACAAAACUUGCGGCCAAUUCCAGCUACAAUUACAUCCAUUCCAUCACACGAAUCAAGUUCAUCAAACCAGAAAUCGUUGACCCAAAUCAAAAAACAUGAAAUUAAUGCAGCCUUCAUACGAACGAAAGUGAAAAAAAAAAAAAAGUUUCUGCAAUGAAUUCCAAUAAAUAAAUUGUUGCAACAUUUUAGAACUUCAGCAAAUCUCUUCCCUUACAACCAUGUUCAUGCCAAUUCUUUAUUCAAAUCAAGCACAUUCAUGCAACCAAACUUAGAAGAAACAUGCUGGAACUAUAAUCUAACGAAAU